CAUAGUCAUAGCCAAUACUCAUCAUUUCCAAGUCAAAACACAAAACAAAAAGGAACCCAACUCGUUCAAUUUCUGAGCUUCUGAGGGCAAAAUAACCAUAAGCUGAAUCAAGAAAAAAAAUGAAGGAAAGCUCAGAUGGGUUUGUGAGGGCAGAUCAGAUUGAUCUGAAGAGCUUAGAUGAGCAGCUGGAAAGGCAUCUCAACAGGGUCUUGACUUUGGAGAAGAACAAGAUCAUGAGAGACCCUGAAACCAAUUCCAACAGCAUCCACCUCACUACCACCUCCAACUCCAAUUCAACCACCACCACAACCACCACCUCCACUUCCUCCAUGACCCUCUCCAUCCCCAGGCGCCACCGCCAGGAGUGGGAGAUCGACCCAUCCAAGCUCCUCAUCAAGUCUGUCAUUGCUCGUGGCACCGUCCACCGUGGCAACUACGACGGUCAAGAUGUCACCGGUAAUCCCCUCCUGUCAUUUUAGCUCAUCUUUCAUUUGGGUCCUUAAAAAGUUGUCAAGUUCCUCACUUUUGUGACUUUCUCCCCAAAAAUUCAACCUUUUUCUUUCAAUUUUCGAUACCCCUUUCUUACAAUGUUAUCUUUUUGUUGUAUUUAUUUUCUGCAGUGUAUUAUGGAUGUUUUUAGCAAAAACCCAUUUGGUUUUUUACUUUACUUUAAUUGAAUUUUGGGAGAUAAUUGAAGAUCUUAGUUAAUUUCCACUUUGGGUUUUCUACUGUAAAAUGUAGUUUAAACACAAAAGUAAGGUUGAUUAUGGUGUUGUCUUGCCAUUAUUCACUUUGUUUAGUCAGUUUAAAUGUUGGAUUAGUUGAACUUUGUGGUUGAUCUUGCAAGUCACUACAAGUUUCUUACUUUAUAGUUUAUAUACAUUUAGGUAUUAUAUAUAUAUAUAUAUAGCUAUUUGCUACCAUGGAGACAUGUUGGAGUUUGUUUAAUAACUCUUGUUCUGAUAAACCAUCUAUAUUCCAUUCAUAGAGUUUAUCAGAAGAGACAGUGAAUUGGGAGUGGAAAUUCCUUUCUUCAAACUGAAGAUCAGGAGGUGUUGGUCUGGGAUACCAGUUUUUGGUUAAGGAUGUAGGAUUAGUUCUUUUGACGUUAAGACGUUUUACUUCAAGGUUCUGAAAGGCUUUUUCCAUUUGAUGGAUGGAAAUAACACUUUCAUCUUCUGAACUUUGAGUGGAGGAAGGUGUUUCAGAAUCAUGUGGGUUAUUAAUCACACGAACUGAUUUCUCUUUUUCUAGCUUAUUGAGCAUUUGUUCUAUCUUAAUAGAUGUUGAGGUUUUUAAAGAGGGUGACUCCCUAAAACUGGUUAAGGGUAUUUCUUUACUAAGAGGUUUGAUCGACAAAUUGUCAAUUUUUGUUUCAAUUUUAUCCAACUGUUUUCCUAUGGUAUGUAGGCUUUGGUUGGUAAAAUUGUUUUGUUCAAUGACAGGUUUGACACCUGCAUCUUCCUUUGGAAGUUUGAACGGUGAGGCUAGGAUUUGUGUAUUCGCAGUACUAAUAAGAAUAGUUUCUUUUGGCGGGUGACUGGAGGAGACAAUUGUCUUAUCUUCUUUAAGCCAAUUUUCUUUGGUUAUUACCUGUACUUGUUUUUCAGACUCGUAAUGGUUCUCAACGAAGUCAAAGAAAAAUAUUUCAAGUCUGUUAGUUUGCAUGAAAUCUUUCCAUGCCUUAUGGAUUUUUAGUUUUUCUUCAGUAGUGUACUUACUCCUGAAGAAGUUUCGCCGAGAGACAUUUUCUAAGGCUUCUAUGUCCCUACAGAGUUUUUUAUGAUCAUAUUUAAAAGGUUCUUGUCUGGUUAAGACCAAUAGUUGGUGAUGUACUAGUUCUGCAUCAAAGUCAGAAGCAGUUGGUGAUGUUUGUUCUUCCUUAGUAGGAAUGGAUGGGGUAUGGUAAGUAGGCUGGACUACUUGAGCGUUUGUCUCAAGUGAUUGAAGUUUAAAAUUUAAAAGGUCAUUUAUUAAUUCUUGCUGGGUGAUCGAGGAGCCUGUAUCUACUGAUUUUAAUUGCUUAUUAGCUAAGGAAUUGAUUAAUUCUUGGUCACGACCUUGCCUAUCGUUUGGCAUAGAUCCAGAGAAAGAAUUCCUACUAGAAACAAAAGAUUUAAGUGAUUUAUUAGAGUCACAAGACUUUCUAGCAGGACGAUCAAAAUUAAUUUUAACCGUUCCGUCAAAGUAUUGUUCUAUGUUGUCUAAAUUGACGAGACUGUUUUGGAUGGCUACCUGCCGACUUUCAUUUAUCUGACACCAAUCUGAAGGAAGAUUGAUUUCUGACCACCUAAUGGUUCUGGGUAUUUUAAUGUUGGCAUUCUCUUGAUUGGUUUGGAUCAAGAGAGUAUGAUCCUUCGGACUUUUGGUUAAAGCCUGAAAGUUCAUAUUUGUGCCAGUGACUUUAUAAUAAAUUCUGUAAAUUAAGGCCAAAGGCUGUGUUCCUUCGAGGACUUUAUAUCCUGAAAUUUUAAUAUUUAGUGUAAGUGCUUUUAGCAUGUGUGGGUCAGAUAGACUUAUGGUGAGAUCUGGAAAGCAAUCAAAAUGGAUAGGUCCAUUACAUAGACUGGAUUCAACCAUACCAAGUAUGCUAUCACUGAAGUCAGUGAAUCUAGCAUCGCGGAGACAUAAAAGGAUAGAGGUAUUAAGACCUCUACGUGUUAAUGGUUUAGCUGCAAUUUGCACUAAACCUAUAUGGAUAUAAUUAUGACCAUCUUUCCUAUGGGAAUUAAUUUGUUCUGGGGUAAAUAAUUGACAAGUUUCAUGAUCUUUACUAAGAGCAUAAGCUUGUUUAACCGUUUUGACAUGGUGUUCAGUUUUAAAAGAGGCAAAUGCCCAUUUCUUUUUAUAAAUAUUUUUUGAAGAUAUUUUUGGAAUAUUCCAUUCAGAAAAAUCGAGACUACUGUCUGUUUGAAAUUCAAAUUUUUGUUCUUCAUUGACAAUGUCAGGUAUUGUUCCUAAAUUUGAUCUAGAGCUAGUGCUGGCCAUAGAAUUAGAUCUAAACAGUCUACUCAUACCAAUAAAUAUCAGACAAUCAAAAUACAGAAAUCUUAACAAGAAAAUCUUGCUAGUGAAUCUAAUCACCAAGCUCUCUGGGUCACGCGCGCCGCUCAGGCCCUAUCCUCCGGGACUUACUGUUUGGGUGACGUCUUACUGCUCAGACUUUAUGGUAAAGAGGUAACACUAAGAAGAUUAAACAUAUUAAGAUUUACUGGAAAGUAAUUGAAUGAAAUUUAAAGAUAUAAAUGAGAGUAUUCAGAUACUAAUGCUAUAACCAACCACUUGGUUCUGAUACCAAAUGGGUGCGGAAGCCAUAUAUGUAUAUGGACAUGAGAAACUCAAGAUAUUUGAUUAGUAUCAGAUUAGGGUUAAUUGGGAAUUGUAGAUUCAUAGAAUCAAUCAAAAGAAUAUAAACAAAUAAAACUAGGUUGAAAAUAGGUGUAGUAUUCAUGCUUAAGAUAAUGAAUUAAAAUUAAUGAUGCUGAUGAUAUUCGAUUGAAAAUAUAUUUAUUGAAAAUCAAAAGACUUACAAAAGUUUCGUCUACUGACGAUUUUUAAGAACAGAAUCGGGAGCUCGCAGGCAUCCUUGAAGAUAAACUAGAUUGUAGAUGUUUCAAAAUGAAAUACAAGUGUUUGAUUAAAAUAAAAGACUCUGUUCAAUAAUGAAUACGCAGAGUUCUUCCUCUAAAAAAAAAAAACCCCCCCUAACAGGAACCGGAGAAGUCCUCUUAUGGAGAUGGGAGAUGGCAGAAUUAUUGAAGAAGCAGCGGGAUUCCCGUUUGCCAUGUGCCCUUGCUGUAAAGAGGCCGAAAGCAGAAGAUGCUGUCGAGGACUGUAGAAUCACGAGAGUGGAUGAAAUGAUAGGUGAAUAGUAAAAAUGAUUUUACUAUUCAUGAAUAGUAACUGGUCUGCUACUUGCUAACAAAUGCUCAAUAAGCUAGAAAAAGAGAAAUCAGUUCGUGUGAUUAAUAACCCACAUGAUUCUGAAACACCUUCCUCCACUCAAAGUUCAGAAGAUGAAAGUGUUAUUUCCAUCCAUCAAAUGGAAAAAGCCUUUCAGAACCUUGAAGUAAAACGUCUUAACGUCAAAAGAACUAAUCCUACAUCCAUAUAUAUAUAUGUGUGUGUGUGUGGCAAAAUUCCCAAUGCACAUAUUCAAUGGACUGCAAUGAAGGUUGCCGAUUGUCCACUGUAAUUGUACUUUUAUGGAGUCCGUGACUCUUACACGGGUUUGUGUUGAAUUUUCUGUUGAGAGCAACUUGGAUAAUGUUGCUGUAUUCCUGACUUUCAUGGGAGUUCCCCACCUGUUAGUUGAAACUUAUUCAACAACUAAAUUGGAAAAAUGCUUAUCCAUACGUAUUUAUGUUAGCGAAACUCCUUAUUUAUCAACACAUUAUUGUAGUUGCUGUCGUCAUCAUCUUCCAAUCCAACCAAAUUAUGACCUUUUCGGUUCUUUGUAUUCUUCUCUUCCUUUUUUUCGUUUUGUUGGUUCGUGAUGAUUCACAAUCGGGUUGCAAAUUUUACCGUUAUAAUGACGGCUCCAUUGUUUAUGCCAGUUAAAUUGCUUGACUGGGGUGAACCGGUGAAGAGGGUCACAGGACAGACUCAGAGAUUGCUUCUCUAAGGGCAGCUUUUACUCAAGAAGUUGCGGUCUGGCAAAAACUAGAUCAUCCUAAUGUUACUAAGGUAACUUUCCACCUCUCUUUUUUAAGAAUUUUCGGAAGUGUCAUUUGGAUUUGAUCGAUUCUUCUAACUUUUAUGAAUAUCAAAACCCGAAUGUCUUUGUUUUAAGAAAGCCUCUAGCAUAUGCAACAUUGAAGACAUUCACUAUGUCACUUCACUAGGGUUGGUUUUUCUGCGGUUAUUCAUAGGGCGUCCACGGACCACGCAAAGGUUUCUAACUUCCUAGUUAUACAAUUGUUCUCUAGUCAGCGUAUCAUUAUCCUCCUUGAUUUAUCACAGCCUAAGGUUGCAACCGUACCCGAGACAGUUGCCUUCCUUUUCUUUGGUAUCCUUCAGUUGCAUCUCUCACCACCUGAGUGAGGUAGAAGCAUUAGUUUUUGUAUCAUGAAUUUUCAGAACUUACUUAGCAAUAUCAGGUAGCAAAUAAGUUAAGCGAUGACUUUUUAAAUAUAUGCACAGUAGUGAAUACAUGCUGGCAAAAUAGCCAAAAUGGUCCCUGAGAUUUGCAUAACUCAUCACUUUGGUUCCUAACAUUUCAAAUCGAUAAAAGUGGUCCUUGAGAUUGUCCACCAUCCAUCAUUUUAUUCCUUUCAUUAAAACUCCGUUAAGUGUCCCGGGGCUUUUGGCCAGAAGUUUGGGCAAUUUUCAAAGCUUCGUAACUCAAUCGUUUCUUAACCACAUUCGACCCAUAAUAUAUCAAAAUGAAGAUAGGAAAGUGUAUAAUAAGAUUAUACCUAUUUGGAAGCCCAAUGGUUGCCGGAGAUGGCCGGAAAAUAGCCUCAAAGUUGACUGGUCCGAGGGAAAACUUGAAAGCUCGCCGGAAACUGGGUAAACUUUAAACGUUCAUAACUUCUUCAAUACUCAACGAAAUCAAGUGAUUCAAAAAUAAAAAUCAUACUUCUCGACGAGAAAAAGAGAAUGGUACAUUAUUUGAUGGCUAACUCUCUGUGUUGUGGCCGGAAAAUGGCUCGAAAGUGGUUGUCUUGGUCUCGAGUUAGCUACUUUUAAGCUGUUUUCCGGCCAAAUCACGGCGAUUCACCUGUCUAAAAAGGUACCAUUCUCUUCGUCUCGUCGAGAACUAUGAUUUUCAUUUUUGAAUCACUUGAUUUUGUUGAGUAUUGAAGAAGUUAUGAACGUUUAAAGUUUACCUAGUUUCCGGCAAGUUUUCCAGUUUUCCCUCGACCAGUCAACUUUGAGGCUAUUUUCCGGCUAUCUCUGGCAACCAUUGGGCUUCCAAAUAGGUAUAAUCUUAUUAUACACUUUCCUAUCUUCAUUUUGAUAUAUUAUGGGUCGAAUUUGCUUAAGAAACGAUUGAGUUACGAAACUUUGAAAAUUGCCUAAACUUCUGGCCAAGAGCUCCGGGACACUUAACGAAGUUUUUAACGGAAUGACCAAAAUGAUGGAUGGUGGACAAUCUCAAGGACCACUUUUAUCGAUUUGAAAUGUUAGGGACCAAAGUGAUGAGUUAUGCAAAUCUCAGGGACCAUUUUGGCUAUUUAGCCAUACAUGCUACAUUUUCUUUUGUCCGGACUUCUUACAUACGACAAUUUUCUAUGCUAUUUAACAGGCUAUAAGAAGUUCAAGACUUUAAGGGAGAUUAUAUUCACAUCCCAAAUUACUUCUCCCACACCCUUUUAAUUUUUUAAUAUUUUUCUAUCAAAUGUUAGUGGUGUGUAGAAAAUAUUAAAAAAGUAAAAGGUGUGGGAGAAGUAAUUAAGGGUGUGUGAAUAUAAUCUCUUAACUUUAAUGCUCCUCUUCAAUAAAUGCCAUUGACACUUGUGUUCAAGACUUUUCUACAGGAUCGGCAGUUCACAUUAGUUGGAUGUAUGGUCCCCCUUUGAGUUGAAAAUAAAUGGGCUUUUUGGGAUAGCCAAACUAGAUCCUUCUCAGCUGAUGGUCUCCCUUGGAUGUGUGUGGGGGACUUCAAUGAAUUAAUAUGGCCAUAUGAAAAACGGGAAGGCAAAGAGUGGGAUGUUGGUCGACGACGCUUCCUCAAAGACUUAAUCCAGCGGAAAGAACUGAUUCAUCUGGGCUAUUCAGGACCCUAGUUUACUUGGAAGCGAGAUUGGGAGGAUUGGGGUUUCAUUGAAGAAAGACUUGAUAGGGCAGUGGCAAAUAAUUCUUGGAUGGAGCUUUGGCCGAAUACAAAUGUAUCCCACGACCCUUUUAUGGGUUCUGGUCAUAGGCCUCUUAUCAUUAAUACAUGCCUUCAUUUUGUAUCAUCCCCAAAACCUUUCAAAUUUGAAGCCUACUGGAUUACAGACCCCGAUUGUGCCUCUGUAAUUUCAAACUCUUGGAAUGAAAAUUGUCAUGGUUCUUUCUCUUGGCGGUGGUUAUUUAAACAUAAUAGUUGUAGAAGAGCACUAUCAAAGUGGAGCAACUUCAAGUUUAAAAACAACCGUAAAGAAAUAAACAAGAAUCUGACAGCUCUUGAAACGAUCAAUGAAAUUUAGGAUCAGGCCUGUCGAAUUUCAACAAGAAAAGGGAUUGAAAAUCAGCUGGGAGAGCUUUGGAAAAAAAGAGGAGAGUUAUGGGCAUCAAAGGUCAAGAAUUAAGUGGCUUAAAAAUGGGGACGCAAAUACUUCGUUCUUUCACCGCACCACAAUUCAAAGAAGGCAAUCUAAUAGUGUUAGGAAAAUCAAGGGGGAUGAAGAUAUUUGAAUUGAAAAUGAGGAGGAUAUUUGAAAACAAUUUGAAAGAUAUUUUCAAUCUCUUUUUACUUCAGAUGGCUCGAAGGAUACGUGGGAGGCAUUAUGUGGUAUUCAAAAGGUCGUUACGAGAGAAAUGAAAUUAUCUUUUACUCAAACAGUCUCCAUGAUUGAGAUCAAGGAUGCUGCUAUGCAAAUGGGGGGCCUAAAAGCACUUCGCCCAGACAGCUUUCAAGGAAUAUUUUAUCACAACUUCCUCAACGAAGUAAUCAAUAGAGCAGCCUCGGAAUUUUUUCAACAUGGUCUCCUCUCUCCUGAGAUGAACCACACAAAAAUUGUGCUUAUUCCAAAAAUCCCAAAUCCUGAAACUGUUUCCCAGUUCCGUCCCAUUAGCUUGUGUGACUAUUUGUACAAGAUCAUCUCCAAAAUCCUUGCCAACCGAAUUAAACAUAUUCUCUCCUCUCUUAUAUCCCACCAUCAAGGUGUUUUUGUGUUGAAUCGGCAAAUUCAAGACAAUAUUCUCAUAGCCCAUGAAACCCUUCACUACCUGAAGAACAAGAAAACAAAGAGAAAUUGUGAGUUGGGGUUAAAGGUCGACAUGAGGAGUCGGAUCCCCUUAUUUAUUCUUGUUGUUAUCGAAGCCCUAUCUACUCGGCUAACAAAAGCUUGCACUGAGAAUGCUAUCCAAAGUAUAUCUAUUUCCCAAGGAGGACCCACUAUUUCUCAUCUAUUAUUUGCAGAUGAUUCCCUAUUUUUCUUAAAAGCCACCCCACAAAAUGGACAAAAGAUCAACUACGAUAAAUCCACCUUGUUCUUUCUGCAAACACUCCUCAACCCACCAAAGGUGAGAUUGGAGCGGUCUUAAAUAUGAUUGACUCCUCAGAACCGGGGAAGUAUCUUGGUUUGCCUACAAUUUGGGUCCGUUCAAAAAAAAAAAAAGAAGCUUUGGCAUUUGUCAAAAACCGGAUUCAACAUAAAGUUCAAUCUUGGAAGAUCAAUCCUCUAUCUUUGGCAGGCCGCGAAGUGCUCAUUAAGGCAAUGGCUUAUGCUGUUCCAACGUAACCAAUGAAUUGUUUUUUAUUUCCGCUAACCUUUUGCAGGCAAUUAGAUGCUCUCAUUGCGAACUUUUGGUGGGGCAAAAAAGAGGACGGGCGUCGGAUGCAUUGAAGGCGUUGGGACACUAUUUGCCUCCCUAAAGUGGUCGGGGGCUUGGGUUUUAGGAGCUUCUCGGACUUUAAUAAAGCUUUGCUCGCAAAACAAGUUUGGCAUCUUAUUCAGGAGCCGGACUCUUUUUGGGCAAAUGUGUUAAAUGGGAGAUAUUUUCCAAAUGGGGAAGCUAUGAAUGCAACAAAAGGAUCUUGUGCAUCCUGGGCUUAGAGUAUCCUCCUUGAGGGUCAAGCUGUCAUCGUUUGAGGAGCUCAUUGGCAGAUUGGGAAUGGUUCCUCCAUCAACAUUUGAAAAGACAAAUGGGUCAUAUAUGAGGAGGAUGGUAUACUGCGCCCCUCUACUCCGGUCUCGGAUGCUGCCCCUUGCCUGGUGAAGGAUAUUAUUGACCCCAUCUCUCGUUCGUGGGAUACUAACCAAAUCAACUACCUCCUAACAUCUAAUGCUAUCAGAAGUAUUGGGUUAACCUGUAUUGUGGAUGAGAACUCACCUGAUCGUCUAAUUUGGCCUCCAACAAAAAAUGGCGAUUAUUCGGUGAAGUCCGGUUAUAACUUUUGUCAUACUCCUCGAGCGUUGGAACUUGAUUUGUGUAGGGGCAAAUCUCAGAGCUCUCACCAAACUGGGGAUGAUUAUUGGAAGUUGAUGUGGAAGAUCAAAACUCUACCCAUGAUUAAACUUUUCUUAUGGCGUGUGGCUACUAAUUGCUUACCUACGAUGUUAGCUCUAUAUAACAGGAAAGUUGCUCCCAACCUUACGUGCCCCUUAUGCAAAGAGUUCUCGGAAUCAACGGAGCAUGUCCUUUUCCUUUGCCCUUGGACUAUCGGCGUUUGGUUUGCAAGCUCACUAAAUUAUCGAAUUGACAGAUCAAGCAUUACAACUUUUGAUGAUUGGCUUUUAGCUCUAAGGAUAAUUGCAUGCCAUAUCUUUGAUAAUCAAUCUUGGGUAUAUACCACGGCUUCUUUCAUAUGUUGGGAAAUAUGGAAAGCAAGUUGUAAUUACACCUUCAAUCUCUUAGUCUCUUCACCAGAAUACAUCGCUGCAAAGGAUCUAUUGUUGCCGGCGCAUCAAGUCCUUGCUUAUCUUCCUCGUUUCUCCAUAUUGAGGCUAAGGCAGCUCUUUUAGCAGUCCGCUCAGCGAUCCACAACAAUUUCCUGGAUGUGAUCUUUAAAUCCGAUUCGCUGGAGCUUAUCAGCAACAUUAAGGGUGACUUCAAGAAUGGAAAUUGGACCAUUUUCCCCCUGUUAAUCCAAAUUCGGAAUCUUUUUCAUCGCUUUCAUUCGGUUAGCUGGCGAUGGAUUCCUCGUCAAGCGAAUUGUGCAGCCGACUGGGUUGCUUCGUAUUGUAAAAGAGGGAUGCGCUCUGAUGUUUGGGUCAUAAACCCCCAUCCUCUCUAGUUCACAUUUUAUCCAAAGAUGGUCUCCCUUGCCCCCCCUAAAACCUUUGGAAGUUGAGAUUGGGGAGGACUGCGGAUUGGACCUCAGCCUCGCUUUAGUGCCGUCUUCUGCCCUUCUCCCCUGUCUCAGGUCUGGGUGAGACCUCUUUUGGCUUUCUCUCGUUUUGUUGAUCUUAUCUACUGCUAUUUCUUGUUGUGUUUUUAUUCCCUUGUAUUGUUGUUCGGUUUCUGGGCUAUGCCCCUAAUGAAAAGUUCACUUUUGUCCAAAAAAAAAAAAAAACUUUAAUGCUACUUCAGUACAUUAACUGUGCGCAUAAAAUAUUUGUGAUUAUCUUUUGAUUUCCAGAAAUAUGAUACACAUUGCAAUUGCUUCUUGGUAGUUUUUAUUAUAGAUUGAAUCUCGCUAAACUUCUGGUAUGUUGAUGUCUAGUUUAUUGGGGCGACAAUGGGUUCAUCAGAUCUACAAAUACAGACAGAAAAUGGUCAAAUUGGCAUGCCAACUAAUAUCUGUUGUGUCAUUGUGGAAUAUCUUCCUGGGGGUGCUCUAAAAUCGUACCUCAUAAAACAAUUUAUAUAUACUUUGUGGCUUAGUUCGAAAGGUUUUUGCCUUGUGUGUUGUCCUACCAAGAUUUCAAUAACGUUGCCACCAAUUUCUGUUAGUAUGCGAUCUGUAAAUUUCUACGUAAAUUCAUACCGGUAGCAGCUAACAGUGAGAGCAACCAAUCUCCCUCUCAACUUUAUUAAUUUGUUAGAAGAAAUAUUCCGAAUUUAAAUCUCAUGAAUAAUAAUGAUUGAAUACACAUAUAUAACAAAAAAAUCUCUACAAUUAGUUAAAUUGUAUGUUACUAUAGCUAGAUGGCAAUUUAGGGUUCGUUUGAAAGUACUUUUUGUAGAAUUAUCAGAGAGACAGGCCGAUGGCCCACUUCCAACAACACCGAUAUUGUCUCAAACUUGGUAAUUACCACUCACACAAUCUGUCAUGUGUGGAGUUUUACCACAAAAUGUCUCGGUGUUAGUUAGAGUGAGAUAAUUCUAUUUAAAUUGCUUUUCUCCUUUCCCUCUAGCCGAUGUGGGAUUCAAUACCGCCGCACGUGAAACCCCAUUUUUAUGGGUCACACGUGGAGAUCCACAUAUCGACAACCACGUAGAGCCAAAAGGACUCACCCCAUACGCAGGAUCAAGGGACCCACCCAUCAAGUGGUAGUACGGGCCCGAUCCUUGACUUUGAUACCAUGUAGAAUUAUCAGAUAAACGAGCCAAAUGCCCACUUCCAACAACACCGAUAUUGUCCCCAACUUGGUAAUUACCAUCUGCACAAUCCGUCAGGUGUGAGGUUUUAUUAUAAAAGGCUUUGGUGUUAGUUAGAGUAAAGUUAAGAUAUUUAAACUAUUACUUAGUAAAAACGCAAAAAUAACUGAAAACACUUUUGGUGAAAUUUUUUUUAGAACUAAAUCCUUAGUAAAAACGCAAGUGAGUUCUGGAGAAGCACUUGAAGUGCGUGCUUCUCUAGGAAAGCGCUUCAGGUGCUUUUGGAACCCAAACACAUUUAAAAAAAGAUUUAAUCAUUUUAAGAGCACUUCUAAACAAGAAUUCUUCAAAUAUAUACUUAUAUAACAAAAAAUUUCCGUACAAAUAUAUUUUAAUAUUUCAGAAUCAAAGCCGAGUUUUUGAAUGGAGAGAACUAAUUUGUCAAAUAAAAGAAUAAUAAUUGGGAGGGACCAUCUCACCAUUUGUUUUUGUGAAAAUAUGUCUCAGUACAAAAAAGUCUCAGUCAUAUAGUGAAACCCAGAAUGGACAAAUACUAAAUAGUCAAGUGCACGGAAUUUAGGUUAGUAUCUGUCGUGGUCUUAUUCCCGUAAACCUGUUGCUGGCAACACUUUGCUCCAUAAUACAUGACAUUACCGUACUAUAACACACAUUAUUGACAUUCAAAUUCAACAGGGGGACCCAUUAACGAAUUGUGUUACAAAAGCAAAUUAUCGUGACAGAGAAGAUUGCUGCAAGGGCUUCAUCCGGAAGCCAUGAUAUCAUGAAUAAGGGCUGGUUUGGUAUUAUUGUGCUUUGAAAAAAAACUGCUGUGAGAAUAAGCGGCUGUGCUGUGAGAAUAAGCGGUUGUGAAAUAAAUCAGCAGAGUGUUUGGUAAACUUUUUUGUAAAAGUGCUUUUGAAAAAAAAAACAGUCUGAUAGUGGGUUUUUUCAUUAAAGGAGUAUUGUAGCUCCGUGUGCUUUGAAAAAAAAGCUAGUUUUCCAAAGCUGCAAAUAGCUGCUUCACCUUUUUCCUUUGAUUUCAGCUUAUUCUCACAGCAGUUUCCAAAAUAAGCCUUUUUUUUUAGUUUACCAAACACCUAAAACUCUCACAAUUUUUUUUCAUGGGUGCUUUUUUUUUUUAAGCACCUCACUUCCAAACCACCCCUUAAGGCUCAUGAUUAAAAGCCUUUAUUAACGUUAAAUUAAUGGUUUAUAUAUAAAGUCUAGCUUGACUCAAGUAACACAUCCAGCCAAAUCAUGUAUGGUAAGACCUUAAUUAGUGUUUGUUGUUGAUAAAAUGUUAAUGGGUAAUGCUAAGGAGAUUAACUUUUAAAAUUAAAUUAUGUAAAUUAUAUGAUACGAUUGUUGAUGACUGGAUUAUUAUUGAAGUGUUGAUUAACGUGUGUAUUUUAGUAAAAAAAUUUGGUCUACCUAGCAUUAUUCAAAGUUAAUAGAAGAUAUAACACUGAAUAUGAGGUCUAACUGGCAGUUGGUCUACUAAUAUUAGCUAGUGUAUUUAUUGUUGGAAAAUACAUGGGCACUCAUUAGCAAGUACGUACAUUUUGAUUUUGUCUAAUGAUAUUUUAACACAUAUUUGAGGAUCCCAUCAGGUUUGAGUGUAAUUGUAACCUCAUACAACAUCUUCAAAACAUUUCAUUCUUAUACAUUUAGUAUAAUUUUAUGUCAAUUUCAUAAAACCGUUAAAAAAUCUGUUAAGUUUACCGUAAAAUGAUGAUGUGGACGAAAUAGGAAAAGGAACUACAAUAGUGAGUAUUUAACUAUUAUCCUUUGUUUGCUGCUUCUUUGAUGGGGGCCAAUAAAGAAUAGCCGUGUGAUACUUUUCUUUGUUAUUUGGUUUGGUGUAAAGUGCAAGUAACAAAGCAGAGCCGUGCCGCAUUUGGAGCCCAAAUCAAUCACCAAUAUAUAGAAAACUAGCAAUCAUGCAUGCGCUAACGCAUAUGCAAAAGAUAUUUUUUGAAUUACGGCAUUGUGGAUGCAAAUUUCUUCUUUCUUGAUCUUGGACAAAAUUACACCUACAAAACAAUUAACGCCUUAGGUUAAGGCCAAGAGCCUCAUGUGCCCACGAUGAAUGGGGGGCUUUGGCCGAAGAACCUCCGAUGCCAAAGUUAGAAUUUAGAGAGAAAGAGUGUUUAGAGAAUUUUGGGAUUUUUGCCAAAGUGUUGGAAUGAGUUUGGUGAAAAUAUGAGCCUAUUUAUAGGGCUAGGCUUGGCCAUUUUUUCCAAGGAAUGGCCGGCCCUUGAAGGAGUUUUUGGUUUAAUUAGCCAAUUUAUUGGCUUAUUAAACCUUAAAGAAUAAAUUGGUGGUUACAUAUUUAUUUAGAAUAAAUUGAUAAUUAGGUUAUGAAAAGGUUAUAAAGAAUAACUAAAUUAUUAGCUAAGAAGGGGAGAAAAGGGUAAGGAAAGGUAGGAAAUAGGAUGGAUCCCUUUUAGAUGGGGAUGGCCGGCCAUUGAUGUGGUUUUGGGUGGUUUAUUUGAUAUAAUGAGUGACUUAAUUGAUAUUUAAUGGAUUAAUUGGGUAAUUAAUCCAUUAAUUAAUCAAUUAACAUAAUAAUUUGGAGGUUACCUUGCAAAAGGGAAUUUGAUGAGAUAGACUUUGAAUUGUUUACCUCUUUUGGAGCAUCUUUGACUUUGUUGAAGAAAGAUUGUCGACUGCUUGCGCGUAGAGAUCCCGGUGUACCUCAGGGGUAUUUUGGGUCCUUUUUGUCCAACAAUCCACGUGUCGCCUUGUAAUUAUUUUUGGCUCCACAGGCGUGUUACGUGUGACUUACAUGUUUUAAAUGUAUUUAAUGAUAUGCGUGAAUUGACAAAAGGAAAAUCAAAUAUUUGAAGUAAAUGAAUAAUCUUAGAUCAUGCUAUAAAAAAACCCCUCACAAACCAAUCAAAACAGUUGAAUUCACAUAACAAAAUCGGUCUUUUAAUUUUCAUCUACAUUAUAUUGAAUUUACAUUAAGAAUAGAGAAAAUAAUAUUUAAUAAACAACUGAUUGAACCACAUUAUUGUUAGCCAAUUGUGAGGCUAAACCCACCCCCUCCCCCUUAGUGUAGAUAAUAUCAUUUGUUCAAAAAAAAAAAAAAACAAUCAUUUGACAUUUGACAAUUAAUUUGAGCACAUUAUUAUGCGUGUGCGAAAGAUUUUUUUUAAUUUUUAUAAUUGGCAUUACACGCUGCUUAAAAUGUUUUGAACAUGUUUAAAAAUAGAGAAAAUAAUAUUUAAUGAAAAACUGAUUGAAUCACAUUAUUGCUAGCCUACUAUGAGGUACUAAUUAAAAAUAAAAAUAAAAAACUGUACAAAAGAAUUAAUUAUUAAAAAACACUGUUAAAAUGACAAAAAUACCCUUGCAUUAUUUUGGGUUCUUUUUUAUUUUUUUUUUGUUUUGAAGGUAUUUUUGUUUAAAUAUUUUUGGUGAAGCUUAUGACCCCAAAAGUUUUGGCUUUAUAUAUAAAGAUAUUCGAUGUUGCUCCCUUGUUCACAUAAUUUGGAAAGCUACCUGUAAUAGUUUUAUGUUGUUCCUGCAUGCAUGUUGUACGUAUCAAUGUGAAUCACGUAGGGCCGUAAUUAGUAUUGAAAAAACAUGGACACCCAACACUGUUUCCUAAUCUGGAUAAAUCGAGUAUUGAAAAACAUGCACAGCCAACAAUGUUUCCUAAUCUGGAUAACUCAACGUUAUUUAAGACACUAAUUUCAUCCUUACACUUCGUCAUUUGAAAGGUAAGUCAGAAUAUAUAUUUUUAAGAAGAAAUUAGGUUCAUAUAUUUCUUUUUGUUAUUUGAUUGAUUAAAAUCCUAUUCAUUUUCAUUUUUUGGUUAAGGUCAUUGGGUAUUAAUAACAUCAUUAAUUAUUUGAAUAAUAAAAUAUUUUUAUUUUUAAAAUAUAUUCCUUUAGUGUUAAAAAUGUUACAAUUAGUAUAUUUAUAUUUAUGGCUAAAUUUUUGAUCAUAUAUUUUUAUUUUUAGUUUGUACCUAUUUUUAAUUUGUAAAUAUUUUUUAAUUUGUACCAAUUUUCUUUUCAUUUUUAAUUUGUACCCAUAUAUUAGUUUCUUUUUGUGCCCAUAUUUUUUAAAGUUUUAUUUGUGUUUGUACCCAUGUGUAUACCGUCACAUGACAUUAUAUAUUUAAUCAAUGAUAGAAAAAUUACAUAUGGUAUAUUUACGUUUUAUGCCUAAACUUUGUAUCAUAUAUUUAUAUUUUUUGUUUGUACCCACUUUUAAUUUGCAACAUGUUUUUUAAAUUUGUAGUAUUUUCUUUUUAGUUUUAUUUUGUACCCAUGUAUUAAUUCUUUUAGUGCCUAUAUUUUUUUAAAAUUCAUUUGUACUCAUAAUUUUUUAAUCUUUUAUUUGUACCCUAAUUUAUUUAUAAUGUACCCAUUCUUCUUUAUUAAUGUACCACUUUGUUAUAUGUGAAAUGUACCAAUUUUUUUUAACACUAUGGAUACAUUCUUUUGCCAUUUCUUAUUUCUUAUUUUUACAUAGUUUUUAUCCAUUUAUUCAAUCAAAAUGUUUGAAUUUUUUUAUUGUAAUGGUUUCUAAUAGUAUUAUAAUGAGGGAUUUUAAAUUUAUAGGAUUAUAAAUCUCAUAAAAUAUCAAACAAUUAAUGUCAAAAAUAUAAAAAUAUAAAUAUUAAUAGUAAUAUAAUGAGGUGUACAAAGUCAAAGGACCUGAUCAGACUUUGAAUACUAUUAAGGUUUUAAUCAAAGAAUGUUAAGGAUUAAGGACCACAUCCAAAAUAUCCCUAUUUUUAAACCAAGCUUGCUGAGGAAGUCAAUCUUAAAUAUUUUAUUUCUAGUGGAGUUGAAACUGAUACAUGUGAAUGUUAAACUAAUCAUAUAACACCAUAAUAUGUCGUCCAAAUUGAAAUUGAGUGGGAUCAUAACAAAACCAACUUCUAGAUCAUAACAAGACCACUUCUAGAUCAUAAGAAAACCACCUCUAGAUCAUAACAAAACUAACUUCUAGAUCAUAACAAAAUUAAGACUUUUUGCAUGAAUUGAUAAUCAAAAACAAGGUUUGCAGAGUAUGGGCUUAAUAAAAUUGGUUAGAGAAAUGUGUAUUUUGCUCUCCAUUUAAGUUCCCUUCUUAUAGUAUAGAAAUUUAGAGCCUAUAAUCAUUUUGUUUUCACUUUUUUAUUGACCUUGAAAGUUAUUUGGUAAAUCCUUUCUUUUAAGCAAGGAGCCUUGUAGAUUUCGUCGUUUUCUUCGAAUUCAUAUAUUAUGGGCCUAAAAUUGUAACACAAAACUAAAACUACGUUAAUUUUGAACAAUUUGAAAAGUCCAAAACAUCGACUUUCGGAAUAUGGCAGCAACAAAUAUAUAUUAAAACCUCUCUAAAGUAAUAAUCUGUAAGAAACAACCUCAAGUCAUAACAAAUUAUGGUCCUAAGUUGGGACCAGUUAUGUAUAGAAAUAAACUCCAUACUGUAAUAAAAUAUAAUUUUUCUUGAUUCCAUCUAAGGAAAUACACAUCCACAUAGCUAUAAUUUUUGCUUCCAGUUGGGGUUUGAUGCUUCUUUUUGCACAAUCAACACUAAUAAUUUCAGUUAACUGAUUUUCAUAUUGACCUUGGGUAGAUAUGACCAAGGUAUUAAAUAUCGAUGAUAUCGGAAAUAUCGGUAGUCUGAAAACACAGAAAUAUCGAUGGAAAUAUCGGGAUAAUAUCGAUAUUGAUAAAAAUAAGUAGAUUUAAAUUGAAUGGUAUAUAUAUUUAUUAAGUAGAUUUAAAUUUAUUUAUUUUGUAUGUAUAACACUUAAGAAAUUGAAUGGUAUAUAUAUAUUUAUUAAGUAGCUUUAAAUUUAUUAAUGUAGUUCCGAUCGGGUUUUUGUUAGAAAAAUAUAUUAUUGUGGGUUUUAUGUAAAAAACAAAUUGAAUUUGAAGGGAGUAAAGUGAAAUUUUCAUUAAAUUUUAUAAUGAUUUUUUUUUUUAAUAUAACUUGCGCCAUGAAGACUGUCGUCGCGCAAAGUCAAUGACUUAACAUAAGAUUGUGUAAAUAUUUUCAAUUGACAAUCGAAUUAGUUCAUUGUAUUCAUAUAGGAUCAAGGAGUGUAACUGUAAAAAAUCAUCAAAAUCGGAGUUAAAAUAACUGUUAAAUCGUGAUUUUUCAUUUAUAGCUGUGGAAAAGGUUUGUCCCGUUACUUGAUAUCUGAACGUUUGUUUUUUACGAUUUUUGGCGUAUGCGAUCUCGAAGCAUAUACAAACAAGUUUGACGGUUGGACCAUUGAAACUAGUUUCGUACAAUGUGUUUCCCAUCAAAACGAUAGAUUCACUAACAUUUAGAGUUUAUUAAUACUUUCAUGAAGUAUAACAUAAGAUUUUGUGGUAUCCACUUGUGUAACUGUUUUCAAUUGAUGAUCGAAUUAGUUCAUUGUAUUCGUAUAGGAUCAAGGAGUGUAGUUGUAAAAAAUCAUCAAAAUCAGAGUUAAAAUAAUCGUUAAAUCGUGAUUUUUCAUUCAAAACUGUUGAAAAGUUUUGUCUCGUUACAUGAUCUCUGAAUGUUUGUUUUUUACGAAUUUUUGCGUAUGCGAUCUCGAAGCAUAUACAAACAAGUUUGACGGUUGGAUCGUUGAAAUUAGUUUCAUAGAAUGCGUAUCCUAUCAAAACAAUAGAUUCACUACCAUUUAGAGUUUAUUUAUACUUUCAUCAUGUAUAACAUAAGAUUUUAUGGUAUCAACUUGUGUAAAUAUUUUAAAUUAACGAUCGAAUUAGUUCAUUGUAUUCAUAUAGGAUCAAGAAGUGUAGCGGUAAAAAAUCAUUAAAAUUGGAGUUAAAAUAACCGUUAAAUCGUGAGUUUUUGUUUAUAACCGUCGAAAAGUUUUGUCCCGUUACUUGAUCUCUGAAUUUAUUUUUUUUGCGAAUUUUUGUGUAUGCGAUCUCAUUAAAACAAUAGAUUCACUAACACUUAAGAGUUUUUUUAUACUUUCAUUAUGUAUAACAUAAGAUAUCAACUAUUGUAAAUAUUUUAAAUUGAUGAUCGAAUUCAUUCACUGUAUUCAUAUAGGAUCAAUGAGUGUAGCUGUAAAAAAUCAUCAAAUCGGAGUUAAAAUAACCGUUAAAUCGUGAUUUUUCGUUUAUAACCGUAAAAAAGUUUUGUCUCAUUACUUAAUCUUUGAAUGCUUGGUUUUUGCGAUUUUUUGCAUAUGUGAUCUCGAAGCAUAUACAAACAAGUUUGACGGUUGGAUCGUUGAAAUUAAUUUCGUAGAAUGCGUAUCCCAUCAAAACAAUAAAUUCACUAGCAAUUAGAGUUUAUUUUAUAUUUUCAUUAAGUAAAAUAUAAGAUCGUGGAGUGCAUUUUGUAUAUAUAAUAAAUUUUAUAAUAAGUUUUUUUUUGUUUGUUUGUUUUUUUUUAUUUUUAAAAUAUAUCUUGUGCGACGGCGACGCCACAGUGGGAUGGUUGCGCAAACAAUUUAUUAUAAUAAAUUUUUUCUUUUAAUAUCAUCUUGCGCGAGGCCACAAUAGAAUCGUUGAUGAGCGGUUUCUUUAAAAUUUUCCGAUUGGAAAAAAAGGGCGCCUCCCUCACUUCAAGCAUAACCUCGAAGAAGUCUCCUUUCCUAUCUUUUAUCUGAUCAUUUUGAGACAUCCGACACCCUUCUUCUUCGCUCCUCUGCUCUCUCUCCGUUUCGGUACACUCCCCUGCAAAUUCCGUCCUCUGCAGACAGAAAACCUCAAUUUCUUCGCAGCAGUACUUUCAGGAAAUGUUGGUUCAGAGGAGAGUGAUGACGUGGGGGUCGGUGGCCAAGCCUCUCCAAACACUUGUCGCCGACGCGUCGCUUUUCACGUUCACGACUCUGAUCGUUCUCAAGCUCCACCGUUCCGUCCGCUAUCCUUGGUGGUUCGUAAUUUUCUAUUCCCUCUGCUUUUUUGUUGCCUGUUGUUUGGUUGCCGAGAAACUGAGAGAAAAUAAUAGGGGAAAAACGGAAUCUUUCAUAUGCGUUUGAAUUUUUUAUUACCUGAGAGAGUAUUAGAUACCGUAGUUUUUUCGAUUUUUACUGCAUUGUUCUCGCAAACUAAAGGUACCCAUUUGUGAGUUUGUGAAGUUUUUAUUUCUUUGUUUAGAGAGUGAAUUGCUGAGAAUCCCCCUCAAUUUUCUGUAGAAUGAUCAGAGAAACGGACCAUACGGCCCACUUCCAACAACAUUGAUAUUGUCUCCAACUUGGUAAUUACCACCUGCACAAUCCGUCAGGUGUGAGGUUUUAUCACAAAAUGCCUCAGUAUUAGUUGGAAUGAGAUUAUGGUAUUUGAACUCUUCUUUUGUCAUUGAUACGGUCGAUGUGAUACAUUUCAACACGUCCACUCACCUGAGACCCAAUUAGCAUGUUACACGUGGGAGAUCCACAUAUUGACAACCAUGUGGAGCUAAGAGGCCUCACCCUACACGCGGGGCCAAGGGACCCACCAUGGCUAAGGGGACCCACCAAUCACGUGGUAGUACGGUACGGGUUUGCUCUCUGGCUAUGAUAUCAUGUAGAAUUAUCAGAGAAAUGGGCUAUACAGCCCACUUCCAACAACACCGAUAUUGUCCCCAACUUGGUAAUUACUACCUACACAAUCCGUCAUGUGUGGAGUUUUAUCACAAAAGAUCUCAGUAUUAGUUGGAAUGAGAUUAGAGUAUUUAAACUUUUCUUUUGUCAUUGGUCGAUGUGAGACAUUUCAACAUUUCCCAGUAAAAAACUUGUGGGUUCUGCUUAUUAAUUUAAAAUGUUUCCUUCUUGGGCUCGUAGUUGAUUCUAUUGGGCAUGCAUUUUCAGUGAUCGUGGAAGUUUCUUGCUCGAGAUCUUUGGAUUUUAUGUGAUGUUUUUAGUUAGUUUUUGUUAUGCUUUCUGUUUCAAGUUCUUAUGUGGACUACAAUGUUUCGGUAUCGGAAAUUUCGAUGCUUAACGAUUCCAUUUUGCAAGAUAGUUCAAACUGACCAAUGCACUGCCAAAUCUAUAAAAAACAGAGUUGAAAACAUACCAAUUUAAUUAAGAACUUAACAAGGUGCAAGCCAUUCAUUGUUUCCGUGGUUUUACUGGCGGCUGCGUUUGCAUUGUAAUAGCAGCUGAUUAGUGAAGAUUGUAAAAGAACCUUUUGAGGCUGUCUCAUGUAAGAAAACUGCAUGAUGGUUUAGGUUUUGUUACUUGUAAUUGUCUCGAGGGUUCUGAAUAUCUUUGAGGAAGCAUAACUUUCUUUCAGCCUCCAAAUUUCAGCUGACUUUUUCGGGAUUGAUUGAAUAUAUAGUUUUCUGUUUUCAUAAUAUUGCAGGAUCAUAUUUUCCCCUCUCUGGCUGUUCCAUGUAGUUGUAGCACGAGGCAGAUUUUCGUUACCUGCUCCAAACCUGCCUAAUGAUCGCAAUGUAUGAGAUUGUAUUUCCAUUUUUCUGCAUUUGUCCCCACUGCGUGUUAUCAUUUUUCCAUAGACAAUCCAAUUUAUUUAUUUAUGUUUCAAGUUGAGCAACAAAAAAGUAAAUAUUUCUUUCUUAUGGGCAGUGGGCACCUUUUCAUGCUGUCAUGGCGACACCGUUGCUUGUCGCAGUUGAACUAACGCUUUGUAUAUACCUUCAGCGCAGAUAUGGUAUACAUGCAACAUACUUAAUGACAAGGAUCACUGAAAUCAUGUUCUUUAUCUAUAACGCGUUUACUUUUUUGUUGGUCGAUAAAUGAAUUAUCAAACAGUCACUUAUGAUUACUUCUUGGUGAACUAUAAUGUGUGCAGUUGUGAGCUUGAAGAUUGUCUUUGCACCCUUGUUGGCAUUUGAACUAGCAAUUCUAUUGAUAAUGUCAGGUAUCUCUAUUUCUUCCAAUCAUAUUUCCAAACUUCCUUAAUGUUUUUUUCUUUAGGAGGGUUCUAAGUUCCCAGAGCUCGACAUGUUCAAGGACGUUUAUGUUCGACCUAGCGAUGAGAAUAGCUCCAUGUAAGUAUAUGUAAUUAUUAUUAUUCUUAUAUUUAUGAAUCGUUCAAAUAUUAUUUAUAUUUUGUUAUUAAACAUUAUAUGUUUUUUAUUAUUAUUACAGGCUGCUAUGGUGGAAAAACACACUGCUGUUCUCCAAUAAGAAGCAACAUUACAGCUUUCCUCGGAGACCCCGAUCAAGGAUGCAGGUCUUCAGAUCUUGAUUGAGGUCCAGGAUCAGAAGUUCGGUCGUCGUCAUGGCAAGGUUGUUUGGUGUAUGGGGAAGGCGCGGGUUCAUGAGACGGGUGCCUUCUCUUCCAAAUCGACCACAGGACAUGUCAACGCUCUGAAAGAGGAAGUGACAACCCUAAAAGGUCAGCUUACGGUCCAAGGCGAGUAGAUGAGCAUGAUUGUACGAGCCUUACAGAUGUCCAGCCUCCAAAUCCCGAUGCCAGCACCUGAUCUUGCUCCACCUUCGACCUCCCAACCACUUCGCUCAACUGAUACCCAGUAGCCUGAUGUAUCAAACCUAGAAGACUACUUGUAGUUUUUUUUUGUUUGGACAUCUUGUAUGUACGUUUUCAUAUAUUUUAUAAUUAAAUACUUUUUCUUGGUUUAUUAAUUAUUGUUUAGAAUUUAAUUACAAUAUUUAUUAAAAAUUAAAUAAAAAAUAUUUUUGCCAAAAAAAAAAGGGUUUGCACGACGCAAAAGUAACAUGCUUGCACAAAUCCUACUGCUACUGCCUUGACGUGACGGUUGGUGCGCAAUGAAGGAUUCGUUGGGCUAAUUUUUGUCUGAUGUUUUUUGACUUUGUGCGACGAAGGACCUGCGUCGCGCAAACUGUUUUUUGUACUAGUGCUACACACGAGGCCAAGGGAUCCACCAUUAUCGCGCGAGUCCAAAGGGACCCACCCAUCACGUGGUAGUACAAUACGGGCCCGCUUCCUGGCUCUGAUAUCAUAUAGAAUUAUCAGAUAGACAGGCCAAGGGCCCACUUUCAACAAUAUCGAUAUUGUCUCCAACUUGGUAAUUACCACCUACACAAUCUGUUAGGUGUGAGGUUUUAUCACAAAAUGCCUCGGUGUUAGUUAGAGUGUGAUAAUUCUAUUUAAAUUGCUUUUCUCCUUUCCCGUUAGCUGAUGUGGGAUUCAACACUUUUAAAAUAACUGAAAACACUUUUGGUGAAUUUUUUUUUUAGAACUAAAUCCUUAGUAAAAACGCAAGUGAGUCCUUGAAGUGCUUCUCUAGGAAGCACUUGAAGUGCGUGCUUCUCUAGGGAAGCACUUCAAGUGCUUUUGGAACCCAAACACAUUUAAAAAAAAAAUUUAAUCAUUUUAAGAGCACUUCUAAAUAAGAAUUCUUCAAAUAUAUACUUAUAUAACAAAAAAUUUCCCUACAAAUAUAUUUUAAUAUUUCAGAAUCAAAGCCGAGUUUUUGAAUGGAGAGAACUAAUUUGUCAAAUAAAAGAAUAAUAAUUGGGUGGGACCAUCUCACCAUAUUUUUUUUGUGAAAAUAUGUCUCAGUACAAAAAAGUCUCAGUCAUAUAGUGAAACCCAGAAUGGACUAACUAAAUAGUCAAGUGCACAAAAUUUAGGUUGGUAUCUGUCGUGGUCUUAUCCCCGGAAACCUGUUGCUGGCAACACUUUGCUCCAUAAUACAUGACAUUACUGUACUAUAACACACAUUAUUGACAUUCAAAUUCAACAGGGGGACCCAUUAACGAAUUGUGUUACAAAAGCAAAUUAUGAAAGGGCUGCAUCUGGAAGCCAUGAUAUCAUGAAUAAGUCCUGGUUUGGUACUGAGAUGUUUCUGAAAAAAGUGGGUAUAAAAACAAGUUAACUUUUUAUGUUUGGUAAACAUUCAACUUCAGCUUUUUUUUCUUCACAUUUUUGGAUGAAAAAAAGCCAAAAACACAAAGGUGCAAAACCCAGCUUUGAAAAACUAGCUUUUUUUGCUUGCCCGGCUUCUGCGCAAACCAAUUUCGCAAGAGGCGCUGAGGCCUUUAAUGAAAUUUUCCAAUACCCAAAAUGGCCUUUAGCAAUUAAAUAAAUUAUACAUUAUACCCGUUGACUUCAUCGCCGACCUCGCCACGUCUCUCUUCCGUCCUCUCUGACUUUGAGCUUUUUCAGAUUUCUGGGACAUGAGCGGCGGGAGGUUUGUCGGAUUUCUGGGUUUUGUCAAAAUUCGGGGCCUUUUCUUCCGAUUUCUGAGCUUUGUCAAAAUUUGGGUUGCACAAAGAAUGCUAGAUUUGCACCCUUCUGCUUGACAUCCAAAAUCUCAACGGGAAAGCCUCGACGCCUUCAUUGCUAACACCGAUGGUAAGUCCUGAAAUCGGAGUUCAUCCAUUUUUCGCGAAUUGGUUGAUGUGACCCAGCCUUCAUUUCCCCACGACCUAGCCUUCAUUAGGAUCAGGCAGAGAGAGAUACAGAGAGAUAUAGAGAGAAGGGGGAGAGAGGGAGUGAGUGCUUGAAGAUAACAAAGGUUCUGCAAAAAUAAAAUAGGGACAAGGUAAAGAAGAAACGACUCUUAGAGAAAAGAAUAGAAUAAAAAAAUUAUAAAUUGUUGUAGGCAUAAUUUACUGAACAAUUACGGAGGCCAUAGAAAGAGAAAUGCGCGGCAAUAGAGAAUAAGAAGAGAGAGAUGUGUAAUUGUGGGUGUGUGUUAUUCCACCCCAUUGUGUCUUUAUUUAUAGUAGUAGGGAAGGUUAAUUCCUUACCCCUUAGGAUUACAACAUUUAAUAGGUAAUCUACUUCUAAUAGGAAUAUAAGAGAUAUCCUUAUAUCUGUUAGGAUUUACACAAUCACAUUCCUAAUCUAGGAAUAUAAGAGAUAUCCUUAUAUCUACUAGGAUUACAACAUUUAAUAGGUAAUCUACUUCUAAGAUUGCAACACUCCCCCUUGAGUGUGUAAAUACUCAAGUAAAUGACACAUCGGGUUUUCAGUGAUGAAGCAAGUAUAGUUGAUGAAGUCGUCGGCACAAUGAGUGAAUGUGAGUCUCAUAUCAACGGAAGAAUGCAUAAAAAGUAAAACUCACAAAACCUCGCUAUGGUAAAACCUAAGGUGGGAGAAAAACCCAUAGUUUAAGGAGAAAAGUGAGAAGUUGCAUUAAGUAAAAAACUAUACGUCUUUUAGACGUAAGUAGAAGAGCUCACAAGGGUAUGAUCAGCCCAGGAUGGGUGCCUCGUUAAAACCUAGUUAGGUAGCAAAAACCCAGUGGGAAAAUGCUCAUAAUCAGGAAAAAGAGUACAUUAAGAUCAAGUGAUUAUAUUUCUGGAUACUCCUCCUGAGUUUGACAUAACUUCCAAAUGAGAACUAUAAGCAUUGCAUAUGAAUAAUUAGGCAUACCAAUUCCUCGGACAAGCUUCUGGAAGGUUGACUUUGGCAGUGACGUCUUGUAGAGGUCGGUAAGGUUGUCUGGGAUCGGGUUGCAUAACUUCAAUUUCUUGAUGCUUUGCUGAUGUAGAUGCAAUAUGUCUUGGCGUUGACUUUGCUGAUGUAUCAUGUCUUGGUCGAAUGGAUACAUACGGCAUAAUCUUCAUGGAUCGUCGUUGGGACUUAAUGAUGGAUGAAAACACAGCAAGUACUUCGGAUAUACUCAGCAAAAACUCCUAACCAUGUCUCACUUGUGGCGUAGUGAAGUGAGGUGAGUUUUGGAACGAUUCAAAGAUUUCGCAACUAAGGUCAUAUCAUGGACCUCCAAGAUAUUGCGAUAUCCCUAACGGUAAAGACAUAACCAUUUGGAGAUUUUGCCUUGUGCAGGUUUGAUAAGUAAUAUGCGUCAACAUAACUACAAGGCAAACAUCAUUUUAAGGAUCAGGGGGUUGGAUCCGCUGAGAUGCAUUUGAGAUUUGCCCAUGUAGUACCUUCAGGGUAUGUCUUUAAUACCAAUUCAAUGGAUACGUGUAGGAGCGGUGUUGCAUCUUUACCAAGAUUAAUAGCGAAGGAGAUGUCCUGUCUAAAUACAAUGAGCUAAGUACAACGAAGCACAAAGUUGAACUUUAGAUAUGAAAUUUCGGAUUCCAUAACCUCUUCAAGGGUCUCAUUUGCAUAUAACGUAUGGACGAUCAUAGGUAUACUUAAAGGUAACACAUUCGGGGUGUAGUUCGACUGGUAGACCAAAAUACCGUCAGAACAAUGCUUCAACUUCGAGUCGAGGCAUAAAUGAGUUUUCCCAAGAUCCUUCAUCUCAAAUUCCAUUUUUAGGUAUGAGGCAAUUUUCUCAAGUUCUUCCAGAGUCUUAAUGAGAUUCGUGUCAACGACAUAAACUGUAAUUCUAGCAAUUUAGAAUAAGACUUCAUAGUUUAACACGCAAAAACAUAAUUCAUAUCCCUAACUAAUCAAAUAAUCACUUAGACGGGUAUACCACAUCCGUCGGAUUGUAAGUGAAUGCCUCAAGCAAGUUAAGAGGGUGUUAUAUGGUUUUGGAACUAUUUAAACUAGUCCAUGUAAUUCUUCGGGAACUUACAUGUAAAUCUCCGUAUUUAUAUCCCCAUGAAGAAAACACUAACCAAAUUUCAUAAUGCUGCUAUCAAUCACAGGACGUUUUGAGAAAAACCUUGUGUCGUAAGACGUGCAUCAUAUCGCACUAUUUCAUUCAUCUCAAUACGCUUCCUUUCCCACUUGUAACAUAACAUGGUUAUCUUGAGCAGUGUAGGGACAACAGGUCCAAUACACAUUUUGGCAAGGAAUUUGACCUGGAUUAUAAUUUCGGUUGUCCAAUCAGUUCUACGUUAUCACUUAAUCAAAGGAACACGGUUCAAUAUCGUCGCUUUUCAUUUAUGUCGGUAGCUACCAUAUAAGUGAAAACUUCAUCAAUGAUAAUCUUAUUUCAAUUCCAUUUAGCUCAUCCAAACUAGUAUACUGGACCAAGAACUUUAAGUGUCGGGAGAAAUCCGGAUUAAUCUCAUAAGAUGGAAAUGAUUUGAGACAGCGAUCGAGUUUAGAUUCAUUGUUGUGCCGUGUCUUCCUCUUCCAGGGAAGUGAAUUAUACGAACUGAAUGAUUUGUCAUGCUCCAAGCCAAGACAGAUUAAUUGGUUCUCCGUCGGUAUACUAGAUCGUCCAACAGGGGUGUCCAAACCGUCCAACAGGGGCGGCACACCUUCCAGGGAUGUUGACUCGACAUUCGUUAAGUACGUCUAUCCUUGCAGGAAUUUUUACAGCUGGUAUAUGAUCUCGUCACUUUAGCUAGAUUAGAGGAAUACGUCUAGAGCAACAUUCUGAAAUCUAGAAUUCAUCACACUUACUUAUCAUUCAUAUGCAGUAUGAGGAUCAAGAUGAGACAUAGUGGGUAACGUCCACGCAAAUUCGCGCUGUUCUCCAGGAACGUUGAUGUUCUUAUCUCCCCCUAACGGUAGGAAGACUAUCUCAUUAAAGUGACAACCCAUAAAUGAGCGGUAAAGAGAUCGCGUGCAAGGGCUUAAAGAGAGCUAGUGUGAAGGAGAAUCGUAAUCGACAAAAGAUACACAUCCUUCUUUGAGGACCCAUGAUGGUAUGUUGCGGCGGCGCAACUUGGCACAUGGAAUGCACACACAAAUCGGUAAAUACGAAAAUCGUCAGGUUCGUACCCAGUAACCAACUGUAACGUCAUAUAGGUUGGGUGGCUAUGGGCCUCAAGGCAGACCAACAUAAUUGCGUACAAGAUUGCAUAUCCCUAGGCAGAAGCUGAAAACUUGGUACGUUUACCAAAAUUCGGGCGAUCAUUUAAAUUGCGCUUUAUGAUCACUAGGUGAGGCUAUUCGGGAUGAACAUGGGAAUUCGAUGUUCAAUUAUAAACCCAAAAUACAUGCAAUACUUUAUCGAAAACUGUCGAUAUAAACUUUCUGGCAUUAUCCAGUCUCCCGGACCUUAAGGGAUAAGUAGGGUGGUGAACCCUUAAUUGGCCAGGAGGUUUAGCAGCAAUGUGUGUGGACAAACAUGUGACUAGUUUGUCGAUUCAUCAACUAAAACCAUAAGUAUAUAUAUGGUCCGCAUUUUGGUUGGAUUAGUCCAUAUAUAUUCCCUUGAAUCCACUGUGCAAAAUGGGUGAUUUCGUAUCUUUGCGAGGGAUGAUAUAGAAAAUUGAUUUACCUAAUGAGUAGGCUUAGCAAUGUGUGCUUGUAAGCAUAAGAUCCGUACUUCGGGUAAGGAGAUGCGUCGUAGCAUCAUUGUUCGACCUAAGUGUCCCAAAAGGUCGUGCCAAAACAAGUAAAUUGCUUAAUCACCCAGCUCCAGGUCGGCCACAUAUGGUGUGUUCCUAAUUGGGAGACAACCCAUUGGCCUCAAAUCAAAGCUUCAGGCUCAUUGUUGGAGGUGGUGGAAAGAUUUCACUCUAUUUUCUUUAGUGGUUCAUUUAUGAUCAUUGUCAUCUCGAAUAUCCUUAAAAACUCAACGUUAAGGAGAAUGUAAGGUCCCUUAAAUGGUGAUUUAGUACCAUUCAUACAAAGACGAGCAUGCCAAUGCUCUUAGUCAGGUUGGAUAGACCUGAAGUCGUUGUUAGAGAUGUGAUUUAGAUGUAAAGUUAGUGUGCGUAGUACACAUUCAUCCAGACAACUAACUUUCCCACAUUUCUACCUAAUCACGUGUUUAAUUGAAUUGGUCACAUGUAUGAAGAAACAUGAUUCAAUUAACUCAUAUUUGAGGAAAAUAUCAAUAAGAUUAUCCAUAAGUAAAACAUACACCAAACGUGAAUCCAAGAACAUUGAAAAAUGUUCACAAAGUAAAUGGUUUACUAAGGGGAUUCGGCCAACAAGGCCAUCCAUGUCAAAAUUAUGCUUUUCCAAUGGUGUUUGGUGUAACAAAAUUAGUCUCACGUAUUGACUACUAGAAUGGUACUCCUUAACAACAUUGGUAGGGGCACAAACAUGUACAUAACCAAUGGUCUAUUCCAUCGAGACGGAAAUAGAUUCUGCAGGGUUAAGGUUCGGGAAUAUUUUCCCUUAUUCUUGAAGUUGUAGGUCUUAGGUACCAAGGAUCACGCUUCGGGCAUGAUGCCACACCUUGGCAUGCCCCGAUUCUACCAUAUGUUGUAAAAACAAACUUGAAAUUGGAUUAUGAGAGAAUAUGCCAUUCAGUGUAUCCUUAUCGGAGCAGUGCAUCACCAUUCGGUAGGCUUUGACCGAACUGGGUCGAGCUAUUCGGUAGACUCUAGCCGAAUUGGGUCCAUACUUUUCUCUCACGUUUGUGGUAGUAAUCAGAUUCAAGAAUUUGGUAAACUUCCGCUUUCUACACUGCUGUUUCAGGGGCAAGUUAGAAAAAGGGCCUCGGGUGUAAACUUCAGGUCACGGGGUGAGGGAGAAACCCUAGCCCCAGCUGGGUUUUAAUAUUUUUUUUUUGACCAAGGGAGGGCACGGGACAAGGCCCAGCAUGAGUUGGCCUUGGGUUUGGCGCAAUGGGCUAACUGUCAUGCAAAAUGGGCUGGGGUGCUGCAAGGCCCAACAAGCUUUGCAGCUUGCUGGCGUAGACUGAAGGCCAGGGCUGCAGGCUCUUUGCUGCUACACAAGCCCAGAAACCAUAAGGUUACGACAUGUGGGUGAGUGGACUCAACCAAAUGGGGCUGGUUUCAGUGUUUUGGGCUCGGGGCUUCAGGCCAUGUCGAGGUGAAGUCCAGGUUGUGGCCUGGUUGCUGUGUCUAUAUUGAUGGUGUGGUGGUGUGCCGUACCAUAUCCCAUUCCCUUUUUUUUUUUUCAAAAAUCCCUUAGGGUUUAGGAAACCCUAAAAUUGCUUCUAAUUUAAUUUUAUACAUUGACUCAUAUAUUCCACAUAACAAUUUAAUUGUGCGAUGCAUGAAACAAAUAUAUAUAUAUUGACAAAUAUAUGAACAUAUACGAUAUAUAUAUCGGAAGGAAAAUAUAAACAUAGGGGGUUCAUGCAUCAUGGGGAAUGUUUUCAUGCUUCAUGGUCGUUUCAAAUAUCUUACUUUAUUUUAAGCGUACCUGAUUGGCAGAAAAGAACAAAAACCUUUGAAUUUGUAGAAGAUCUAUCUCAGAAAGCCAGAAUUGCAUCUUCAAUGCGUUGUAUCACGUUCAACACAGAAAAAUUAAAUUGAAUCAAUAACAUGUAGAUCAAUUCCAUAAAAUAAUUAAAUUAAUCACAAAAAGAAUGAUUAAAACGUAAUACUCCCCUGAUUGAAUAUCAAACUCUCUUGUUAGCGUAGCGUCAAGAGCGUGCUGAUAACGUGUUGUAGGCAUAAUUUACUGAACAAUUACGAAGGCCAUAGAGAGAGAGAGAGAGAGAGAGAGAGAGAGAGAGAGAGAGAGAGAGAGAGAGAGAGAGAGAGAGAGAAAGGUGUGGCAAUGGAGAAUAAGAAGAGAGAGAUGUGUAAUUGUGAGUGUGUGUUAUUCCACCCCAUUGUGCCUUUAUUUAUAGUAGUAGGGAAGGUUAAUUCCUUACCCUUUAGGAUUACAACAUUUAAUAGGUAAUCUACUCUUACUAGGAAUAUAAGAGAUAUCCCUAUAUCUACUAGGAUUUAUACAAUCACAUUCCUAAUCUAAUAGGAUUGCAACAUAAAUAUCUUAAUAAAAAAAGAUAAAAGUACAUUCUUCGAAGCUCACAACUGUUUAUAAAUAGUUUAUAUAAAUCUUAUAAAAAAAGGUAAUAUUCAACAUCAUAUCCUUUUUAGUCAUUUUACACCGUCGCAGCGGUUUUACAUAAAAAUUUACCAAACACUUUAACAUUGCUUUUUUUUUUUUUUUUUGCUAAAAACACUUUUACAAAAAAUUUUGCCAAACACUCUAUUGCUUUAUUUCAUAGCUGUUUAUUCUUGCAGCAUAGCAGAAGCAGUUUUUUUUCAGAGCACACAAAUACCAAACUAGCCCUAAGGCUCAUGAUUACAAGCCUUUAUUAAUGUUUAAUUAAAGGCUUAUUUAUAAAGUCUAGCUUGACUCAAGUAACACAUCCAGCAAAAUCAUGUCUGGUAAGACCUUAAUUAGUGUUUGUUGUUGAUAAAAUGUUAAUGUAUAAUGUUAGGGAGAUUAACUUUUUAAAUUAAAUUCUGUAAAUUAUAUGAUGCGAUUGUUGAUAAUUGAAUUAUUAUUGAAGUGUUGAUUAACGUGUUUAUUUUAUAUUAGGGACACAUCAUAUGACUUAUAAAUUUAGUCUAAAAAUUUGGUCUACCUAGCAUUAGUCAAAGUUAAUAGAAGAUAUAACACUGAACAUGAGGGGCUAAGUGGCAGUUGGUCUACUAAUAUUAGAUAGUAUAUUUAUUGUUGGAAAAUACCUAGGCACUCAUUAGCAAGUACACACAUUUUGAUUUUGUCUAAUGAUAUCUUAACACAUAUUUGAGGGUCCCAUCAUGUUAGAGUGUAAUUGUGUCACAUCCCGACCUGGGCUCGACUCCGUCGUAGCACAAUAUUGUCCGCUUUGGGCCCCGACCAUGCCCUCACGGUUUUGAUUUUGGGAACUCACACGAGAACUUCCCAGUGAGUCACCCAUCCUCGGAUUGCUCUCGCUCGAACUCGCUUAACUUCGGAGUUCCGAUGGAACCCGAACCCACGGAGCUCCCAAAAGGCCUCAUGCUAAAUGGAGGUAGGCAUGUACAUAUAAGGCAUAGAGGAUCCACUCCCCUGGGCGAUGUGGGAUCUAACAAAUUGUAACCUCAUACAACAUCUUCAAAACAUUUCAUUCUUAUACAUUUAGUAUAAGUUUAUGUCAGUUUCAUAAAACCGUUAUAAAAUCUGUUAAGUUUACCGUUAAGUGAUGAUGUGGGCGGAAUAAGAAAAGGAACUACAAAAAAUGGUGAGUACUUAAGUAUUAUCCUUUAUUUGCUGCUUCUUUGAUGAGGACCUAUAAAGAAUAGCCGUGUGAUACUUUUCUCUGUUAUUUGAUUUGGUGGAAAGUGCAAGUACCAGAGCAGAGCCAUGCCGCAUUUGGAGCCCAAAUCAAUCACCAAUAUAUAGCAAACUAGCCUUCAUGCAUGCGCUCACGUAUAUAUAGGAGGCAUUUUUUGAAUCACAGCUUGUUACGCGCAACUUACAAGUUUUAAAUGUAUUUAUAUGUGUGAAUUGACAAAAGGAAAGUCAAAUAUUAGAAGUAAAUGAAUAAUCUUAGAUUAUGGUAAAGAAACCUCUCACAAACCCGUCAAAGCAGUUGAAUUCAUAUAAUAAAAUCGAUUUUUCAAUUUUCAUCUACAUUCUAUUGAAUUUACAUUAAGAAUUGAGAAAAUAAUAUUUAAUAAACAACUGAUUGAAUCACAUGAUUGCUAGCACAUUGUAAGGCUAAGCCCACCCCUUCCCCUUAGUGUAUAUAUCGUUUGUUCAAAAAAAAAAAAAAUUAUUUGACAAUUAAUUUAAUCACAUUAUUAUACGUGUGCAAAAGAUCUUUUUUUUAUAACUGGUAUUACACGCCUCUUACGAUGUUUUGAACGUGUUUAAAAAUAGAGAAAACAAUAUUUAAUGAACAAUCGAUUGAAUUACAUUAUUGCUAGCCUAAUGUGAGGUACUAAUUAAAAAAAAAUUGUACAAAAUAAUUAAUUAGAAAAAAAACACUGUUAAAAAGACAAAAAUACCCCUGCAUUAUUUUGGGUUGUUUUUUAAUUCUUUUUUUGUUUUUUGUUUUGGAGGUAUUUUUGUCUAAAUAGUUUUAGUGAAGCUUGUGACCCCAAAAUAAGUUGUUGGGUUUAUAUAUAAAGAUAUUCGAUGUAGCUUCCUUUUUCACAUCAUUUGGAUUGCUACGUCUAAUAGUUUUAUGGUGUUCCUGCAUGCAUGUUGUACGUAUCAAUGUAUCAAUGUGAAUCACGUAGGGCCGUAAUUAGUAUUGAAAAAACAUGCACAUCCAACAAUGUUUCGUAAUCUGGAUACGACACAAAUCUCCUUCUUUAGUCUAUAAGCAUCGUGAUUUCUGCCUAGAACUUUUCAGCAACAAUUAAGUAUGACAAGUUUGACCAAAUUAAGCAUGAUGGGUUUCUAUAAUCUAUAAGUUAAGGGAUGUGCUAUCCACACACCAUAUUUUACUUCUCACACACUCUUUGUUAAUUUCUGUUCGUUGAUCUUCUUCAAUUCAUACGAUCCGACGACUGAAAAUUAAAAGGGUGUGUAAGAGGUAAAAAAAAAGGUGUGUGGAUAUCACAUCCCUAAGUUAAUUGAGCAUAAAGAUCAUUAUAUCCAAUAGACCCGGCAGUUUCUGAUAUGACACGGUGACACGACAAUAAAAUAAUGGGUUUCAGAUCAAUACGAUAACUUAUCGAGUCAUUAUCGGGUGACCCGUUAAGAACCCGUUAAUAAUGGGUUCUUAACGAGUAUACACGUUGGUAACACGUGGGUAACCUAUUUGUCACAUCCCGGGCCCGUUCCAUCACCGUAGUACGAUAUUGUCCGCUUUGGGCUUACCAUUCCCUCACGGUUUUGUUUUUGGGAACUCACGAGCAACUUCCCAGUGGGUCACCCAUCCUAGGAGUGCUUUGGCCUCCUUCUAGCUUAACUUCGGAGUUCCUACGGAACUCGAAGCCAGUGAGCUCCCAAAAGGCCUCGUGCUAGGUAGAGGUAGGGAUGGGAAUAUACAUUUAAGGAUCACUCCCCUGGGCGAUGUGGGAUGUUACAAUCCACCCCCUUAGGGGGCUGAACGUCCUCGUUGGCACACUUUCGGCCAGGGAUUGGCUCUGAUACCAAUUUGUCACAUCCCGGCCCGGGUCCACCACAUCCCAGGCCUGUUCCACCACCGUAGCACGAUAUUGUCCGCUUUGGGCUUACCAUUCCCUCACGGUUUUGUUUUUGGGAACUCACGAGCAACUUCCAAAUGAGUCACCCAUCUUGGGAGUGCUUUGGCCUCCUUCUCGCUUAACUUCGGAGUUCCUACGGAACCCGAAGCCAGUGAACUCCCAAAAGGCCUCGUGCUAGGUAGGGAUGGGAAUAUACAUUUAAGGAUCACUCCCUUGGGCGAUGUGGGAUGUUACAUCAUUUCGACCAAUUAAGAAAAAAAUUAUUUUGAUAAUUUUAAAGUUUAAUUACUAAAAGAUUUAUUAUAAAAUACAAUAGUCAUAUUAGUGUAUACAAUAUAUUCUAUAUUAAAUGUAUAGUUUUGUAUUAUUAUUCUAUAUAAGUUUAAAAAAAAAAGUUUUAGUCAUUAUUUAUUUUUAUUAUGAGAGUUCAUUAUUAUCAUUACUAGGAUAAAUUUUACUUAACAUGUUGUUGUCCAAAAUUAAAAUAAACUAAUAUAGUAUUUGUAUAAGCAAGAACUAAGAAGACAUACAUACAAUUAUGAAAAAUGUGAAAGAAUAUAUAAACACUCGUGAUUCAUCAUUAUUCCUCCACGAGUAGAUAAUGGUUACAAUUACAUUAUUGUUUAGAUUUUUAAAAUCCUCCAAACCCACAUAAAUAAUGUUUUUUAUUUGAGGGAAAAAUUAAUAAAAUUAAUAAUAAUUAUUGUAGAAGUGUAAAAAACGUAAAAAAAAAAAAAUAUACAAUCACUCAUAGUGACAAACUUUACAACUUUCAUGAAGGGGUCAGCUUCGAAAUCUAACACUAUAUUUCAUAAACCUUAAAUUUAUAUUUAACCGUUGAUUGUCAUUUACGCUUUAUUCUUCUUACUGAAUUUUAUUUUUAGAAUUUUAUUUUUUGAAAACAUGAUCAUCUGGCAGAUGUAAGAAGAUGAACGGUUCAGACCUUUGAUAUCACGUUUCGAUAUUUACGGUUAACUGAAAUAUGAGUCGAUAUCAUAUAGUUUGUAGAAACUUUAUAAACAUCAAGCAAUAUUUUCACUAACUGUAAAACUCUGAAUAUAAUAUUAACGAUCUAAACCGUUCAUCUUCCUGCAUCCUCUAAUAGAUCAACUUUUCAAAAAAGAAAAUCUAAAACAACAAAAUUUGAUGAGAACAAUAAAACUUAAAUGUAAACAACAAUCAACGGUUAAAUUUUGAUCUAUGAUUUAUAUGAUUAUAGUGGCGAAUUUCGAAGUUAAGCUCUUCAUGAAAGUUGUAAAGCUUGUCAUUACAAGCAUUUAUAUAUUUUUUCUAUAUUUUUUUACACUUCUACAUUAAUUAAAAAACUAUUAAAGACUUUAGGUAAGUGAAAAUAUACUUAAAAGAAAAAUACGUUUUUAUGUUUUGGAUGUGACAAUAUGGUAUGUAUAUACUUAUUUAGUAUUAUAUUUUUCAUUUGAUUAUUUAUUGGUUUAAAAUAUAUUUUCCUUAACGGGUAACGGAUCAAGUCAUAUUACCUGUGAAUAUUAUCGAGUCGAUUUCGGGUCGGGUCAUUUUACCCGUUUAUUUUAACAGGUGUUACACGACAUGACCCGUUAAGAUAUCGGGUAUGACACGAAAACGACACGAACACAGAAAACACGACACGAAUGACAGGUCUACUCCCAGCUUUAUGGGCUUUACUACAUAACAUAUUAAUGCGUGAGGUACCUAUCUCUCCAACAUUUUUUAUUGAUCACUGCUUCGUUUGUUUAAUUUAUUGAUAAAAUAACCCAAUUUCUAAGCUACGGUAUUAGAAAAGACAAUCAAAAAUAUAUUUUGGAAGCAAAAUACAAUAAUCUAAGGUAUUUUGUUUGUGAAUGCAAAAUCUUGUUUCUAAUUUGAACUUGAACAGAGACACACGUAUUUUUAAAAUGUAUCAUAAGGUCAAGAUUCGGCAAACAAUCCAACGGCUUCACAUGAAUAUAUGCUAGGGCGGGCCCCCGGGUUUGCUUAUUUCGCCUGUGCUUAUUUCGGCUGGGCACGAAGCUUCAACUAUAUAUAAGCGUACAAGUUUCAGUCAAGCUCCUCCUCCUUUCCAAACCCUCUCCCUUAAUUUGCUCUCUAUUUCUUGCUUUUCAUGCUUGCUUGGAUUUUGGGUUUGUGAGGUUUGCUUGUUUUUAGAGAGAAACAGAGAGGAUGAAGUGUAGCAGUGAGUCUUCUUCCAAACCGGACAGGAAGACAGUGGAGAGAAACAGAAGAAUUCAAAUGAAAAGUCUCUGCUUCAAGCUUGCUUCACUUGUCCCUCCCCAACACUUCAAAACCACCAACUCCAAGGUACAUAUGGAUCAUUGGGAAAUUUUAUUAGAACCCCUUUUCUUUUUAUCUCUACACCUAGCUUAAAUUCUAGAUAUAAAUUGUGUAUUUUACUCUAUGUAAUUUUGGUUACAAAUUAGGGUUUGGUUAUUGUAAAAGGAGGUAGAGAUCAGAAACAGUUAAUAUAUAUAUAUAUAUAUAUAUAUAUAUAUGUAUAUAUAUAUAUAUGUAUGUAUAUAAGCAAAACCAUAAACGUAUGUAUUAGUUAGGUAAGCCAAAUUCAUAUUCCUAGUCCAACUUACUUAGAUUCAGUUGUAUAAAUAUACUUUAGCUCUCUAUAUAAUUGAUUGAUCUGGUGAAAUAUAUGAAUAUUGGAGCUUUCGAUUUCCAUCGUUCUCUCAAGAGUUUUACCCUAUUUUUGGUUUUCUUCAUAUUGUUCUAGAGGGACCAUCAAUGGAGGGACUGCUUCUUAGUUUUUUAUUUUUUGAAUAAUUGAUUUUGUUGGGGGUGUAAACAGAAAUUAUAUUGGAUUGGGUUUUCAUAAGUGAGGAUAAUUUAGGAAUUAAUAUUAGGUGUAAAAAGAUAAUGAUAGAUAAAAUUUUCCUAUAUCAUUUAGGACAUGUUAGUUUGUGAGUCUGAAGUUUAAAUUUGACAUUACCCUUUGAAGGAAAAGGAUCAUCGCUGGAUCCUUUUCUUAGGGAUCCUAGGGAUCCCAUGAUUGUGACUGUUUAUCGUACAUCGUGCGGUCAGAAAUUAUUUCAAAAUUUAAAUUUUAAAAUUAAAUAUAAACAGUACCUAGUGAAAACUGACUGCACGAUGUACAGUGAACUGUCACGAUCCUAGGAUCCCUAGGAUCCCUAAGAAAAGGUUCCGACGAGGAUCCUUUUCACCCUUUGAAACUAUAUUUUCCUUACCUAAAACCCAUCUUCUCUAGUUUUCUUGACUAAGACCAUCUCCAACUCUUGGCCUAAAACCUAAAAUUUUUAGCUCAGAAAAUUUAGGUUUUAACCCAAAAAUAGCUUUUCUGCUCUAACGUUUAUGGCCUAAAUUUUUUAGCCCGAGAUUAUUAAAGAAUAAAUUUAGGCUAAUUUUUUCUUUUAAGUAAAUUAAAAAAAAAUUAUGUACACUAUAUCCUAAUUUAAUUUUAUGAACAUUUUAACCUAAAAAUAUUUAGAUUUUGAUAAAUAUUGAAAAAUCACUAAAUUUUGGUGAAUUUUGAGUUAAAUUGUUUUUUUAAUUAUUUUAGUUGUUGGAUUUAAAUUUUGGGCCAUUAGAUCUUUUUUUAUUACUGUUAGAUUUGAUUAUAUUCGUUCACAGCUGUUGGAUUCAAUAAAUCUUGGGGAAUAUGCCCACGUGGGUGGGGUUCUGCUAGUGGUGCCCACACCAUUUGCUGGGCUAAAUCCUGGGCUAUUUCUAGCUUUGUUUUAGGUUUAGGUCCAAUUUUAAACUUGGGUUAGGUUGGAUUUUUUUUGGCCCCCGGGGGGGGGGGAGGGGGGAAUAGUGUUAACUACAUUGCAAUGGUUGUGAAUUGAAGGGAAAAACAAGGAGAAAGGAUGAACAGAAAGAUGAACAAAGAGAUAUGAGAGAGAGAGUUUAGAGAGAUAAAUAGAUUUUGUAUUAACUGAUCAAAUGAAGAUUACACAUACUGUUUAUAUAGAAAUCCUAACUACUUUAACCAAAUACUAACUACCUAACUCUAUUACUAACUGUAUUACAUUUUUACCCUUAAUACUCCCCCUCGAUCUCAACUGGGGUAACCCAGUUUAAGAUUGGAAGAACAAUUGCAAUCACUGUUAUGAAACCAAAAAAACAGAACACAGAGGACAUAAAGUUCAAAAUACUUCCAAUGAGCAGCAGCAACUUGUUGAAACAGAUGACAGUGCAAUUUCAUACUCAUCAAUCAAUUUCCCAAAGAAUUUCAGCCCCUCAAACUGAUAUCUGCUGUAGCUACUGUUUUCUUUGCGAUAAGGUAUCCAAUAUUUCACAGUCAACAUUCCUAGAAGACCUUCAAAUCUUCACAGAUUCCAUUGUAUUUUCAGACAUUUUGAUUACUCUGACCAAAUCCUUCUUUGUUCACAAUUGAGAAUGGUCAAACAACAAGCUUUACAAUCACAGAAAUUAAGAAACACAACCCUCUUCGGCAAUCGGCCUUCAAUGAAGAAAGGGAACAAGAACUGCACUCCGGCAAUCGACCUUAAUGGAGUUGCACACAAUAACAACAAACAAAACUUUUCAAGAACGUUACUCCGGCUAUCGGCCUUUAAGAAGUAACACAAUACUUGAAACAGAACUUUUCACUCCGGCUAUCGGCCUUGUGGAGGAAACAUAAAAGGGAAAUGGCUAUCGGCCUCUCUAUCCCAACAAACAAUUAAAGAACCAAUCUUUCAGCAAUGGCAAUUGGCCUUCAUUUGCUGAUCAAUCAGGUAAUGAUAGUACAAUCUUGGCAAUCAUCCUUCUUGAGUGUAAAAUACCCAACAAUAUUCAAUUAAAGAAUCAAUCUUUCACUUAGAAGAAAUGGCAAUCAGCCUUCAUAUUCUUCUAAAUCAGUAACUGGCUAUCGACCUUAAUACAAGAAUUAACACAGAAUUGCUCACUGAGACAAUCAAACAAACAAUUGGAGUGCAUAAAGAAAGAUGAAACCUGAAUCUUUAGUUCUUAAGCAAAAAAAGGCCAGAAAAACACAUCGGAGAUUAGUAACCAUUCAAGAUAACACAUCGAAAGUAAUAAUGAUCAAUAUUGAAUCUAAAUACCCCAAAUAUCACACUGAUAAGAACUUCAAUCUUGACCUAAAGAACGCUGAGGAAGCAAACCAGAACCCAUCGCAGGAGCUCGUUGUUCUUCUCGAAGUUGACCGGGUUCAUAUCCAAUCCAACCCACCAAUGGCUUACACCCAGCAAACCCAGCAUGCUUCGAAGGACGAUUUGAAGGAAAGUAGAGCAAACCCAGGGUAGGAUGUUCAUGUAAUGGCAGAGUAGUUAUCCAGAAUAUUUGAGGACAUGUGGGCCAUCAUAGAGUCAGAUUACAAUCGUGAGCUGAGGUUUGGAUAUGAUUAUGGGGUUAAUCUUCCAACACCUACACCAAGAAAGGCACCUCCAUUGCUACCACCUCCUAUUGAUAUGUGAGGAUAGUAGGAAAAUAGUUGCUGGAGUUGAAUAAAUGGGAGUCUUCCUCCAUUGUUGAUCCCAAGAAUCCCAUAAAAAACAUUGAAGAGGAGAUCCCAACAAUGGCAGAAAAGCAACCCAAUCUCGUGGAAGCACCGAAAAAACUAAUGGAAAUUUGGAGAGAAACUAUGCUAGAAACAAAAGAAAAAUAAUGAGAAAUGCAACCACCAGAAUCAAUGGCGUGAGCAUGGUGGCUCUGAUUAAAUGUUAACUACAUUGCAAUGGUUGUGAAUUGAAGGGAAAAACAAGGAGAAAGGAUGAACAGAAAGAUGAACAGAGAGAUAUGAGAGAGAGAGAGAGUUUAGAGAGAGAAAUAUAUUUUGUAUUAACUGAUCAAAUGAAGAUUAUACAUACUUUUUAUAUAGAAAUCCUAACUACUUUAACCAAAUACUAACUACCUAACUAUAUUACUAACUGUAUUAUAUUUUUACCCUUAAUACAUAGAAGGGGAAACUAGAUUAUAGGCCAGGGUUGGAGUUGGUCUAAAGCCCAUUGACUAGGCUCUAACUAAGCAAAUUCUUUAAUUAAGUUUGACUUUUCAAAUUGUGUGUUUUUUGAAUGCCUAAACUACCCCUAUUAAUACUUGGAUUGAGGUUUGGAUUAGUUACUCGUUAUAUCCAUUUAAUUAAUUAUAUUUAUUUUACAAAAUAUUUCAUUGUAUAUUUAAUGUAUUAAUUUUCAAAUUGUUAUAAGGUGCGGAUUGAAAAAUAAUAAUAUUAAUGCCAUAAUUUUGUGAGUUAAAUAUACAAGUUAAUUUACCUACCAACACAACAAUAAAUUAACCUAAAACAGCUUCCGCUAUUGCAUAUGUACUACAAUCCCUAGUGCACAAAACAAAAGCUAUAUGUUCCACGCAAUUUUUACCUACAAAAUAGUCUAAUUUACCUAUUCCAUCAAACCAAAAUUUAAAGGGUCUAAUUUACUUCCAAAAUGGUCUAAUUUACCUACAUGAUUUAUGUGCAUUAGAUUUCAAGUUUAUUUAAUUGCCUACAAGCACAAACCCACAACAUUCAAACAUUAUCCCAUAUCACUAUUUUUUUGGAAUAGGUAAAUUAAUUUAAAUGUAGGUAAAUUAGGUAAAUUAAUUUAUAUGUAGGUAAUUACAUGAUUCAAACAAUAUUAUUUUUGACACACCCCGACCUGGAAAGGUCAAAGCAUGCUAACCAUCACCGAGGUGACGUAACCAUAAGGGUAAGUGAUGCAAAAAGUGAAUAAAAUUAAAACUAAUUAUACUAAAUGAUAAAAGGGAAUGAGUGCGCAUUCGUAGGACGAACCCACUACAAUUAUUCAGAGCGUAAUAGACAGUGAGACUACAUAGUAGUAGUCAAAGUAGUUAAAGUACACUUAUUACACCACAGUGAUAAGUUCGUACGUCUAAAUAGAAGAGAAAGUUAGAACCGCCGGGAUUCCUCGAGUGCCACAAAGAGUACAACUAUCUAGGUCCUGGAAGGGCGAAAAACAAAGUUGAGUGGGUCAACAAAACAAUGCUUAUACGAAAUCCUUUAUUUUCGAAUAUACUAAGUAGGUGUGUAACCAAUAAAUCAACAACAUUAUAGUAGUAUAAUAAUUAGAAUUAUGCCAAAUCAUGAUGUAUGAAAUGCCACAAUAAUAUAAUCAUGUGAUAAUCAGGUAUAGCUAAGUGCUUAUCCAUCUAAGCUGACAUACAAGUUCGAACAGAUAAUUUCUGACACGAACAGGACUGGGUGUAAUCAAUAUGCUCUAUGUUGAUGCACAAAAUCAACGAGGACUUUGGUACAAAAGAAAAUGUUAAGUUUUUGACCUUCGCCGAAUGGCUUGUGUGACAAAAGAUCUCAAGCGGUUGAGAGUCAAAACAUUUGUAAUGUGUAUGCCUUCUUAUAAUAGCAUUUCCUUUAGUACCUAGUCCUCCACUUUGAAAGAGUGAGGCUUGGCUUCAUAGUCAUAAUAGUCGAUGGUAUGUUCACCCCUGGUGUCUUGAUACGAACUUUUAUCCUUCUUGUUGUAAUGGGCUUGCUGAGAGUAAAACUCAUUCCUCUUACCAAGAGACAGAUACGUUUGGUGACUUAGCGAGUAGCUAAAUGAGGCAGGAGAUGAUGCAAUGGGUGUCUGAAUGGCCAAGAUCUCCUCACUUGGUAAAACUUGACUUCCACUUCCCACUUGUUGAUAAGGGUUAACCAUAUGAGGGUUCCCUUGGUAUGUCCUUGCUUCGGCGGAGGCGUGGUUAUAAGCCUGUGCCAUCACCUCAGAGUAAGUCUUCCAAGUGUUAGCAUUGAUCAUGUACUUAAAGAAACAAUCACGUAGGCCUGCCGUGAAGGCCUUGAUGGUGGUCUUGUCAUCUGCCUCAGCGCAGUGAGAAUACUUAUAGCUGAAGAGAUCGGCAUACUCUCGUAGUGACUCGUUCGACUUAUGGCGAAUAAUGUACAAGUCAUUUGCAGAAUGCAAGUGAUCGGUCUGGAAGAUGUGUUGAGAGACAAACAGUUUCCUCAGUUCCUCAAAUGAGUCUACUGUCUCAGGUGGAAGACGGCAAUACCAGUUUUGAGCUCCGCUAGAGAGGGUGGAGGGGAAGAGAAGACAUCGCUCUUUGUCGGUGUGCAUCCGAUAUGCCAUGGUAGACUCAAAGAGGUUAAGGUGUUCAAUUGGAUCAUUCCUUCCAGUAUAAAGUUGUAAACCAAGCUUUUGUUUUGUCUUCGCUUGAUGGGGGUGUCGAGGAUCUUCCUUGUGAGAGGGCCAUGCCUCGGUUAGUUCCAGUUAGGUAUCUCGGCCUGACUUUCGACCUUCAACUUGUUUACUUCCUCAAGGAGCUGUAGGACAAGGGAGUCCUGAGUGAAGUCGUGUACCACUGGAAUUUUCUUUCGUAAGUCUCCAUCGCCUCUUGGAAGUAGGAAAGUUUGAGUAAGAGCCUGUAGUUUUUCCUUGGACUCGCUGUACUGACUUCUAGGGCAAGUUUGUUGGAAUACCUCAAAGUCCCUUGUACCUUCAUGUUCUUUUAGAACCUGUCGUUCCUUCUCUAGAUUGGCAGCUGGCCUGGGUCGUGGGAUGAGACUGAGUCUUUCAGAAACCCUUGGGUCAUUGAUCUUCGAGCAUAUGUGGAGGGGAUUCUCUCGAUGUUACUUUAGGAAGCCUCGGCAGUCGCGAUAAACGGCUUUCGAUCCUUCCAACCCUUCUGCAAUAAGGUGUCUUCCUCCACUUCUCCUACUUCAGGUCGAAACAUUUGGGUUGAGAGAAGUCUCAUGUUGAUCAAUGUUUUGAUGAUUAGCUCGCUCCUCAUCUGGGAUACCUAUGUCAAAGGGAGGUGACCCUCCGUGUUGGGGGCACCCAGAUGAUGGUUGAUGUCCACAUGGACAACGAGUUCACGUGUUUGAGUACGCCUAGUUUUGUGGAGCGUCUCAAAGAGCUUCUCAUACUGCUCCUGGAGGACCUCAUUCUUCAUUGCUAUCUUAUUGUUCUAAGCUUCUAGCUCAUCGACUUUAGCUUGAAGAGCAACCUUCUUUCAUUCCUUCUUUCGUUGCUUUGCACUAGGUGCAAGAGGGGUGUCAUUCUAUGUGUUGUGGCUUCCUUCGCUCCCCAUGUUGGAGAGGGAUGCCUGGUCAAAAGAGAGUGUACGAAUGGUGGAAACCACCUUGACAAAGCUGAAGAGAGUGGGAAUAAGUGUCGUUUCCCACAGACGGCGCCAAAUGUUGAUGCACAAAAUCAGCGAGGACUUUGGUACAACAGAAAGUGUUAAGUUUGUGACCUUCGCUAGAUUGCUCCGGUCACUAGUGUGGAUAAGUAAGUAAAUGGAUAGAGACAGGGAAGCAAACACAAGAUGUACGUGGUUCACCCAGAUUAGCUACAUCCACAGAGUAGAGGAGUUCUCAUUAAUUGUGAAGGGUUUACACAAGUACAUAGGUUCAAGCUCUUCUUUAGUGAGUACUAGUGAACGAUUUAGUACAAAUGACAUUAGCAAAUACUGUGAGAGAAUGAUCUCUAUUUAUAGAAGAGAGUUUCUAGUUUCAUUCUGACGUUGACACGUGUCGUGUUAUGAUUGACUUCUGAUGUUGACACGUGUCGCGCUAUGAUUGGCUUCUGAUGCCGACACAUGUUGCGUUGUGAUUGGCCUCUUAGUUGGAGGGAAACUCUUCUGGGUCCUUGACGGUAUAACGUUGACUGGUGCUCAGUAGUUUCAGGAUUGGUCAAGUAUGGUACAAACACUCUAGUACUACGAUUACGUGAAGACUGGUGCAGAAGCACGGUCACAUACAAGUCAGAUUGCCUAAUGCAAUCUACCCGACAUGACUGGCACCUAACUUGGAUCCAAGACAAGCGAACGGUGUGAUGUGAACAUACACAUGAAGGACUGGCCCUGGCCCUAAGGCGAGUACUAACACCAGUGCAGCAAGAUGAGCAUGUACAAAUAUGUAUGAAUGUCAUGACAGUAAUAUCUUAACCAUAAAGCAGCAAUUAUCACAAUUAUAUAGCAGUUAUUAAUUAUUUGGCAAUAUAUAUAUAUAUAUAUACGCAAACUGAAGUAAAUACACAUUUAUAGAAACUAUAAAUAUGUAUAGGUAUAAAACAACUGCCCACUCACAAGUACGUCGCUGGGUCAUAACCCCCGAACCUAGCUUGGCCUCAAACGUCCUCGGGAUAUGUUUCCCCUAUAUGUGAAAUAACUAAAAUAUAAUUAAUUAAAGCACAUAUACAGAAACUUAAAUAAAACACCCAUAGUUUGCUCAAACCUAGGGUUUAAAUAUACCACCGUGACCUACUUGACAUCAUGAACAUCCCCAAAUUUUCAGAAAAUUUUUUGGAUGACUCACGUGCCCCCACACGCCGUCAAGGGCACGGCCAGAAGCGCCCGACGCGCAGGCCAGUGCCUGACGUCCGUUAGGAAUAUUCCGUCAACUCUGAGGAAAUAUUCCAUCACCUUCUCCGAUCACCCUCGCUGUCGCCGCCAUCUGCAACUCGAUCUUUCGCCGAAUUUCUGGAAAAAUUUUAAAUUCACUAUUCUUCUUCAUUUCUCAACCAUUUUUGACGUACUAUAUAUGGAUUUGAAGCUAGUGAAGUGAAGGAUCGCGUUAUACCUGUUUGGAGUCCAAAAAGUGGACGGAGGUCGCCGAAAAAAACCUCGAAAGUUUCUGCCAAAAGUGAACUCUUCGAAACUCAAUCGUUUCACGUCGACCUUCUUCCAAAACAAGCCUAGGACCUUCAAAAAGUUGUGAAGAAGCCUUCCCAAGCUUCAAAUCAUCCUAACUCAUUCAAAAAUACAUCGAACUCAGUGUGCCUGAGUUCGGACCUCACGAGUUAACGAGUCAAAACUCGUCUAAACUAGGUUUCAAGAACAUGGUUGAGUUCGUGAAGAGGAGGAGAGUACAAUGGAGUGGUUUUCGGGUUCGAUCUGUGAGCUUAGCAGCUCGUUUGAGGGUUUUGCAGAGAAGAGAGCAUACAGGAGAGAGAGAGAAGGUUCAUUUUUCUCUUUUCUGAUUGGGGGACAUAAAUGAGGGAGAGAUGAGAUUGGUGAGAGAGAGGAAUGAUGGAGGAGGGUGCACAGGAUGGGCUAGGGAAAAGCUAGGGAUAGGGUUUUAGAUUUUCUACUGAAAAGAGUAUCGAAAAUCUAUCUGGGAUAGUGUUUUCACACUGAUAAAAAUUUACGUACACCCGUAACGACGUGUACAAUUUAAAUGCAAUAGCGAGAAAUAAAAUGAAAGCGAUAAGAAUACGUCCACGCCACUUGCCAAUAAAGGCAUAACCGUUAAUACACAUACUCAGGGAGAAAUUACACAGGAAAAUUAGGGACGGGUCGUCACAAUUAUUUUUCGUACAAGAUAUGUCUAUUUUUUAAUACGGUAAAUUAAUUUAUAUGUUACUAAUAUUUGUAGUAAAAUAUCCAUAUGGAUUUAAUUGCUCAUAAUAAUUAGGAUGAGUAAUAACAUUUAUUGACCAAAUUAGGAUUUUGUGGCAUAAAUUGUAAAUGAGUUGUAAUAGUUGGUUAUAUAUUUGUCUACAUGACAGUCUAUUUGAAAUUUGGGUUUUAUUUGAAUGUUUAAAAUUAAGUGGAUUUUUGUUUGAAAAAUAUGAAUUUCAAGGGUCUAUAUCUAAAGAACCUAUUCAAUAAUCUAGUAAUGUAACAUAUCAAAUAUUUAGGACAAGAGAACGCUACUCCUUAACUAAAUAUAUUUCAAUAAAAACCAAAUUUCAUUAUCGGCUUUAUUAAUUGUAAUAUGCCUUUCUCCCAUUGAUCAGGAUACCGUGUCAAAGCAAAAUCAACUUGAUACUGCGGUAUCCUAUAUAAAGCAACUGAGAGAGAGAAUAGAGAAUUUGAAGGAGAGGAAGGAGAAAGCAAUGAGGUCACAAUUAGGCAGUUCUAAUUCUGACAUUAGUGCUAUUGCUGCCGAAAAUGCCGUAAUGACGGGAUCAAGAUUACCAGUCCUUGAAUUACGAGACUCGGGUUCCUGCAUAGAAGUUAUGCUGAUUAGUGGGUUGAAUAAGAACUUCAUGUUUUAUGAAGUCAUCCGUGUUCUUGAGGAACAAGGAGCUGAAGUUGUCAGCGCUAGCUUUUCCACUGUAGGCGAUAAAGUUUUCCACUCGGUGCAUGCUCAGGUACUAAAACAAUCAUCCGAGAAGCUAAUAUCAUCUAAUCUUAAAAAAAUGUACUAAAACAAUUAAGUUCAUUAUGAAACAGACUUAUCAAUUUUAUUUUUGAUGCUUCUUUGUAGGUCAAAAUUUCUAGAGUUGGAGUAGAGACUUCAACGGUAUGGCAGAGACUACAGGAUUUGUUAUACUGAGUAGCUAGCUAGCUAGCUUUACCUCUUGAAAACUGAAGAUUUAUAGAUAAUGUUUUAGCAAAUGCAUCAUGAAAGAGCUCCGGAAGGAGAGGCGUAAUUAGGAUAUAAAAACUGAUGUUCCCUGUUUCCUGGGCUAGCCAUUGAGUUAAUAAUCAACGAAUCUAUUAAUAUAUACAUAUGUGAUCUAGUGUUUGUUGGAAAUUUGAGUUUGAGUAGAAAUUUCUUUGUCCCACAUUGACCAUUUCCAAAAGCUUUCAUCACUUUAUAAGGCUUUGUCCCUUAUAGAAAGUAAUUGGAGUAAUAGGCAUUGGAGAAUAAAAUUGGGCACACCCUUGGGGUUAGACUUUGAGGUGCACUAAUUAAUUAGUAAUUAAUAUAUAUUUAAUAUAUAUAUAUAUAUUAUAUUUAAUAUAAUUAAUUAUGAAAAGACUCAUCAUUUCAGAUGAAGUCUGAGAGUUCAGAAAGAACGCAGAACAAAGCACCCCUUCUGGAAUUCUAACUUGACUUAUGUCCAACAGUGUUAACUUUUUGUUUAUUGUCCCUUUUCUAAAUUGGUCUCAAAGUAUUGAUUCUUAACCAUCUUUUUAGAAAAUAAUUAGAUAAUUUCAUGUUUUACACAAGAUUACACAUAGAGGGUGUUGAAUCCUUAAUGAUGCUACAACAGCAUAAUAUUCUUCCUCAUGGAAUAAGGAUUAAUUGAUGAUCAUAAACAAGUUUCAAACUCGCAACUAUAUAUAGUCAUUGCCUUACAUUAAUAGAGGAAGUGAAGGUUAGGGUUUUGAGAGGAGGAACGUACGUGGUUGGAGAGAAGAAAGGAAAGCUAGGGUUUUGGGUUUGUGCAGCAGAAAGGCAAACCUAUACCACGUAGAACUAUGUGUAACCAUGGUGCAAACGUCCAUUAUCUAUAUACAAAAGGAGCACCCAAAAUGGUGAAGCAUUCAAAUACCAUAAAUUGUCCCUAAAGAAUUCAAAAAUUGCAAUUGUAUUAAAAAGAGUUAGCCAAAGACGAAUUUGAACCAUAUUAUUGUUAACCUAUUGUGAGGCUUAGCCUACUCUCCCACUCUCAUAACAUAGUGUAGAUAAUAUCGCUUGGUAAAAAAAAAAAUCCAACACAUUUUGAUUUUGGAUGAUUUAAACAUUAAAAAUUUAGGGAAAAAAAUAACAAAAAUAGAAAACCCCCAUUAGUGGGUGGUUUAUGAUUGACUUCCAAUUUAUUUUCCAAUAAUUUUUUAAUAAAAUAUAUAAAUAAAAAACUUAAAUUAAAUUGGAGUUCAUGCUGAAGCUUGGUUGGUAGAGUUUCAGAAGUGGCAGAAUGCACGGCCAGUGAAACAAAGUCGAAGGAAGCAGUCGUGGCAGAAACCAGAAUUAGGAUGGGUUAAAGGUAAUUUUGAUGGAGCGUGGGAGGAAAGAACGAAAAGAGGUGGUGGGUGUGAUUACAGGAACUGUAGUGGUGAUAUUUUGGCUGCAUAUUCCGGUCAGACUGUUGGGGUGUCAUCACCGUUGCACGCAGAGUUGUUGGCUGCGCAAAGGGCAGUGAUGCUUGUGAAAGACCAUAUUGCUGGAGAUGGGGGGUGCAUAUUGAGGGAUACUCUAUCAUGGCCAUGGCAGCCAUGCAAAAGAAGGAGGAAGAUUUCUCUCCGUUGGGACCAAUUAUUAAUGAUAUAGGGGAUUGCUUACAAAGGUUAUCUAAUUCACGAUUUAAGGCAGUGUUUAAAAUAGCAAUAUAUGUUGAAAUAGCCCAAAAUUUAGCAUAACUCAUGUUCAAACCAACACAGCCCAAAACAACCAAAACACACUAGUACAUAACAGCAUAUUUACCACAUCAAUUCCAUCACGGGCAUCAACAGCUCGUGGUAGAAACUAUUCAAUUACCACGGUUACAUGUAGAUCAUGGUAGAUAACAUUAAUUCACCACGGUCAAAUUCUGGCCCGUUAUUAAAAGUAAAUAAUUUACAACGAUUUUUAAUCCCGUAAUGAAAUAUCAAAACCACCACGCGAUAUACUCGUUAUGGUUACUUCAAACAACCACACAGCCUUUUGAAAAUUCACCACGGCAUCGGCCUGUGGUGGAUUUUGUUUUUUUUUUAUUUUUAAUAUUUUGGAGGAUAGUAUUCCUAUACUAAUAAAACCCAAACCAGCUUGCACUGUUUACGGAGAAUGCGCGGACGAAAAUGCCCUCCGUUUGGUUUUCCAUAUCAGGCGCUUUUUCUCUUUGUUGCACAGUAACAACAGAAUUCUCAGCUGCUCUGCAACGGGUUGGCGAUUUCGAUCAUGCGUCCUACACUCCGCAUCGAUCUCUUCCAUCGCUGCUUCGUGAUCCUUCCGAUCCCUGCUUCCUUAUCUUUUCGAUCUCUGCUUUACGAUCUUCUCGCCCCCUCAUCCUGUACCCAAUUUCUUUAGCCUUCAAGAGGUAAUUAAAUCUCACUUCUUCUCAACUACCCAGAAGCCAAAUAUUUGAUUUUUCGCUGUGGUUUGUUACUUUAUCGAAUUUAGUUGUUGAUAUUUCGUAUUUUUUUAUGGUCCAUUUGUGUUCUAUUGGGGUUGUAUUUUGCUAGAAUUUCAUAAAAUUUGAUUUGGUGCAUAACUGAUUGGCUUAAAAUUGUUGUGAGAUUGAAUAUUUCUUGAAUUUGAUCAUUAGAUUUCCCUUUUUUAUUUUGGAAAUUGACGUGCUUUUCCAAUUCAUCGCCAAAACAAACCCGUGCUUCCUCCCUCUUCGUCUUCUCCUCUCGCAAUCUGCGCCCUUAGUUCUCAAUUGGAUUCACAGUAAACACCCAGAAAUUUAGAGGUACGAAAUUUCAAUUUUUUUUUUGUGUUUUUUAUUUAUUUUCAGUGUUAAUUUCUGAUUAAAUUAUUAUUUUAGGAUUACUUUUGAGAAGCAUUGUUGGAAACGAUCAUUGUCAACUAUCUGAUUGCAAUGGACAAAGAUUGGCUAACAUUUUCGAGGUAUAUUAUCUGCCUCAAUGAAUUUCAUUUUUGACAUUGAUAACUAGGGUCUGUUUAAAGUGAUUAAGAUUUAUUUAUAAUACAGACCAUCAACAGAAUACAGAGAGGGUGCACAAAAGUUUGUACAAGUAGCUAAAGAAUAUGGAGGAAAUCGAGAUAAGAUCAUUUGCCCAUGUAUAAUAUGUCAAAACCAAUGUUUUCAACUACCUGCGAUUGUGUAUGAACACUUGGUUAUAAAUGGAUAAAAAGUACACCUGUCACAGCCCGACCCGAGAAAUAAUUAUCAUGGUUGUGAAAAGAUGAAUUUACCCUUGAGCGUCGGGUGUGUGUUUGUAUUUUGGGUUAAGAAAUUGGGUCAAUUAGUUUUAUCCCUAACUAAUUGGACCCAAUUAGAGCUAAAAGAUUAAAGAGUUUUGAUUGGUGUACAUUUUGGAACCACACACACAUCCAUAUCCUUUCUCUCUCUUCUCUCACGUACUCUCUCUCGGACUCACUCUCUUUUCCCUCUCAUCCGUACGGACAACCUUGAACCAAGCCAAAUCUUCACAGAUCGAGGAAGAAACUGGUACCAUUGUGUUCGUGAAGACCAUACGAGUGCAAAGGUACCCAUUUCAGGUAAGAACUCGUUCGAUAUCACGUUGAAAACCCAAGCUCCGAGUUAAGCACUAUUCAUGAACUUUCGAAUGGUUAUGUUUUAGGACAAUCCAAGCUCACAGCGAGCUCUAGGAGGUUCUCACGAAGCUCGGAGUGCUUUGUUGGCUCGGUUUUGACAUCGGGAUCACGAGGUUCGAAGGUGGCCGGUUUUGGUAGGAUUCUCCCGACGCGUUUUUAAGGGAUUUGAAGCUCCCAAGAGGUAUAAUCUUCUUCCUCUCGUGAUUUAUGACAUUUUGGUGAAAAUUUUGUAAAAAAUGGUGCAAAAACGAGCGAGAAAGAGGCAGUUGCAGGUCUGCCCAGAAUCCGGCGUUGGCGACACUGUUCCGGCGUCUGGAGGUUGAAGGUGAUGUGCAUGAGGCCGUGCCUUCCCCGACGCAUGAGCCGUAGAAAAAUUAUUUUAAAAAUUUCACGAUGUUUGUGAGGUUGUGUAGGUCAUUGUGGUAUAUUCAUAUACCCAUUUUGAGCUAUGUAUGAGAAGUUAUUAGCUAGUUUUGCCUAUGUGCUUUAAAAUAACGUUUUUAUAGUUAAUUCGCAUAUAGGUGAGACUUAUCCCGAGGACGAGCGUAUCCACGGGCAACUCGGGGGUUACGACUCGUCGACAUACCAGUGAGUGGGCUUUUGUUUCAGUAUAUAUUUAUAUACUUGAUAUAUUUCCCAGAAAUGCAAUUUUUAAGGAAAGUAUGCUUUAAAAUAAUAUGCCAAAUGCUUUUAUAUUCUGAAUAUGCAUUUCAUGGUUGCAUUUAUAUAUAAAUGUGGUGCUAUGGAGGCACAUGUAAGUUCAGGUAAGUUAUGUUUGAUUAUAUGAAUCAUCGAUGAUGUGAUAUAUGAUUGAAUAAUGUUGAGCUCAUAAAACUGCACCUAGAGUGAUUGUGAUUUAGCCAGAGAUAUGAAGUACAUGCCUGUUUAUUUAUGUCACCUCCAGCACUAUAUGCUCAUAUUAGAUCCAACUUAAGUGCACAGUCUUGUCGUACAGACCUUAUUUAUGGUUCUGACUCGUAGGUGACUAGCGAUUUAUCGCCCGACUUUUAUAAGAGAAUAGAAUUGAGCAUAAUUAUAUUACACCCAAUCUUGUCGUACAGACUUUUUUAGUGGUUCCGACUUAUGUGCAGUAUAUUGCCGUAUAGGUCAUUAUAGUGACUCCGGCUAGAUUGACUUUUGAGCUAUGAAUUCAGCCGUACAGACUACCACAGGGGUUCCGGCUAACAUAUCAUAUUUCUAUGAAAUCAUUCUUACCUAGAUUGUUUACUUUGUUAUAUUUUGGCAUGGCAUACAUAUGAAUAUGAUUAUGUGAAGCAUGAAUUGAAUUGUUAUGAUUUCAGAUAUAUAUAUAUGCAUAUGCUUAUAUUCUGAUUCUGGGAAAAAUUAUACAUGUUUUACAGCGAGGGGUUAGAUAUGUUGAUAAAGAAAAUGAUUUUGUAAAACAUUUGUUUUUGCCCAUUCACAUUUUCUGUUUUGCGCCCCUCCAGGUUUUAAGUAAGUUUGCUAUUGGUGGCUUGAGGAUGUCGGUGGUUAUGACCUAUCUAAAUAAUAGUAGGACAUUUCUGGUACUGUAUUAUUAGUACUUAUCCUAUUGGACUGCACCUAGACUUAAUAUGCUCUGCGUAAGAGUGUUUACUGUUGUAACUAACUCCUAUCACUCCCUGUUUAGUAGUGCACUUUAGUAAUGUGGUUUUUAAUUAUUCGUAUAAUUCUUACCUUUAUUGCUUCCGCACUGUGCACAUGGCUACGUCACUUUCACGUGACGGCCAGCAUGCCUUGAUUUCGGUCGGGGUGUGUCAGUUUGGUAUCAGAGCCUAGGUUUAGUAGUCCUAUAUAAUUCUUGAAUAUUCUAAUCCUUUUGAUAUCUUAUGUGAGAUGCCGCCUCGUAGAGAGGCCCGUCAAUCAGCUAAAUCUAGUUUCCCUGAUAUUGCUCAAUUAGGGGAAGCUAUAGUUUCCGCCAUUCAGACAACAUUCUGUACUCCCAGAUGACACCUCUUGAGACAAUUCAUAAUCUGAAGUUGACUCACUUCAUUGGAAAUGAAGGUCAUGAGGGGGCAGAAAAAAUGGCUGAAUCAUGUGGAGAAGACUUUUCAGGUGAUGCAGAGUCAGGGGGAUCUUUCUUCUGAUAGGUGGGUCGAGACAACUACCUGGUUUUUGGGAGAACAACCUGCAUCCUGGUGGAGAUAGGAGUCUUACCAAUUGACCCCAGAAGAGAUUGUGGACUAGGGAGUGUUUAAGGAGCUGUUUCGGAAAAUGAUCAUUCCUCAUAUCUUAAGAAACAAGAGUUUACUCAUCUGAGGCAAAGAAAGAUGUCAACUAAUGAGUAUUACAGGAUGUUUACUGAUCUGUCGAGAUAUGAUCCGGAGGUUGCUGCUAAUCCGGUAGAGAUGCUUCGCCGUUUUAGCUUGGGUACUAAUAAGAAAUGGCGUUCCAUAGCGACAUCGACUCACUGUGUUUCUUACCAGGAGUUUUAUGAGAUUCUAUUGAGGAUUGAGGCCUCAGAGAACCUGCCUAGUGAAAGUGAGGAUGAGGAGGGAAAGAAUGGGGGCUAGAGACGAGAUGACAAAGGAAAAGGGCAAGCAUUUCAGGGACCCCGCAAGACCCAGAACUUUAAGAGGAGUGGUGGCAGUUCCAGCUCUUCCACUGAAUGAGUGAGUACUAAUAUGCAGAGGAUAUGUGGUAGAUUUACUGGAGGCCUUAGGUUCUAGAGGCAGAGAGAUUUUGGUGGUUCAGGUGGAUCUGGUGCUCCCUUAUGCAGCAUGUGUAAUAAUCGGUAUUUUGGGGAGUGUAGGAGAGGCAUCAAUGGUUGUUUUACUUGUGGAUAGAUGGGUCAUAGGGCUGCCUAAUGCCCUCAGAAUCAGCAGAGACCCCAACAACCUUCUUUCCUACCACCUGUACCGACCCAGCAAGCUUCAGGAUAUAGUGGUUAUUCUCAGACUGGACGAGGAGAUGUCUACCACUAUCAGGGCGACGCCGCUCCCUACACCUCAGGACAGCAGUAGUACUCUCAGGAUCCUCAGUAUUAGAGUGGGUAUCCUCAGUAUCAGGAAGGAUCUAUGUCUUAUCAGCAACAUUCAGUCGGAGGAUCUUAGUGGUAUCAAGGGGGAUAGCCCCAGCAGGGAGAGAUUGCUGCUAGUAGUGGAUGAUCUUCGAGGCAGUCGGGUCAGCAGAGGCAGAGACGUGGUAUUCAUGCCAACACAGGUCGCAGUGGACGACAGCAGAACCAGGCACGUAUCCAUAACAUGUCACUGUAAGAUGCCCAGAAUAAUCCAAAUUUAAUUAUGGGUACAUUGAAUAAUGUUGGUCAUUUUGCUAGAGUAUUGAUUGAUUGUGGUGCUACACAUUAUGUUAUUUCUCAUACAUUUGCUCAAGUGACACAACCUCAUCCUACACUUCUAGGAUAUAAUUUAGAAUUUUCUAUGCCUAGAGGAGAUAGAUGUUUUGUGGAUCAGGUAUAUCCAGGAUGUCCAGUGAUAGUAGAGGAUAUUAUUAUGCCGACUAAUCUUAUGCCAUUGGAUAUUAUGGAUUUUGAUGUGAUUUUGGGCACUGAUUGGCUGUACUAUAAUCGUACCAAGAUAGAUUGUUAUGGAAAAACAGUCACAUUUUAUUGUCCUGGAUUACCUGAAGUUACAUUUGUAGGAGAACCUAGUAGGGUGAGGCAUGGUAUUAUUUCAGCCAUGAAAGCAAAGAGAUUGUGUCGAAAGGUUGUCAGGGAUAUUUGGCUCAUGUGGUGUUGAAUGAUGAUGCUCCUAGUAGUUUGGAGGAUGUUCGGGUGGUCAUAUAUUUUCCGGAUGUAUUCCCUGAGGAUUUGCCUAGAUUGUCGCUAGAUAGAGAAGUGGAGUUUGUUAUUGAUCUGCUUCCAGGUACGAAUCUCAUAUCCUUAACUCCUUAUAGAAUGGCUCAUGUUGAAUUAAGGGAAUUGAAAGUCCAGUUGCAAGAGUUAGUGGAUAAAUGUUUUAUUCAGCCGAGUACUUCACCUUGGGGAGCUCCAGUUUUAUUUGUGAGGAAGAAAAAUGGAACCUUGAGGCUGUGCAUUGAUUACAGGCAAUUGAAUCGGGUAACCAUUAAAAACCGUUAUCCAUUGCCUUGUAUAGAUGAUUUAUUUGAUCAACUUAGAGGUGCCUGUGUAUUUUCUAAGAUUGACUUGAGGUCGGGAUACUAUCAGUUGAAGAUUAAAAAUGAAGAUGUCCUUAAAACCGCAUUCAGGACUCGAUAUGGUCAUUAUGAGUUUCUUGUAAUGCCAUUCGGGUUAACUAAUGCACCAGCAGCUUUUAUGGAUUUGAUGAAUCGAGUAUUCCAGCCAUAUUUAGACAGGUUUGUUAUUGUUUUCAUUGACGACAUUCUGGUAUACUCUAAGUCUAAGGCUAAGCAUGCUAGACAUAUGAAGUUGGUGUUGAGCAGUUUGAGGGAACACCAACUAUAUGCUAAGUUUAGCAAAUGUGAAUUAUGGUUGAAUCAAGUGGCAUUUUUGGGACAUGUCAUUUCUGCUCAAGGCAUUCAAGUGGAUUCUCAGAAAGUAGCAGCUGUGGAGAAUUGGGAGUAACCUCGAACCGUCACCGAGGUACGGAGUUUUCUUUUCAUAGCAGGCUACAAUAGACGGUUCGUUAAGGAUUUUUCAGUGAUUGCUUUGCCAUUAACGAGGUUGACUCGAAAAGAUGUUAAGUUUGAGUAGGAUAAUAAAUGUGAGCAAAGUUUCCAACUGUUGAAGUACUAUCUCACUCAUGCACUUCCAAAUGAUAGCGGUAAUUAUGAGAUUUAUAGUGAUGCUUCUCUGAAUGGUUUGGGUUAUGUAUUAAUGCAACACGGUAGGGUGAUUGCUUACGCUUCGAGAUAGUUGAAACCUCAUGAGAAGAAUUACCCUACACAUGAUUUGGAAUUAACAGCUAUCAUCUUUACCUUGAAGAUUUGGAGACAUUAUCUUUAUGGUGAGACAUGUAAGAUCUUCACAGAUCAUAAGAGUCUUCAGUAUUUGUUUACUUAGAGAGACCUUAAUCUUCGACAGCGGAGGUGGAUUGAGUUACUUAGUGACUAUGAUUGCACGAUUGAGUAUCAUCUUGGUUGUGCAAAUGCAGUGGCGGAUGCACUUAGUAGAAAGACUCCAGUCAGACUUAAUGCCAUCUAUGAUUGUCAGGUUCCUCUCCUAGCAGAUUUGAGGUCCACUGGAGUGGAGUUAGGAGUGGAAGAUCGAGAAGAAGCCUUGCUUGCUAAUUUUCAGGUUAGGCCAAUUUUAAUUGAUCAUGUGCUUGAGGCUCAGAUGAAUGAUGAAGAGACCCAGGAAAUAAUUCAAACAAGAAAUCAAGGAAAAAAGAAAGAUUUUGGGAUUCGAGAAUCUGAUUGUAUGCUUAUGCAGGAAAACAUAAUGUAUGUGCCAAAUAAUGCGGAGUUAAAGAAAGAAAUUUUAGAUGAAACACAUAUUUCGGCAUAUGCGAUGCAUCCAGGAGGCACUAAAAUGUAUCAUACCAUUAGACCAUUUUAUUAUUGGCCAAGUAUGUAAAGGGAAAUUGCCGAAUAUAUGAGUAGGUGUGCCAUUUGCCAACAGGUUAAAGCUGAAAGAAAGAAGUCGUUUAGGUUGAUGCAGCCACUUCCCGUUCCACAGUGGAAAUGGGAAAAUAUUACUAUGGAUUUUGUGUACAAGCUUCCUUGUACACAGAAUGGUUAUGACGGCAUUUGGGUGGUAGUUGAUCGGCUUACGAAGUCAGUACAUUUUAUUCCAGUGAGGGAGAAGUAUUCGUUACGCCGAUUAGCUAAGUUAUUUAUAUCACAGAUUGUGAAGUAUCACGGUGUGCCAGUUAAUAUUAUUUCGGAUCGAGAUCCCAGAUUUACUUCCAAGUUUUGGAUAGCAUUCCAGGAAGCUCUUGGUACGAGAUUGCUUUAUAGUACGGCAUAUCACCCUCAGACAGAUGGACAAUCUGAGAGAACUAUUCAGACAUUAGAAGAUAUGUUGAGAUCUUCAGUGCUGCAGUUUGGAGAUAGUUGGCAUGAUUGUUUGGAUUUGAUGGAGUUCACCUACAAUAACAGUUAUCAUUCAAGCAUUGGUAUGACACCAUUUGAGGCACUUUAUGGGAAAUCUUGUCGUACGCCUCUAUGUUGGUCAGAGGUUGGUGAAAGAGUUUUAGUGGGCCUUGAGAUUGCAGAUGUGACUACUCAAAAUGUUCAGGUAAUUAAGUCUAACCUAAAAGCGGCCUAAGAUCGACAAAAGAGCUUAGCAGACAAGCAUGCUACUGAUCGGAAGUAUAAUGAAGGUGAUUGGGUAUUUCUGAAGCUAUCACCUUGGAAAUGUGUUAUAUGAUUUGGAAAGAAAGGAAAGUUGAGUCCUAGGUACAUUGGACUAUAUAUGAUCACCGAGCGAGUUGGUGAGGUUGCUUAUAGGCUUGAGUUGCCUCAAGAGUUGUCAAAGGUGCACGAUGUAUUUCAUGUUUCGAUGCUUCGACAUUAUGUUUCAGAUCCUUCACAUGUGAUUCCUCCUCAACCUUUGGAAAUUAAUCCGGAUUUGACUUAUGAUGAGGAACCAGUGACUCUGUUGGAUUGGAAGGAUAAGGAACUGAGGAACAAGACCGUACGCUUGGUGAAAGUUUUAUGGAGAAAUCAUUCAGUGGAAGAAGCUACUUGGGAGAUAGAGGAUCGGAUGAGAGAGAUGUACCCACGCUUGUUUUAUGAUUACUAGUGGAUGUAUUGGUUAUAUGUCAUUUCGAGGAUGAAAUUUUAUAAGGUGGGGAGAUUGUCAUAGCCCGUCCCGAGAAAUAAUUAUCGUGGUUGUGAAAAGACGAAUUUACCCUUGAGCGUCGGGUGUGUGUUUGUAUUUUGGGUUAAGAAAUUGGGUCAAUUAGUUUUAUCCCUAACUAAUUGAACCCAAUUAGAGCUAAAAGAUUAAAGAGUUUUGAUUGAUGUACAUUUUGGAACCACACACACACACAUCUAUAUCUUUUUUCUCUCUUUUUUCCUGUACUCUCUCUCGGACUCACUCUCUUCCCUCUCCUCCGUACGGACAACCUUGAACCAAGCCAAAUCUUCACAGAUCGAGGAAGAAAAUGGUACCAUUGUGUUCAUGAGGACUAUACGAAUGCAAAUGUACCUAUUUCAGGUAAGAACUCGUUCGAUAUCACGUUGAAAACCCAAGCUCCGAGUUAAGCACUAUUCAUGAACUUUUGAAUGGUUAUGUUUUAGGACAAUCCAAGCUCACAGCGAGCUCUAGGAGGUUCUCACGAAGCUCGGAGUGCUUUGUUGGCUUGGAUUUGACAUCAGGAUCACGAGGUUCCAAAGUGGCUGGUUUUGGUAGGAUUCUCCCGAUGAGUUUUCGAGGGAUUUGAAGCUCCCAAGAGGUAUAAUCUUCUUCCUCUCAUGAUUUAUGACAUUUGGUGAAAAUUUUGUAAAAAAUGGUGCAAAAACGAGCGAGAAAGAGGUAGUUGCAGGUUUGCCCAGAAUCCGGCGCCGGCGACAUUGUUCCGGCGUCUGGAGGUUGAAGGUGAUACGCGUGAGGCCGUGCCCUCCCCGGCGCGUGAGCUUCAGAAAAAUUAUUUUAAAAAUUUCACGAUGUUCGUGAGAUUGUGUAGGUCACUGUGGUAUAUUCAUAUACCCAUUUUGAGUUAUGGAUGAGAAGUUAUUAGCUAGUUUUGCCUAUGUGCUUUAAAAUAACGUUUUUAUAGUUAAUUCGCAUAUAGGUGAGAUUUAUCCUGAGGACAAGCGUAUCCACGGGAGACUCGGGGGUUACGACCUGUCGACAUACCAGUGAGUGGGCUUUGAAAUAAUAUGCCAAAUGCUUUUAUAUUCUGAAUAUGCAUUUCAUGGUUGCACAUAUAUAUAAAUGUGGUGCUGUGGAGGCACAGGUAAGUUCAGGUAAGUUAUGUUUGAUUAUAUGAAUCAUCGAUGAUGUGAUAUAUGAUUGAAUAAUGUUGAGCUCAGAAAACAGCACCUAGGGUGAUUGUGAUUUAGCCAGAGAUAUGAAGUAUAGGCCUGUUUAUUUAUGUCACCUUCCGCACUAUAUGCUCAUAUUGGAUCCAACUUAAAUGCACAGUCUUAUCGUAUAGACCUUAUUUAUGGUUCUGACUCGUAGGUGACUAGCAAUUUAUCGCCCAGUUAUUAUGAGAGAAUAGAAUUGAGUAUAAUUAUAUUACACCCAAUCUUGUCGUAUAGACCUUUUUAGUGGUUCCAACUUAUGUGCAGUAUAUUGCUGUAUAGGUCAUUGUAGUGACUCCGACUAGAUUGACUUUUGAGCUAUGAAUUCAGCCGUACAGACUAUCACAAGGGUUCCGGCUAACAUAUCAUAUUUCUAUGAAAUCAUUCUUACUUGGAUUGUUUACUUUGUUAUAUUUUGGCACGGCAUACAUAUGAAUAUGAUUAUGUGAAGCAUGAAUUGAAUUGUUAUGAUUUCAGAUAUAUAUAUAUAUAUAUAUACACACACAUAUGCUUAUAUUCUGAUUCUGGGAAAAAUUAUACAUGUUUUACAGCGAUGGGUUAGAUAUAUUGAUACAGCGAUGGGUUAGAUAUAUUGAUAAAGAAAAUGAUUUUGUAAAACAUUUGUUUUUGCCCACUCACGUUUUCUAUUUUGCGCCCCUCCAGAUUUUAAAUAAGCUUGCUGUUGGUGGCUUGAGGACGUAGGUGGUUCUGACCUAUCUAAAUAAUAGUAGGACAUUCCUGGUACUGUAUUAUUAAUACUUAUCCAACUGGACUGCACCUAGACUUAAUAUGCUCUGCUUAGGAGUGUUUACUGUUGUAACUAACUCCUAUCACUCCCUGUUUAGUAGUGCACUCUAGUAAUGUGGUUUUUAAUUAUUCGUAUAAUUAUUACCUUUAUUGCUUCCAUACUGUGCACAUGGCUACGUCACUCUCACGUGAUAGUCAGCAUGCCUUGAUCUUGGUCGGGGUGUGUCAACACCACCAUAGAUUCCACCGGAUCUAAGGCAGUGUUUAAAAUAGCAAUAUAGGUUGAAAUAGUGACAUGCAAAUUUUUAGAAUUAUCGAUGGAUAUAUCGAUAUCUGUUGCCUUUAACGAAAAUUCUGAAAAUCUGCAAUGGGUAAAUUCGUUCAGAUUUAGACAAAAUUAGAGAAAAAUUUCUCAAAAAAAAAUUAAAAGUUUAGAAUCUGCAAUAGGUUCAAGCAAAACUUUGUGUAUUGAAUCGGUAAAUAUCAUCGAUAUUCAUUGAUCUUUUUGUUUCGCCGAUAUAGGUUGAAAUUUCAUCUCCUCUUUCCAUAUCGAUCUUUGACUUUCAGAUAUUUCAACAAAAAUAGCGACAAUUUUGUUGAUAUUUUAAACACUGGACCUAGGCAAGAAGAACUUGUUGAAUAAUGAUGGAUAAGAAGAAGAUCAAUCUCCAAUGAUUCAGCUACGCAUAAUAGCGGAUAAGAGUCACUAAUAAAAGAACAAUUAAUUACAUGGCACAAGUACACCAUUGUGGCGUCCCAUGCUAAUGAAAUAAAGACAUGUGUAAGUUGUUAACUUUUGUCCAAUAUGUGUUUCAUUUUGCAUGAGAUGUUAUGUGACAAUGUACCCAUGUCAUAUAAGUGCGUCCUCCGCUAAUAGCAACUAAGACUCAUCAUCAAGCAGGGUUGGCCAAAAUCACAAAGGCAAAUCAUAAUGAAGUCCUUCAACUUUGAGGUGGAAAUUUAGAGAAAGCAUUUUUGGAGAAUGAUGAAAAUGAGGGAUGAGCAAGGAGGUGAUUUUUUUAUUUUUUUUUUGUCAGAACAAAAAAUAAGUGAUUGUGAAUUGAAAACUGGCAAAGACUCAAAUUAAAUCCCACAAGAAACUAGUUAUUAUUACGAAAAAUAUGAACAACAACAAUGAGGGGUUUUCUCCUCCCCUCUUCCCCUAGAGUUUUCCUUCUCUUUUUUACUUUAAUUUUAUUUUUCUAACAUUAAUAAAGCAACAGACAAAAAUAAAGAAAGUGCUUGUUCAAAUAAAAUAAUAAUAAAAAAACAAGAAAGUGAGUACACAAAAUGAGAAAUUGGGAAUCACUCCCCUAGUGAUAUUUGAGAGCUGUUCCCAAAAGAAAGACCAACAAUUCUACUUAAUAUGUGCUUUGUACUUUUCCAUAUAAUAUGCUUAUUCAAAAUUUCAAAAGAAAAACUAAUGAAAAUAGUUUGAAAAUUUUGAAUUUUAAUGAUAAGGAUAAAAUAAAAGGUAAAAUAAAAGGAAAACUAAUGAAAAGGGAUUGAAAACUUUGAGUUUUAACGAUAAGGACAAAAUAAAGGGUAAAAUGAAUAGUACCAUGAUUGACUUUUUAGUGUAAAAAUAUGGUUUUUCGUUAAAAUGAACAGUACCGAGAGCUUUUCAUUAAAGUUCCCUAAAACAAAUAGUAUCAGGAUUGACAUUUUAAUGAAAAAUAUUAUUUUUUGUUAAAAUAAACAGUACCAAAAGUUUUUUGUUAAAAUUCCAAAUUUCAAAUUAAUAAUGUCACAUUUACCAUUUCUUUAUCUGCAGAGUACAGACUUAUACAUUACUGGAUAUGUGUCCAGUUCUAUAUGCAUAAGUGCUUUUGUAAUAAAGCAAAAGUUUGCCCAAGGCAAAGCAUAUAGCACUCAGAAAAAGCAAAGCCACUGUAGUACGUCUUCAGCUAUAUAUUCAUUGAAAAACCCUAUUCUCACUCCUCUCUCUCUCUCUUCCCUCCACAACAUGAAAAUCUUCCUCUUGUUUUUCUUAUUAUUCUCGCUUUUCCAGGUAAGAAAACUAUUGCAAACAACAAAAUUCAUAUUUCACUUACAGUUUAUAAUGCAUGUUCAUGCAAAUUUAUAUACACACACAUACAUAUAUCUUCCAAACCCUAAUUAACUUCAUUUUUGCAUGUGCAUGCAGGUCUCAGUAGCGAGCACAAGCAAUGAAACUACAAACAACCCUUUCACUCCCAAAGCCUCACUCAACCGCUAUUGGGACAUCCACAUUUCCAACAACCUCCCAAAACCUGCCUUCCUCUUCGCCAAAGCCUCCCAACUCGACCCAGUCAACUCAACGAUUCUCACCAAAGUCGCCUCUCAAAACUCACUCUCCUCCCACUUCACCUCCUUCUGCUCCCUAGCCAACCUCUGCUGCUCCUUCGACUCCUCCGCCGAAACUCACCAACAAGACAUCGCCACCCGCCACCCCAAAAUAGCAAACUUCGCCGUCUACGCCGACAAGAACUUCGCCAACUACGGCUCCUCCCAACUCGGUGGAGUCGACUCGUUCAAGAACUACUCGGAAGAGUUGAACUCGCCCCGCGACUCGUUCAAGAAGUACAGCAAGGGCUCCCACUCGCACUUGGAGAAGUUCACGUCCUACGCCCAGGAUGCCAACGUCGCAAACGCCAACUUCACAAGUUACGGCGCCGACUCGGGCGGCGGUUCGGGCGAGUUCACCAGCUACGACGACCGAGUCAACGUCCAUAGCCUCGGAUUCACAUCCUACGUCUCGAACGCCAACGACCACCGUCUCUCCUUCACCGCGUACGGCCACGACACCAACUCGGGCUCUGAAUCUUUCGCCAGAUACGGAAAAUCAGGCAAUUCUAACCCGAACCAGUUCACCAGGUACGCUGAAGGUUCGAACAUAAUAGGGUCGGGUUUCACGGGUUACGGAGAGUCCGGGAACGGCCAAAACGAUUCGUUUACAGGGUAUGGGCAAUCCAGUAAUAACCCACAUAACAAUUUCAAGAGCUACGGCGCCGGCGGGAAUGCCGGGCUCAAUGGGUUCUCCAAUUACCGGAGCUGGGCAACUGUCGGCGACGAUAUGUUUCAGUCGUACGCGAGAAAUUCGAAUUCCGGGAAAGUGAGAUUCUCGAAUUACGGGAAAUCGUUCAACCCUGGAAACGACUCGUUCAAAGAGUACGGAGCCGGGUCGAAGGGUCGGACCACCGUCGGGUUCAAAACGUACGGUUUGGGUCGGAGUUUCAAAGAGUAUGCCAAAAAUGGCGUCACUUUUGCAGAGUAUAACGAUUUGAGCAGCGUAGGAACCCAUUCGACUGAAAAGGAGUCUAGUGGCAGUGCUGUAAAUAGGUGGGUUGAGCCCGGCAAGUUCUUCAGAGAAUCCAUGUUGAGGCAGGGGAAUGUAAUGGUGAUGCCGGAUAUUAGGGACCGAAUGCCGGAAAGGUCGUUUUUACCGCGGGGGAUUUUGUCGAAAUUACCUUUUUCGACGUUGAGGAUGUCGGAGAUUAAGGAGAUAUUUCACGCACCGGAGAACUCUGCCAUGGAGCGCGUGCUGACGAACGCGCUGGCCGAAUGUGAGAGGGAUCCGAGCCCGGGCGAAACCAAGCGGUGCGUGGCGUCGGUCGAGGACAUGAUCGAUUUUGCAGUCUUGGUCCUCGACCGUAAUGUGGUGGUCCGGACCACGGAAAAUGUGAGCGGGUCAAAGCGGAAGGUGAUGAUCGGAGCGGUCAGCGGAAUCAACGGCGGAAAUAUAACCAAAUCGGUUUCGUGUCAUCAAAGUUUGUAUCCCUACUUACUGUAUUACUGCCACUCGGUGCCUAGGGUUAGGGUUUAUGAGGCUGAUAUCCUUGAUGUGGAGAGUAAGAGCAAGAUCAACCACGGUGUUGCCAUUUGUCACAUUGACACGUCAUCGUGGAGUCCCGGACAUGGUGCAUUCGUGGCACUGGGGUCCAGUCCGGGAAAAAUUGAAGUCUGCCACUGGAUAUUCGAGAACGACAUGACAUGGACAAUUGCGGAUUAAUUAAGGACUGAUGACACUGUUUUGUCUUCCAUGUUACACUGAGAUUUAUUGUGGUAAUUCAGAAGCUUUUUGGUUCGGUGAUUUCAUUGUUUUAUAUAUAUGGUUAAAGUUUGGGAGUUUGUUCGUUCAAUGUCGGCUUUUAUUUUGCUUUUAAUUUUUAACAGACAAAUGCUUUGAGUUCACACGAAUCAUUAAUCCAGUUAGCUAGCUAAGUUUGGCUCUUAAAUCUUAAUACUUAAUUGAGUUUGAAUUCAUGCUUUCAUCCAAACCGGGCAAUCAUAGAUAGAUAUUGAUUUUUGUCCAUUGAUUUUCUUUAAAUCAUUUGAACAGUUGAAAAUUGAGAGUGUGUGGUAGGUAAAAUUGAAUGUGUGUAUUACGUAUAAGAGCAUAAGGCAAAACACCUCCAAUGCAUAUGGGACUUAAAACUCAUGUUUGGGUUUUGAGGCGAAGUGAGACCCAAAUUUGGGUCUUUGCAUUGGAGGAGAAAAUGCUGGACUCAAAACUUAUAUUUGGUUUUAACAAUUUGGUUAUGUGCAUCGGAGGUUAUUAGACUCAAAACUCAAAUCUUAAUUUUUUUGGUUGAAUAACAUUUUUCCUAGUUGGCAUGAGCGUCAACUUGAACUCAAAUCUCAUUUAAAAUGCAAAUUUGGGUCUCAAAUUUUAAAGUUCAUGUACGUACAUUGGAGAUGUUUUGCUUUGUAUUUAUACUCAAAUCUCAUAACAUAUCAUAUUGCCUAAUUAUUUUAUAUGCAUGCUGAGCUAGGGCACCUUGACAUUACAUAAUAAAAUGUAAUAUAAACAAGCCAUGCACAAACACAAAGGAAAAAGAGAGUUGCAACAAGAAAAAGGAGCGAAAAGGGGGUGAGAUAAAUAAAGGAGGUAGACAUAUAUUUAUAAAGAAGAGAUUGAGAUCCUAAAUCAAAAGAUAUAUAGAAGAAUAAAGAUCAAUAUGAUCUGAAGGAAGGAAGGAACAAAAUCUUUGCUGGUAUAUAUGUGCCACAUUCUACGUACCAUCUAGAGAAACUUUUUAAGUGCGUCAAGAACAUAGCAUACUAAAUAUAAUAAUAUAAUUAGUUGGAGUACUUAGGCCAUCUCUAACCGAAGGUUCAAAGGGCUGAAAAUAGCCUAAAAACCGUUUCUAACCGAGGGUCAAGCCAAAGGGCUUGUGGGCCCCACUGGACAAAAAAGGCCCAAAGGGCCAAUCGACCGACCCAAAGCAGCCAGCCAGCAUGCCCUGGGCCGGGCUCUCAUUCAAACCUCAACGGCUAGCUGACAUCCGUUACCGUUCGUUUUUUAUUUUAUUUUUUUUGGGGGCCAAAAUAUUUUUAAAAAUUUCUAAAAAAAAUUUCAUUUUUUCCUAUAAUAUUUCCUUCAAUUUUUCCUACACCAUUCACCACAAAAUUUUCACCAUUCCUACACCAUUUCAAUUCUCAUAUUUUCUUGCCUCUUCCAAUAAUAUUUCCUUCAAUUUUUUCAAUAAUUUUCAAAUUGCCUCAUUUGCAAUGAAAGGUAGGGCUUGGACCCGAAAAGAAGAUGAAGCUUUUUGCAGGGCUUAUAGAUGAGUGUCGGAAGAUAGUGUGAGGGGGAGUUCUCAAAUAAGUAAAGGUGUUUGGACUCGUGUGUCCAAAAACUACCUAGAGUUCUACGAAUGCACCACUCCGCCGAAUACCUGAAACCACGAGAGUUGUUCUUCAAGAUGGAAGAAACAUCUUCAGCCAAGUUUGAACAAAUGACAUCAAGCACUAUUAGCAGUUGCAAGUAGACAUGAAAGUAGCACUAAUUACUACGACGAAGUAAGUGUUUUCACAAUUUAUUUUAAAUAUUUAAAUAUAUUACAUUUAAUUUCAUAAAUUAAUUUCCUUGAUUUUUGUAAUUAUAUUUAAUUAUAUUACAUUUAAUUUCAUAAAUUAAUUUCCUUUAAAUUUUGUAAUUAUAUUUUCUAGGUACGCCAAGCAGAGGAAUUGUAUAUGGAGGGCAGCUCGAAACCCUUUCAGUUUCACGGUUGUUGGGAAAUUUGUAAAGGGUGGGUGUUAUUUGAAUAUCCGCCUCAACAUAGAGUAGGUGCUACGUCGGUGUUCGGAACUACAUCCUCAGCUGUAGAUAUGGAUGAAGAUGGAUCUCCUACCAUUCAACAAACAAGGGUAGAAAAUUCGUCUUUGGGUGAAGGUCCAUACCUAGGGCUAUGGGACGAAACAAGGCCUGAAAGUUGAAGGAAAAUGGCAAGGCAACAGAUGAUUACGCCGCUCAACAAGAAAUGGCGGCCUCAUUGCGAUUAAUGGCGAAGCAAAAUGCCUUUGCUAUAGAAGAAAGGAAUCAUAGGCAUGAAGAACGGGCCAAACAAAUACAAGAAGAGAUGGAUGAUAAGAAUAUGGAAAUGAACACUUCGAAUUACACUCCAAUGAGUAAGGCCUAUUUUGAUAGGAAAAAAAAAAGAAAUUAUGACUCGGCGGCAGUUGUUUACCUCCGACUAUACUCCUACAAUGGCGGAUGAUGAAUAUAAUGAUGAUUUUAGAUAUUAAAUUUAAGUUGUUGUAGUUUUUAAAUUGAAGUUGUUGUAGUUUCUUACCAUCUCCAAUUGAAGGGUCCAGAGGGCCAAAGGACCGAAAAUAACACGAAAACUGUCUCCAACCGAGGGCUAUGCCAAAGGGCUCGUGGGCCCUACUAGACAAAAAAAGGGUUAAAGGGCCAACCAGCUGGCCCAAAGUAGCUAGCCAGCCAGCCAGCCCUAGGUCGGGCCAGAAUUUUCAUUAUUCCUGUUGAUUAUAUUCGACAGCAUUGUACUUAUUCCUGUCGGUUAUAUCCAACAUGGUAGGCCAAAAUUUCAAAUACAACGGCUAGUUACCGUUAGAUUCAAUUUUUUUUUUGGGCCAAUUUUUCUUUUUUUUUUAUGAAUUUAAUUUGUAGUUUUUAAAUUUAAAUAAUAAAUUAUGUUUGGCCCUAUAACCCAUUGGCCCUCGGUUGGAGACAGUUUUUUGUUACAUUGCUAAAACGAGCCCUAUGGCCCUCAGUUUGAGAUGGAGGCAAAUAUGGUCAUGUACUAUUCAUUAAAAUAUUAAUAUCUUUGAGGGCCAGAGAGCUAAAACGAGCCAUCUGACCCUCCAAUAAAUUAAUAUUUUAAUGAACAAUGAAGUGCCAUAUUUCUUACCAUCUCCAACAAAGGGGCCAGACAGCCAUAGGCCAAACAUAGUCCUGUCAAAAAAAACUAUCUCCAGCCGAGGGCCAAACAUAUUUUAUUAUUUUAAUUGAACUACUAUGGUUACUUAAAUUAAAUUACCUCAAUAAUUUUAUGUUAUGGAUUGUUAAUAAUUUUCAUGUUGUUAACUAUUUUUAAAAAUGUUGUUAAAUUUUUUUUAUGUUGUUUAAUAUUAUUUAAUGUUGUUUAAUGACUUGGGAAGUUAUAGGAAAAAAAUAGAAUUUUUAAAUUUUGUAAAAAAAAAUAAAAUAAAUGUAAGAAAAAGAAAAGAAAAUCAAAUAUGACCUCAGCAUGUGGCCCGGCUCGGGGUCGGCUAGCUAGCAGCUUUGGGUUGGCCGGUUGGCCCUUUUUUGUCUAGUGGGGCCCACGAGCCAUUUGGUCUGGCCCUCGAUUGGAGACUGUUUUUUGGCUAUUUGCGACCCUCUAGCCCUCUGAAUCCUUCGAUUGGAGAUGGCCUAAGAAAUAUGGUCCGACACUGUAUUAAGCAAAAAUUAGAAUCCCCUGCACUCUUCUAAUACUCUUUAGACUAAACAUUGGUUCUAUUUUGAAAUUUGAUUAGUACACCUAAACAAUAGUCAUGCCAGCAUUUUUAUAAUUAUUGUGUUUUUUAAAUUUAAAAUGUUAAUUAUUAAAUUCCAUAUAUAUCCUUUUAGGUUGAUAUAUUUUUGUACGUGGCCUUUUUUUUUUUAGGAAGCCAAUUUCUUCUCCCACAUUUGAGAUGUAUGGUUUAUUCUCCCACGUUAGAAUUCUGUGAUCCUCAUUUUUGAAUUUUGAAUGGACUUAUCCAUUUCAAUUAGUGGUUGUUUUCACUAUUUUAUAUUGAUAUCAUGUGAGAUAAUUAGACGUAUUCUCUAUUUUCAGAGGCUUGAGGCUAGUAUGUUCAGAUAAUAUAUUUAAAUAUACCGAAUACGUACCAAGAAGAUAUAUAAAGUAACGUACCAAAUAUGUUUUUUUUUAAAUAAAUAUAAACGUACCAAAAUAAUAUAUAAAUGUACCAAAUACAUACAAAAAAGAAAUAUGAACGUCCCAAAUACGUACCAAGAACAUGUAUAAAGUAACGUAUCAAAUAUGUACCAAGUAGAAAUAUAUGUUUAAUCAAGAGGAAAUAUAUGUACCAAAUAUGUUUUUUUUUAAAUAAAUAUAAAUGUACCAAAUACAUACAAAAAAGAAAACAAACAUACCAAAUAUGUACCAAGAAGAUAUAUUAACUAACGUAUCAAAUAUGUACCAAGAAGAAAUCUACGUUUCAUGUGUAAUUUGAAAGACUUUUUAUUAAAAUUGAAUACUACAAUAUUUAUCUACAAGAUUUUAGGAGUUUGGAGAUAUUAUCUAAGAAAAUUAAAAGGUAUAAUAAAUAUAAUGGCAAGUCGCAUUCAUGGGCAUUUUGAAAGACUUCUCAUUGGAAUUAAAUUCUACAAUAUUUAUCUACAAGAUUUUAGGGAGUUUUGAUGUAUUAUCUAGGAAUUAAAAGGUAUAUGUAUCUAAUGGCAAGUUGGGUAAUUUAAAUUAUAAAAAAUGCUACUUCUAAUCCAUGUGCACCUAAAUUGUAGGAAAAUGUUUAAUCAAAACUCUAAAAGGCAUAAAUGUUUAAAUUCAAAAUUUUAAACCUAGGCAUCUAUUUCAAAAACCUCCCAAAUAUUAAUUUCUUGGAGAGCCAGAGGGCUAAAACGAGCCCUCUGACUAACAUUCGGUUGGAGAUAACCUUAGUGUACUGAGCUAUAUUCCCAAUAUAUUGAUAAAUCUCCACCCAUCCGCAAUGGCGAAGCCAGGAUUUACCGAGGGGAGGGGCGAAAUGCAAAAGAGUGCAAGGUUCAAUCGAAGUGGUUGCUUUCACAUUGGAAAGUGCAAAGUUUUGAGUCAAUAUUCAUAACAAAAAACAGUCUUUUCACCAAAGUGGUUGUAAGCGGUAAUAUCAAAGCCAUGUAAGAAGCUUAAAGUGAUUAUGAUUAGAUUUUAAAAAACGUUAGGCGCUAGUCAGACAGCGGACUGAGGCCUAACAGUUAGGCACCUAUGCGAGAUUUAGGCAGGAGCCUAGAUGGAUGUAAAUAAAUUUAUUUUAUUGUAAAAUAAGCAUUAAACAAUAUUUAUAUUAUUUUUUAAAAAUUAAUACAAUAUUUAUAGAUAAUGUGAGAGUUUAAAAUAAAUACACUGAGGUCAAAUUAAUAUAUAAACUAUGCAUUAAACAAUAUUUUCAUAUCAGUUAAUGAAACUAAAGUGUGUCUAUAUAUAAACUAACCAACACUUGAUCAAAUUAUAUCAAAACAACAUCAAUUACAAUCUAUGAUUAUUAUAAUAUAUUAGGGAUCUAAAAUCCGAUGUUUUUAUUUCAAUUUGAUCACUGUUUGUUAUAGUUUGAUAGUUUGAACCUAGAAUAGAAUGCUACGCCACUUGACCAUUUUAUGAUUCGACGAUCCGACCAUUGGAUCGUCACCCAACCUUAAUACGUUAUAGUACAUAAUAUUUGAGGACUAUAGAAACUGAUCGAUUGAGAAUUUGACUUACGGAUCUUCCUAAAUUGAAUUUCUAAGUUUGUAAAACAAAUGUGGAUAGCAACCCACUUCUAACAUUUGGCGGAGAUCCGACCGUUAGAUCGUUCUGAAACUUUAGGAUGUUGUUCUAGAAGCUUAUUGAAACUCUUGGGAAGUUACAGAUCAGAAAUCCGAGGUGCGGAUCUUUCGAAUUGAGUUACGUAGGGUUGUGGACCCUAUCGUCGACCUUUGACCAACGAUUGCUUUUGGUUAAUGGGUUACAAAUCAUUCUAGAACAUCCUUGGGGAUGUGUUUUAUGUAAAUUAUGUGUUCUAUCAAUAAGAAUUUUGAGACGUGAUUUGAAAUUUGUUCUAGGUGACGAUCGUUCGUAACGCCUCGAUGAGUUGUAGUGCGGACUCAGGUGAGUGGGUCUUUUCUUUUAUAAAGUAUAUAAAUAUUUGUUGGUUUCCAUUUAUACAUUGGAAAAAGAAUUUGCUACAUAUGCCUAGCUUAGACUAAUGCUUAUAAGAAUGAACGAAAUAACGGAAAAUUACGAAGUUAUCAUAAAUCAUAUGGGAUGCACAUGUAUGCAUACCUUUUUGGGAUUCUAAUUACGAUCAUGUUUAAUAUUUUAUCUAGGGUUAAUCUCAGUUUACUACUCUAAAGUUUCUUGGUUUUCAACAUUUGGUACAUAAAGUUUUUUUUCAUCCCAAAGUGGUACCUGAAAUGUUAAUUUUGGGACAGUCUUAUACAUCCGUUAAUGUUGCUGUUAAGUUAGCUGUUAACUGGUGACAUGGCGCUUAUGUGAACGAUAACUAGGCACCACGUGUCAAUAUGGGCAACGUGAAUAUUAAAAAAAUGAACAACUUUUUACCCAUAUCCCAAUAACCACUACUACAAAAGGGUCUUAUAGUGUCAGUUGUUGCGUCAGUUUAAUAUAAUAUAGUGGCGCACAAGAAAGUUGCGACACCUACUGAAUAUGACGUCGGAUUUACAAAGCCUGCGUCGCUUUUAAACCGACGUAAAUAGUUAAUGUCGCUUAUAACCGACACACAUUUUAAUAAUUUUAAAUACUGGCGUCGCUUUAAAUAAAACAGUGUCGCUUUUAAGCGACAUAAAGUAUGCGUGUCGCAUAUAGAAGCGACACUAAUUGUUGAUUUUAUAUAUUUUAAAUCCUGCGUCGGUUCUGAGCGACAUAUAUUUUAUUUUUUUAAGUAUUUUGAAACCCGGUGUCAGUUGUAAGCGACAGAUUGAUAGUCUUUAUACACCCUCCCCUGUGUUUUCUUCUUCUUCUCUUGCAUUUAUCUCAUUCUCACGAUUUACGAAGCCUUCUGGUUCUCUCUUUCACCAUUGCAAUUUCUUAUUCCCGAGUUCUUGCAAGUUCAUUCUUCACAAGGGUAAGUUUUUCUUGCUUGUAAUAUUUUUAUUCUCUCUUUCACCAGUUUUUCUUGCUUGCAAGUUCAUUCUUCACAAAGGUAUGUUUUAUGUUUAAUUUUUAGAUACAAUUUAUUUUUGUAGGGAAUUUAUUUGAGUUGGUUGAGUACAUAAAGAAUUGAUCGACGACGAAAUUCUUCUAUAAUUCAGGUUUCUAUCACUAAAUUCUUUAAUUUUUUAAUUGUAUAAUACACAAGUUUAUUUAUUUAAAAAUUUUAAUUUAAGUAGUUAGAUAAAUUUCUACUAUUUUUGUUAAAUUAAUUAAUAUUUAGGCGAAUUAAUUACUUUUGUCACUUUAAUUGUUAUGAGAAAAUGAAAUGAAUAUUAUUUAUAAGCAUUUAUGUUAAAUUAACAACAUUAAAUCUAACAUAAACUUAUAAUAUUGAGUAAUUUAAGAAUAUAUUAUGUUAAAUUAAUUUGUUUUGCACUCUAAUUGUUAUUUUAAUUUGUUGUUAUUUUGAUAAUUUUUUGUUGUUAUUUACUAGAAUGGAUUAGAUGAGAAUAAUUUGAAUUGUUAUGAGAAAAUGGAAUGAAUAAUAUUUAUAAGCAUUUAUAAACGAAAUUAACAAUAUUAAAUAUAACAUAAACUUAUAAUAUUGAGUAAUAUAAGAAUAUAUUAUGUUAAAUUAAUUUUUUUUGCACUCUAAUUGUUAUUUUAAUUUGUUGUUAUUUUGAUAAUUUUUUGUUGUUAUUUACUAGAAUGGAUUAGAUGAGAAUAAUUUGAAUUGUUAUGAGAAAAUGGAAUGAAUAAUAUUUAUAAGCAUUUAUGUUAAAUUAACAAUAUUAAAUAUAACAUAAAAUUAUAAUACUUAGUAAUAUAAGAAUAUAUUAUGUUAAAUUAAUUUUUUUUUUUUGCAAUUUGAAUUGUUAUGAGAAAAUGGAAUGAAUAAUAUUUAUAAGCAUUUAUGUUAAAUUAAAAAUAUUAAAUCUAACAUAAACUUAUAAUAUUUAGUAAUAUAAGAAUAUAUUAUGUUAAAUAAUUUUUUUUUGCAAUUUGAAUUUUUAUGAGAAAAUGGAUUGAAUAAUAUUUAUAAGCAUUUAUGUUAAAUUAACAAUAUUAAAUAUAACAUAAACUUAUAAUAUUUAGUAAUAUUAUUUCAAUGUUAAAUUAUUAUUUUUUUCAAUUUGAAUGGUUAUGAGAAAAUGAAAUGAAUAAUAUUUAUAAGCAUUUAUGUUAAAUUAACAAUAUUAAAUAUAACAUAAACUUAUAAUAAUUAGUAAUAUAAAAAUAUAUUAUGUUAAAUAAUUUUUUUUUGCAAUUUGAAUGGUUAUGAGAAAAUGAAAUGAAUAAUAUUUAUAAGCAUUUAUGUUAAAUUAACAAUAUUAAUAUAACAUAAACUUAUCAUUUUUAGUAAUAUAAGAAUAUAUUAUGUUAAAUUAAAUUUUUUUACAAUUUGAAUUGUUAUGAGAAAAUGGAAUGAAUAAUAAGCAUUUAUGUUAAAUUAACAAUAUUAAAUAUAACUUUUGCACUAUAAUUGUUAUUUUAAUUUAUUGUUAUUUUGAUAACUUUUGGUUGUUAUUUACUAGAAUGGGUUAGAUGAGUAUACUUUUGAUAACUUUUUGUUGUUAUUUUAAUUUGUUUUUACUAUAAUAGGUGUUGAAAAUUAAAAGAUUGCAAUCGUGAUAGAGUUCGAGGGUUGAAAGAUAGAAAUUGAAAAUUCUAAUAGUUAUGCCUACAUGAUAGGGAUUGCAAGAUUGUAGGCAUCUUAGUGUCAGCGUAAUAUUUUACCCUCGUAAACUCGUAAACUGGCAUCUUAGUUUAGCAGGAAUGCCAGACGAGAUAUUCACAACUUUACUGGAGUUAAUUAAAAGAAUGUUGCCUGAAGGGGAUUGUUUGCCUGAAUCUUGUUAUAAGGCAAAAAAACUUAUAAAUGACUUGGGUCUGACGUAUGUGAAAAUUGAUGCAUGUCCCAAUGAUUGCAUGAUCUAUUGGAAAGAUACUUCAGAUUUGACCGUGUGCUCGGUUUGUGAUGAAUCAAGAUAUAAAAUUACCAACGCAGUGGAUAGGUCGAGAAAAAAGAUUGCAGCUAAGGUUAUGUGGUAUUUUCCUUUAAAACCACGAUUGCAACGAUUUUUUAUGUCGAAGCAUACGGCUGAACAUAUGAGGUGGCAUGCAAUUGAAUGUCCUAAAGAUGAGUUUAUGAGACAUCCUUCAGAUUCUCCAGCAUGGAAGCAUUUGGAUAAUUUAUAUCCAGAUUUUGCGUUAGAAAUUCGAAAUGUCCGAUUAGGGUUGGCCAGUGAUGGAUUUAAUCCUUUUGGAAAAAUGAGGAAUGACCAUAGCACAUGGCUUGUGGCGCUUUCUGUUUACAAUUUGCCACCUUGGAUGUGCAUGAAACAACCAAAUUUGUUGUUGUCUUUUUUAAUACCAGGACCGCGCAAUCCUGGUAAAGAGAUUGAUGUAUACAUGCGUCCACUGAUUGACGAGUUGAAUGAGUUGUGGGAGGUCGGCACUCCAACUUAUGAUGCGUAUUCCAACCAAAGUUUUACGAUGAAGGCUGCUGUCUUAUGGACUAUAAGUGAUUUUCUGGCUUAUGGAAUGUUGUCAAGAUGGAGUACACAUGGCUAUAAAGCUUGUCCACAUUGCAUGCAUGAUAAAGAAUCUAUUUACUUGCCGGCGAGUCGUAAAAUUUGUUAUAUGGGGCAUCGACGCUUUCUUGAAGAUAAUCAUAGGUUUCGAAGGCAAACCACAGCUUUUAAUGGUCAUCGAGAGCAUCGUAGUGCACCAAGGCAGUGGACUGGUUUACAAUGUCUCGAAGAACUUUGUACAUUGAGAUUUACUUUUGGAAAACCAAAGAAAAAUCCUUCAGUAGGGCAACGCAGAAAAAGAACUUCGAGCAGUACAAGUGGUAACAGUUAGUGGAAGAAGAAAUCUAUUUUUUAUGAACUACCUUAUUGGAGGCAUCUGUUGAUUAGACACAAUCUUGAUGUUAUGCAUAUCGAGAAGAAUAUAUGUGACAGUGUGGUGGGAACAUUGCUAGGUAUAGAAAAGUCUAAAGAUGGAUUGGCUGCACGUGCAGAUCUUGAAGUCUUGAACAUAAGACGUAGUCAACACCCACGUAGAGAAGGAAAUAGAACAUUUCUACCUCCAGCUUUGUUCACGUUGAAAAGAGAAGAAAAAACUGUGUUUUGUAAUGUGUUGUUUACUAUUCGGGUCCCCGAUGGAUAUUCAUCAAAUUUAUCGCGAUGUGUGCACGUGAAUGAACGAAAAAUACAUGGGUUGAAAAGUCAUGAUUGCCAUGUUUUAAUGCAGCAGUUACUCCCGCUUGCAAUACGCCCGGUUUUGCCUAAAGCUGUUACUAUGGUAUUAUUAGAGUUGAGUGCAAUUUUCAGACAGUUGUGAAGUAAGAAGGAGUCUGAGGAAGGAUUCAAGGAACUGAGUUCAAGAAUUGCCUUGACAUUAUGUCAACUUGAAAAAAUAUUUCCUCCUGCAUUUUUUGAUAUAAUGGUGCACCUUCCAGUUCACUUGGCAGAUGAAGCAGCUCUUGCAGGGCCUAUUCCCUAUAGAUGGAUGUAUCCAAUUGAACGGUAAUUAAUAAUUUUUUAUAAAUUUUUUACAAUUGUAGUCAUAACUUUAAUUUAUAAUUAUAAUUGUUUGUGUUUCGUUUAUAAUUAUAGGUAUUUGCAAACGUUGAAGCGCUAUGUUCGUAAUAAGGGUCAUCCUGAAGGUUCUAUUACUGAAGGAUAUUUGGUGGAUGUGUUUGUCCUUCUGUUCCAUGUAUCUUAGAGGUGUCGAGUCUCGUCGUACCCGUAGAGGCCGAAAUGAAGAUGGUAUUGGACGUGGAGUGUCUGGUGGGUUAUCAAUUUUUGACUCCAAAUGAUGUUAUAUGGGUUCAAGAGAACAUGUGGAGCUCGAUCUAAAUGCUCUUGAUCAGUGCCAUAGAUACAUUCUAAAUAAUUGUGAUGAAGUGAACCCAUUUAGAAGGUAAGAACGUUUAAUCAUACGUUUUAAUGUUUUAUUGAUUUUCUUAACUUUGAAAAAUUAAUUAUCUAAAUUUGGACAUAAUUGUGUAGCCAACAUGAGGAAUUCUUGAAAACUAAACAUCGUCGAGAAAGGUUAACUAUGCGACAAAUUAAGGAGCUAAGCAAGAAAGAAUUUCCAGAAUGGUUCAAGCAACAUGUGAGUUGAUAUAAUAAUGACAUUAUUUAUUUAUUGUUUUGCAUUUUAAUUAUAACAUGUUAUAGUUAUUCUGUUAAUUUUUAUCUUCGUACUUAUUACAAAUGAAUUCAAGUUAUCAUGCUAAUGACACGUUGAUAUCUCAAGACUUGCAUUGGCUAGCUAAUUAUCCUAGUAGGGUUGUGAGUAGAUAUAAAAGUCACAUUGUUCAUGGGUUUAGAUUUCGUAUAAAAUAUGUGGAUGAUAAGCAUAAGAAUCAAAAUUGUGGUGUCUUUGUACCUGCAAAUGUUCCUGGAGCAAUUGGGCAAGUGAAUUGUUAUGGCAGAGUUGUCGAUAUGUUCGAGGUUAAAUAUUGUGGUCCUACUGAGGCAGGAGAUAGGGGUCGAGCUGUGAUGUUAUUUAAGUGCGAAUGGGUUAAUAGUGAAAGUCCACGAGGAAUGAAGACCGAUCAAUAUGGAUUUACUAUGGUGAAUUUCAAUCAAUUGGGAUUUAAAGAGGAUCCUUUCAUACUAGCAUCACAAGCAUUACAAGCAUUUUACGUGGAGGACACAAUUGAAAAAGAUUGGCACGUAGUUGUUCGAACUCAGCCGAGGGAUUUGUUUGACGUACUAGAGGAUAAUGAUGCUAUUGAUGAUUAUGCCAUACCAAAUUUGGAUGAUCGAAUUCUUGAUAAUGAAAAUUUUCAUACAAGGGUUGGCGUGGAAGAGACUCUUUUCUUGAAUCAUUAGCGUUGCCUACCGAGUUCGUUAAUCAUGCCAAUGUCGACGAUGAGCUAACAGAUGAUGACAGAGAAUAAAUAUAUUAAUUAUUUUAUGUAUUAAUUAUACUAUCUUUCAUUUCGUAUGUUAUGAUAUCUUAUUAUAAAAUUAUAUUUCUGUUUUUUAUUAAGUAUUAUAUAUAAGUUAAACAUUUUUUUUAGGGUAAAAGACUGUUUACUACCCUCAUGUUUCGUGGUUUUCAACAUUUAGUACAUCAAUUUUUUUUCGUCUCAGAGUCAUACCUAAAGUGUAAAUUUUGGGACAGUCUCAUACAUCCGUUAGUCAAACUGUUAAAUAUCCCGUUAACUGUGACGUGGCGCCCAUGUGGACAAUAACUGGGCGCCACGUGGGUCCACGUGGAAUUUUUUUUUUGUUAAAAUAAUUAAUUAAAUAAAAAAAAUAAAAAAUAACCCUAUCGUCUUCCCCAACCCGAACCCCCCUUCCCUUCUCUCUCCCUUCUCUUCUCUGCACCUACCCUCCCUUCUCUUCAUCUGCCUUUCGCCCUUUCUGAAAACUAAAACCCUAAAUCAAAAUCAAAAUCAAAAUCCAAAACUUCCGAAUUCGAUUCAACAGAGAUAUGGCGUGCGAGCGACGACGUUCGACAGAGAUGGCGCGGCUCUGAUCUGGAAGAAGAGGUGGUUGUGGGUGAGUGCACACCCACCCAUUCCCCUCUGUAGAAAAAUCCGAGAACACCCUCCCUUCUUUCCGAUUUCUUGGUGCACGACGGCAAUAGUUUGACGAUUCGAACACGACAAAUCGGAAACCCGAGGAACCUGGAACCAGAUAUGCGGGUACGGGUAAUGGUUUGGAGCCGAAUAAACCAGUUGAACCAGCCGGUGGGGAGAUCGGGUCGGACGAGCAGUCGAGUAAUCCGGCGGUGGAGGAUUCGGUGGGCAGAGGGGCCGCUGUGUGGGGGGCAGUGGGGUAGUAGGAGGACGAGAUCAGCGGUGGAGAAGCUGAACUGGGACUUCGGUUGCCGGGGUGAUUACGGACUGCUGCGGUCAUUACAUUUUGGAAUGCUAGAUUUUAGAGGGUGGAUUUCACUGAAUCGGGAUCCAUGUUUCCUAGAAAUUGAAAAGUUUUCAGAUUUGGAGCUUGGAUUGUAGUGUUCUUCAGUAAUCAAUGGGUUGAUUAUAAAUCUGGGAAUACAUGGUAGAUGCAAUUGCUGCUUUUUUUGGAUUUUGCAGAGGAAAAAGGUUCAAUUCAAGAGCGAAUCAUCUUGACUUUUUUCUAUUUUGCCAUUAUAGAGUUUUUCAUCUAGUUUUUGUAAAGUGGUAUGAGAAACUAAGAGGUGGGGGUUUACUGGAUUAGAGGGUUCAUCAAUGGAGUUUACUGGUGGGAAAGGUAUGAAGAGAGAAAGACGGUAGCCUGGUUUUCUAUUUUUCUUCUUCUUUUUUUAUUUUAUUUUAUAAUUUUGUCGGUUGCCGGGGUGAGUCGGCGGAGGAGGAUAAUGGCAGUGGUGGGGUUGGUACUCGAUGACAUGCGUUGUCGCGCCGGUGGAACGUGAAAGGUGCAUAGGUUGUGCAGAGGUUGGGUGGGUGCUCUCAGAGAGAAGGGAGGGAGAAGGGAGGGAGGGUUGAGGAAGAAGACAAUUUUUUUUUUUUUAAUGUUUAAUUUUUAAUUAUUUUUAAUAUCCACGUGGAACCCUUAUUGACAUGUGGCGCCCAGUCAUUGUCCACGUGGGCGCCAACUCAUCACUUAACAGAAUUUCUAACGGAAAACUUAACGGAUGUAUGAGACUAUCCCAAAAUUUACACUUUAGGUAUGACUCUAAGACGAAAAAAAAUUGAUGUACUAAAUGUUGAAAACCACGAAACAUGAGGGUAGUAAACAGUCUUUUACCCUUUUUUUUAAUAUUGGGUUAUACUUUUUUUUUAGCUUGUUUCCUGUCGCUUUUAACCGACGUCGGUUUAAUUGAAAUAUUUUGGGCGGCACUUUUCCCGGUUUUUUUCAUUCAGUUGGCGUCAGUUUUAACCGACGCAACCAAAGAUUAUUUCGACGCAAUGACGCUUAUUUCGACACAGACUGUCAUGUUACGUCGGUUUGAUCCGACGCAAUAUUAGGCUAUUUCGACGCAAUGUCACUCUAUUUCGACGCAAGUUAAAAACCUGUUGUGAAUUAUUUGUAUUAAUGCGAAAAAAGGAUGAUUAUUUUUUCUUAUUUACAGUUCACGAAAUUUUUUGAGUUGUUAAUUAUACUAUUUUUCUUUUUAUUUAACAAUUUUAUACUUCUAAAAACUAUAAUAAUUAUAUAUAUAUAUAUAUAUAUAUAUAUAUAUUAAAUUUUUUAUUUAACAAAUUUCAACGAUCGAACCGUCAAACAUGUUUGUAUAUAAUUCGAGAUCGCAUACGCGAAGAAUUGCAAAAAAAAACAUUCUGAGACAAAGUAACGGGAAAAACUUAUUCGACGGUUAUUAACGAAAAAUCACGAUUUAACGAUUAUUUUAACUCCGAUUUUGAUGAUUUUUUAUAUGUACACUCCUUCACCCUAUAUGAAUACACUGAAUGAAUGCGAUCUUCAAUUUGAAAUAUUUACACUAGUGGAUAUCACAAAAUCUUGUGUUAUACUUAAUGAAAGUAUGAAUAAACUCUUUAAGUGUUAGUGAAUCUAUCGUUUUGAUGGAAUACGAAUUCUAAGAAACUAAUUUCAAUGAUCGAACCGUCAAACAUGUUUGUAUAUAAUUCGAGAUUGCAUACGCGAAGAAUUGCAAAAAAAAAACAUUCUGAGACAAAGUAAUGGGAAAAACUUAUUCGACGGUUAUUAACAAAAAAUCACGAUUUAACGGUUAUUUUAACUCCGAUUUUGAUGAUUUUUUAUAUGUACACUCCUUCACCCUAUAUGAAUACAGUGAAUGAAUGCGAUCUUCAAUUUAAAAUAUUUACACUAGUGGAUAUCACAAAAUCUUGUGUUAUACCCAGAUUAAUACAAAUUGUUACGUUAUAUUUAAUAUUUAUGCAUGUUAUAUUUCAUAAUUGUAUGUUAAUAUGAUGUUUAUAUGUUUUUAUAAUUUAAUACAACAAAUAAUUUGCAUAAGAAAAAUUCAUUUUAAACGAAUUAUGAUAAGAUAAGAUAGGAUGUUUGUGGUGAUUUUAGAAUAUUUAUCAUAUUACUUUAUGAACUAGUUGGUCAAUUAUUUACAAUAAAAAUCAAAAUUUUAAUUAAAAAUUAACAGAAGAAUGUUUGAUCAAAAAUUUCAAAGUUAUAGAUGUUUGAUUAAAAAAAUUCAAAUAUAAGGCAUCUAUAUCAAAAUGAUCAUAAAAUUGUAUUUCUGUUUUUUAUUAAGUAUUAUGUAUAAGUUAAAUUUUAUAUAUUAAAAUAUUAUAUGAAAUAACAUAAUUGCUUAUUUUUUAAUUUUGGGUUAAACCUUUUUUUUUUCCUCCUGCGUUUCCAUUUUUUUUUAGUUAAACUCUUUUUUUUUAUGUUGGGCGGGAAUUUUCCCGCUUUUUUUUGCAUGGGGAAAUGGAUUGGAAGAAUUAGGGUGGAUUUGGACGUGCGAAUGAACCGAGCAUCGAAAUAAUAAAUGGUUGCGUCGAAAUAAUAAAUAGUGGCGUCGGUUCAAACCGACGCAACUACUUAUUAUUUUGACGCAACCACUUAUUAUUUCGACGCCUCGUUUCAUGCGUCGUUUAAACCGACGCAACCACUUAUUGUUUUGACACAAGCAUUUAUUAUUUAGGUGCCUCGGUUCAUUCGCACGUCCAAUUCCGAGGCCACUGCAAUAAAUUUCUGUCAGAAUAACGUCGGUUCAAACCGACGCAAUUGUCUUAUAUUUCGACGCUAGGAAAAUCUGUCAGACUAACGUCGGUUGAAAGCGAUGCAAUAUGACCCUAUUUCAACGCCAGAAUCAAGUGUGUCAGAGGUUGUGUCGGUUUGAAGCGACGUAAUGGUUGCAUAUUUCGACGGUAAGUUUUUUUGCAUAUUUAAGCUUCUACGACCUAUUUCCGUCUCUGUCAUUUCUCAUUUCACUCCCUUCACUCCCUCAUUUCACUCCCUCUCCUUCUCCAUCUUCUCUGUAUUCCGCAUUUCUUCCGUGAUUCCUUUACUUUUGCUAUGGAUAGUAGUAGUGAUCAUCAACGUUAUGAGGAACUUCAUGUGGAAGAGGAGGAAGUCGAAGCUGGUUAUUUUUCCAUAUUAUUAUUAGUUUCGUUUUUUUUUUUUUUUUUUGUGUUUAAUCUUCUAUUAUUCUUAUAAACUGAAAAUUUACAUCUGUUUCCUACUUUUUUGGUGUGUUUUAAUUGUGGUUUUUUUAUGAACAAGGAACAUCUCAACGGAGGCGAGGACCCUCAGUUCCCAAAUGGACGAAACAACUUUGUUCGUUUGAUAUGUCCGGAAAAUGCAUUAGUGAUAAUUCUAGUGCAUUUUCAAAAUAUGUGGCAUCGGAGGUUAGAGACCACAGAAAUCUCCCAUUGGCGAAGCAUUGGCGUAAGAUUAAGGAUGUAGAUAAGGAAGUUUUCUGGAAUACAAUUAAGGUAUUGGUAUUUUUAUUGUUAUUAGAAAUAAAAAGAAUAAUUCAAUGAUUGUUAUAAUAUUUGACUUGGUUGAUUUUUUUUUUUUUUUUUUGAUGUAGGGAAAUAUUGUUUUUGAAGAUGCAGAUAUACCAAAAAUGCCUUUGAUCCGCUUUAUGACGCUUAAGGUUGCUGAGCAUGCACAUAAGGAGUUUAGAAAUAAGUUAAAAAAAAGUAUUAUAUCGAGAGAGCAGCAGAGGAGCGUCGCCAGCCUCCUCCUGAUGUGAAUCCUACCCAGUGGGGUAGUUUGUUGGCAUACUGGAGUGGAGAUAAAACAAAGGUAAUCGAUGUAGUUUAUUUUGUUAUAACUAUAAAUUUGUGUAAUAAAUUUUUUAUUUUUAUUUUCAGGAGGUUGCUGAAAAAAACAAGAUUAAUCGGCAAAGGAAAACAAUGAACCAUACUACUGGUACAAAAUCUUUUGCAAGAAAGCGGCAAGAAUAUGUAUGGAUUGUACAAUUUGAAGAAAUUUUAUUUUAAAUAUUCUAUAGUUGUUAUAAAUUUUAAUUUUAAUGAGGUUUGCCUAAAAUUGUUUGUGUGAUAUUUUAUUUUUGGUAAAGCGGAAGAAGCAUGGGAAAGAAGCCGAUCCCGUAACCUUUUUUCGUGAAUGUCAUACACAAAAAAAUGAAACUUGGAUUGAUGAGGAAUCGGAGCGUACAGGGGUAAUUUAUUUUACUGUGUUAGUAUUUCAUUGUUAUUAAUUUUUAUUAUCUAUAGCUUAUUUUUCUGUUUUACGAUUGAAUUUUUAUUUUUAAAAAUUGUAAUGCUAGGCAACAAUGGAGCAAUCUGCAAACUUUGAUUCAGUCGGGGCAAGAGGAUAAUGAAGAUCUUAGGACCCAAGUGUAUGUUGAAACAAUGGGUCUUGAGAGGUAUAAUAGAGUCAGAGGAUACGGUCAUGGGGUGACUCCUGAUAUGGUGUCCUGUGCGUCUUCUCGUCUUCUACAUCAAUUUCCUCCAAGAGGUCAUCUAGCAGUGCAAUGGCAUUGCCGAUGACUCAAAAUAAUGAGUUGAAAUUGAGGAACGAAAAUAACAAUAAAUGGAUUUCGGACAUAGAGAACAAGCAAAGUCAGAUGUUUGCGUGGCUUUUCCAAAGAUUUCAGCCACAACCACAGCCACACCCACCGUAUAGCCCGGGAACCCAACAGUCAGGCCAGAGUCAGCCUCCUCCUCCUCAACAGACGGGUCAAAGUCAGCCACCCCUUGCAUAUCCGUAUGCUGGCCAUAAUCAGCAACCUCUGUAUCCUAUGUAUCUGAUGCCUAUGCAGCCCACGGCAUACAUGCAGCAGCCGCCUAUACCAUACAUGCAGCAGCCUCCCAUGCCUUACAUGCAGGAGCCGCCUUAUCAAGUGCCAGUAUAUCGACCCGAGAUGGCUGCUCCUUAUUCUGAAUUUCCAGCUGGGGGGUUUGCUGAAAUGCUUGCGGGUGUUGGAUCUGAUGUGGAUUUGUCAAGGAUGUUGGUAUCAAAUAUAGGACCUCAAGGACGAGAAGGAUAUGUGCCACGUUCAGGCGCAGAUUCGGUUCCGUAGUUUAUUUGGUUCGCUUUCUUGUCAGUUAAAUAUGACACUUUAAUCGUUCUAUCUUUUUUGUUUUUUUAUGUUAUGUUUGUAAUGUCGGAUUUAGUAGUUGUUAUGACGGAUAAGUUUUUGUAUAUUAAGUGGAACGUUAGAUGUACAAUAUUUGUGUAUUUUGGCACUAUUUUUAUUGUUAAUUAUUUUCAUUAAUGUAUGUACAAUAUUUGUGUAUUUUGGCAUUAUUUUUCUUGUUAAUUAUUUUCAUUAAUGUUUAUUUUGGCCUUGGAAUUUAUUAAUAUAAUUAUAUAAAUUUUUUCUAUUACAAUGAAUUGAAGACGAAUGCAGUUUGUCGGUUUUUUUUUAUUAUUAUUAACAAAAGUGGUGUCGGUUAUGACCGUUAUUAGUUUGCAUAUUUUAUUUAUUUAAUUGUUAUUUGAUGUCGGUUUAUGGGUAUUAAAUUGAUUUAAUAUUAUUUCAGUGUCGUUUAAAAGCGAUAGUAGGAUGGAUAUUUUACAAUUAAAUUGCUAAUGAACGUCACAUUAAAGCGACGUAACCUGUAUGUAUGCGUCGCUUUAAACCGACGUUAAUUUUAGUGUCGCUUUAAAGCGACGUUGUUUAGUGUCGGUUUAAGCCACGAAACCGACGCUAAAGCCCUUUCGUGACGCUAGCAAUAGUGUCGCUUUGAAAAUGCGACAUUACAUUGUUUUAUGUUGGAUUUUUGCCAAAAUUCCGACAGAAAUUGGAUUUCUCUGUCGGUUUUUGCUCCGACAGUGAUAGCAUAUAUUGGAGUAGUGAACACAAACCCAGAAUUCUUUUGAAAUCCUUGCAGAACCCCGUCGGUCGCAAGCCAUCGGUCGCCGAUUUGAGCGGCAACAAUUUCACCGGCGCUAUCCCAGAAUAUCUCAGCAAUGCCGAAGAACUCAGUUACUUGAACAUUCGUUGAACCCAUUUCAAUUAGUCAUUUCGUCGAACAUCUGGCGCGCACCAAAUCUGCAUAUUUUUUCCACUAGAUCCAGCGACUUCACCGAAAAAAUCCCAGACUUUGUCGGCUGCAAAAGCCUGUUCAAAUCGAACGCCAAUGAAAUGACUUUAAUGGUUCCAUCCCAUGGGACAUCGACCUCACCCAGAACUUUCUCUCCAGCACAAUUUCGUCCAACUUCAAGAACUGCAGCACGUUGGAGAGUUUCAACGUUUCGUUUAAUUUAUUGGGGGGAAUAACCCAGGUUCUGAUAUUUGGGGUUGUGAGGUGAUGAGUUUGGUUGCAGGAGUUGACGAAUGGAUUGAGGGUUGAAAUUGGUUUCUAGAGAAGAGGAGAAGGUAUAAAUUGAAGAAAGUAAGGGGUUUGGGAGAAUUAGGGCUCUUGAAAUGCUCCUUCAAUGCCUCCACCUUCAUUUUUAAUUGUUAAUUUUUAAUUUUUUUUAAUUUUUUUAAUUUUUUAAUAUUUAUGUGGGCUCCUAUGACACGUGAUGUUUAGUCACUGUCCACGUGAGCGCUAUGUCACCAGUUAACGGCUGAUUUAAUAGCAAACUUAACGGAUGUAUGAAAAUGUCCCAAAAUUAUGACUUUAUGUACCACUCUAGGAUGAAAAAAAAACUUCAUGUAUUAAAUGUUGAAAACCAAGAAACUUCAGGGUAGUAAACUGAGAUUAACCCUUUUAUUUAUUACUUUUAUGUCGAUUUGAAUUAUCAGAUCACUGUGGCAUGGCUAUAUUUGGUUAUAUUUAAGUUAUUUGUUCAUCGUUUGCUGCACCGGUGUUAGUACUCGUCCAGACCAGGGCCAGUCUUUCAUGUGUAUGUGCACAUCACACCGUACGCUCACUUUGGAUCCAUUAUAGGUGCCAGUCCUGUCGUACAGGUUGCAAUAGGCAACUUCGACUCAUAUGUGCUGAGCAUAGCGCAAGUCUUCACGUGAUUGUAGUACCAAAACGUUUACUAUUAUUACACCUAGUCCUUUUCAUGUCAAAAUAUCUCUGCAUGAACUCGUGUGUCAACAUAUGUCGAUGAGCACCUGAUAUGAUAUGUUGCUUAUGUGAGAUUUUGUUAUUAUGGAUGACAUGCCCUUAUUUACGAGAUAUUGUGCCGUAAUGAAUUCUUGAGAUUUUGCAGGUUACGGUAAGUAUUUUCUUACUAUAUGUAGUAUGCAUAUUUUGGAAACUAUACUUAUUUUACAGCGAAGGGUUAUUAUGUUUUCGAAAAGGUUUUUACAAAGAUUUGUUUCUAGGCCCACUUACCCUUAUUUUCCGUCCCUCCAGGUUUUAUCGCUGAACUUACAUGUCGACACGGAUUUUUGGCAAAUCUUGGUGUAGACAUUCGAUGGUAUAAUUCUCACCCUAGCUUAUUGUACUAUACUUAUGCUCUGACAUUACGUGUGAAAUUGGUUCAUUCCCACUCACAGCGCACUCUAAUACUGGGGCAUUUUUAGGUUUAAAUUUAUUCAUAAUUCCAUAUCACUACACUUUAUGGCUCGUCACCCUCCAGGUGUCAACCAGCACAACUCAAUUCGAAGUCCAGGUGGACAUUUUGGGUUGGGGUGUGUCAGUUUGGUAUCAGAGCAUAAGUUGGGCAGUAUUGCGUUCAUCACAUGCAUGAUGUAAGCAUUCUCGGUUCUUGAGCCUAAUUUUCGAAUCUUGCCACCUCGUCGACUACGAAAAACGUGUUAAGUUUUUCUAAGUUUUGGAUGAAUUGGAUGAUUUAUCGUCAUUCUAGAACAUUGUGUUGGUAGACGUUCCUAAAUUUUAACAAAGAACCUCACUGCCAAGGAAAAAUCCUGUUUUUGGAUUAAGUUGAUGGCCCUGACGUAGGGCGAAUGUAUCAGGAGUCACACAUCACCAGAGAUUUACAAGUCAAUCCCAUCAUUACUCUCCUGCCAUCAUUACCAAAUCUUGCGAGAUAGGAAACCACAAUUAGUUUUGAUUCCUUGGCAGCAUCCGAUCGCACACCAUAAAUUAGAAUUCCUACGAAGUUUACUUAGUCAAGAUUUCAGAAUUGGCUUGAGCGACAACCUGGUGCUAAAGCGGUAUCACUCGACAGAAGAACAUCUGAGGGACAAUCACUUUUGGUCCCUGAUAGCACUAAUCUUUUCAAACACACGAACGAUCAUUUCGGAUCUUCAGAAGGAAGAUCGACAUCCGUUUAAGUCCGUUCUAAAGUAGAUUAUUAUCAAAUUCCUUUUUUGUCUUUUGGACGUUCCCACCAAUACUAGUUUCUCAAAUUUCUUUUGGUGAUGUACUCAUUAUUUAGACGAGCAUAGGCACAGGUGUACGAAUUGUUAUACCUACGGUUAGUAGAAAUCCCCGAAAUAGUAAGUAUGUUUCCUUAGAAUUAAUGAAACCACCUCAUUGGACCAGUUCCUUACCAAUUGUCCAAAAUUAUCCACCUGAGCGGGCUCUAACCUGUAAUCAACCUACAGUGGCGCUACUAAUUAACGACAUCAGCUGACAUUCUAGAAUGGUCAACCAGUAUUCAGGCAGUAUAAUUUCUGAUACCGGGCACAUGUACUAGUAUCUGGGAGUGAUACUCUUAUGCCAGAACGCUGGUUUAUAAUUUCAGGGUAACGAACAAUAACAACAUAUCGUAAUUAUGUUAAUUAGCGGUGAGACUAAUAAACUGAUUAAUAGUGACUACUUGAGCCAAAGAAACUUAGGAGUAAGCUUUGUAUUAGGACAGUAAACUUAUAGUUGUUUUUACCUUAUUACCUAUCUAGGUAAGCAUAACCUCUCCGACUAGCCACCUUUUCAAUCACUUCUAUACGUAGACAGUAGAAUCGAGGUGUGAAUUAAUUUUCCAUUGUCAAAGUGAGUUGAGUAUCGAGAAAACUGUGAAGACCUUUUAGUUCGCGUCGUAGUGAAAGGAAGUAGUAUAGUAUGUUUCGAGAACGUAUAUCUUUGGCAUCAUUUCUCCAAAUUUUGCCUAGGAUAUCACCAAAUGGUGAAAUAAAGUACGCCAUCGAUCCAUUUUCUCGUACUACACCAAUUUUCCUUGUGUCUUUUUGAACAACUCCUACAAUUGAGAGAACUUAGUUACAUAAGCUUACCGAUUGGAAAUUUAUCAAACCAAACACCUUACCUAGGGAACCUCAAACCUAUCUGUGAAGGUGAAAGGCUGAACCUUAGGAUCGUACCUAGAUCUUUGCAACGUAAUUAGGUGACGAUUAAAACGGUUAACCCAUAUUUCGAAUUGAUGGUCUACCCGACCACUUUUGGAACUUGAGUUUUCUUCCAUAGCUUGUUGAAUCCAUGGUAGUCUUACAGACAACUUUCCCACCUACUUCAGCAGCGAGAUCAAACUUCCUAAAUACCGACAAUUAGCUUUAUACAAAAUUUCUCAAAUGUGUUAGUUGUCUAAAUUGGUAGUUUUCUUGGGAGACGUGAUAUCGGUAGACGAUAUUCUUUUCUUUUUCCCAAAAGGUUGUAGUGGAAGAAAGUUGAAAUUCUCACAAGGUAUUGUGAAUUUCGAUAUAUCUUUGGUCUUGACGAUUUUAUCAACAAUUUGUUAGCGAUUUUUUUGCUAUAGUGUUUUUCCUCACUUAUCGACCGGGAAAGUUAAUUUAGUUUGAGAUGUUGAAUAUGAAUAAAGUAUCUGACAACUGAACUGUUGUCUCAACUCACCAUUGCUUUACACCUUUCGAUGACAUUGAUCAUUUCAAAUCCCAAGAUGACGUGUUCUUUGGAUGUUUUGGCUGUGUAGAGGCAACUUGACGAUGUAUCGCUUAUGUUUCCUAACGAUUGGAACCAUAUGAAAUGAACUACCUUACUCAUGACUUAGAGUCCACAAUUAUCACCUUUGUUGAUGCAUAAAAUCAGUGAGGACUUUGGUACAACAUAAAAUGUUAAGUUUGUGACAUUCGCUAGAUUGCUCCGGUCACUAGUGUGGAUAAAUAUGUAAAUGAAUAGGGACAGGGAAACAAACACAAGAUGUAUGUGGUUCACCCAGAUUGGCUACGUCCAUGGAGUAGAGGGGUUCUCAUUAAUAGUGAAGGGUUUACACAAGUACAUAGGUUCAAGCUCUCCUUUAGUGAGUACUAGUGAAUGAUUUAAUACAAAUGACAUUCAUAAAUAUUGUGGGAGAAUGAUCUCCUUUUAUAGAAGAGAGUUUGUAGCUUUGUUUUGACAUUGACACGUGUCGUGUUAUGAUUGACUUUUGAUGUUAACACGUGUCGCGCUAUGACGCUAUGAUUGGCCUCCUGGUUGAAGGGAAACUCUUCUGGGUCCUUAACGGUAUAACUCUGACCGGUGCGCAGUAGUUUCGGGAUUGGUCAAGUAUGGUACAAACAACCUUCAUUUGAAAACCGGAUGACAUUUCUCUGCGAUAAGUGUAUCCAGAAUCUUUAUCAACCCUAGACUUCUCAAAUACAUCUUCAAUUGAAAGGAACUAGAUUUCUGACAUUGGUGAUGGAAGAACCAAAUCAACGUUUAUAAUUGCGCUAUCAUGCAUCAUCUCGGUUGUGUAGGCGUAAUGACUGUUUACCACAGUGAAAGACAUAUCUACCCUUGAACAUUUCCAGCAUUUUCUAUCCCAUUCUAGUUAGAGCUCACAAGCAUCGAGUUGAUAUUAUUUCCGAAUUAUCAAGAAAUUUUUCGUGUGGUUAUAAUCACUUCUUGAAUCCAAAUGCAACUGGGAAAUAUCACCAUAAGCUCCUACUACGAGGUGUCUUGUACAUGUGGAUAUUACGAUGAUGUUUCGGUGAUUAUCAACCGACUUGACAAGUUAGCUUACUUCGCGUUGGCCCAAAGGGACUACAUUUUAGAUCACUUGAGAAAAUUACUCAUUCUUGAAAUUAUCAGAUUAUUCUGAUGUUUAGAUCAACAUCUACUUUGACUGUGGUUUCAUAUUCACCUUUUGUGCAGGAAGGCAUUCCAAUCACCCUUGGGUAUGUGUCUACCCUAUUGCACUUUGUGCUAAUUUUGAAGCAAAUAGACCGUUUAGGUGAAUAGCCCAAACAUUUAGAUUUUAGUUGUGACUAUUAAUUCCUAAAUCACCCAACAAAUACUCUGAUAAGCGAAUCCUUACCGUUGGUGAUUGAAUGUUCCAGAAGUUACCAUUGUAACGAGAUGUUAUGCAUUAAUUUCAAUUACCUAGUAUCCAAAAGUUGAUGGACUUGUUUUGACCCUCAGAUAUUUGAGUGUUCUUUUAGCCUUCUCAACACAGUUUUUCGCUAAAUUCGAGAGGAAUUCAAUAUAAAGCUGCUCGCUAAGGCAUUGUGAACUACAUUGUUUGACUAUUUGGUAUGCAUGUCACUACUGUACCUCUGUAUAACACAUGUUUCAUUUCCAAGUCUUGGGAAUCCUUUUGAAGGUUAUGAGUACUAAGUUUUUGUCUAGUAUCACAUUUUUACCCUCACACUAACGACCAGUCUGAGCGAACUAUCCUGACCUUAGUGGACAUAUUGCAUUUUGUCUGUUCUACAAUUAGCAUGGUUGUAACACAUAGUUAUCUUUAUUUUAGUUGCUUGUAACUCCGGUUACAAUUUUUGGUUUUGGGUAUGGCACUGUUGAGACGUAGUAUGGAAAUUUUAUGCAUAGCACAUGAUUGACAGAAGAGUAUUGUGAACAAGUAGUUGAAUGAUCGAGAUUACAAUGUAACAAAUUGUGUGCUAUUUGCAUUGUCGCCUGAGAUGGCAGUACGUGAGCGCGAUUGAGGCUCUAAUUGGACGAUUUAUGUGUAUUUCCCAAUGAGAGGCAUGAUGGUAGUAUUUCACCCUUGGGAAUUUGUUCCUUACUUAUCGAGACAAUUGUGAGUUGUCGGUAUUGUGGGUUGCAAACUGUAAUAUCGAUAACUUAAUUGUUAAACUCGUUAAGCAAGUGGACAUUUAGUUCUGUCUACGUUAGUAUUUUUAUUUAUUUAUACAUCUAGUUAUUUAUUUAUCGUUUGGGCUUAACCCAAAGAUACAACACACUCAUCUUCGGAGUACAUGAUGCUACGACUGCGUAGGUGGAAAACUUUCUAUUUUCAAUGUUAAUUUCAGUACAAUUAUUUUAACUAUACGUUAUUACAUAUAUAUGUAUUUUGACGGGAUGUUAUUAUACAUUUGUAAAUGCUCUUGGCUUUAUGUUUUAAUAAAAGGUAUUAUAUUAUAGUAUUAUGCUGAAGGAGAAGGAAAGUAGGAGUUUGGGGGCAUGAAAGAGGAAUCACUGCACUCCGAUCGCGACGGAAUGACAUUCUCUUUUAUGCAACCACUCUAACUUGAUAUCUUCCAUUACAUAUUUAUUUUUCCUAUUGUCUUUUCAUUACUUUUGUAUAACAAGUGAUUUCAAAUUUUGGAGACAAAAUUUUUUUAAGGUGGGUAGAUUGCGACAACCCGUCCCUACAUUGACAAUUUUAUUAAUUUUAAAUGAGUAAAUUGACAAAAAUGCCCUAGAGGUGAGGGUAUUGACUUUUGUUAACCAACUUAUAGUGAGACUUACAAAAUAUUCUUUUAGCGUAUUCCUGUAGUACUUAACAAUACGAAUGUGUGGGGGCAAGUAGAAUCGAAAUUGGAGUUAAGAUAGGGGUUUUAUGGAACUAUAAAUCCGAAAAGUACUUUUGUAAAGAUGACUGUUUAUUAUUUUAUAUAUUUCUCAUAAUUAUUAUAAUAUUAUUUUGCGAGAAAUGAGGGAAGAGAGAUCAACGACGGAGGAAAAAAGGCAGAAAACAGAGGGGGCUGCUGCCCAAUAUGAGGAAAGAAAUGAGGGGGCUACUACCCAAUCAGAAAGAAGAGAAAGAGAGAGUGACCAACCAAAGAGGAGAGAAAGAAGGGGAAAGGAAAGAGGUGCAAAGCACCCAAACGUGACCCAUACACCCACACACCCAACCCGAUUUUGACCCGGAGGGUUUUCCGGCCAUUCUCAUCCAUUUUUCAGGGGAUUUUCACCCAUUCACCACCACCAAACCUUAUCACCACAUCCCAACAUCCAUUCCUAGCUAAAAUCGACACGAAUUGGUUGAGAUUUCAUGAAGAAAUACCCCGUAGGUGCCGCAGAGGGCAUUUGAAGUUUUUUUGAGCCAGUCGUGUGCAAUACACGCUCGCAUGGCCGCACAUCCCGACAACAACAAAUGGGGGUGGCCCACCAGCGCAUGAGCACUGAGAUGAUCAGAUGGAUGCCACAUGUUCGUUUCUAGGCUGUUGGAUUUCAAACAGCUAGUUUUCUGGACCAUUGGAUUUCCAACGGUAAAAAAAAUUGAAAUUUAAAAUUAAUGGGUACUGACGUGGCACAAUGAAGACCGUUCAAUUUUCAGAUUAAUAGUCCAGAUUUUUCAACCAAAAAACUUAAUAAAUAAAUAAAUAAAAAUAUCAAAAAUAAUUUUAUAAAGUUAGAAAUUAAAAAUAAAAUUAUUACUUUUUUAUUAUUUUAUAAUAAAAAAUAACAAUAUUUUAAUAAAUUGACUAGGCUAUUUUUUUGUUAGAUGUAGAGAUGCAUUUGGCCUAUUACUAUAAAUUGGGGUCUAUCACUAUUCACUGAGUGGAUUAAAUAGGAUGGGUGCUGGCACAUCUUUUUAAGGGUAGACUUUCUCUUAAGUGUCGUGUGGUAAUAAAGUUUCAGAGGUGUUUUGCUUUGCAGAAAGCCUGGGGUAAUGCUAAAAUAAUGGUGAUGGAAUUAUGAUGAGGUAAGAAGCCUAGAUAAGCUAGGCUUUUGGUCAUGAUGGGAUAAGUCAGGAUAGGCUUUUAUCUUGUUUGAAAAGUCAGCCAUUUGGAUGAUAGGCUUCAACCUAUAAAUUAAAUAAGGAAAUAGUGAUGUGAUACAGCAGGAGGUUACCAUGCAUGCAUAGAUAAAGAUUAUGAAAUGAUGGUGGGACCAAAUAUCCUUGGCAGGAUGCCAAGAAUUUUAAUCAAAUGGCAUCACUUACAAGAUUUGGAGAUAAAGUGGCAGUACAUCAGGUUGCUACAAAUGAACACGUGGCUUUAGUUUGCAUGAGAUGAUUAUUUGGGGUUUGAGAGAUUUUUCAGUGUGAUCGACACACGAGGUGGUACACCACAUGUCACUAUACAAAUGGUGGGAUAUGUGUGUUAAAAAGUUAAUAACUUAAAAAAUAAAAUUUUCAACCACUUACAUAAAAACACGUGGUGUACCACUCGUGUUCCGGUCACAAUAAAAAAUUUCUCUUGGGGUUGAGCUUUGAAUUAAUUAAAUGUGUCAAAAUGAGAUAAAGAUAAGUCAAACAACUAAAACAUGGGCUUUGGCCUGCGUAACGUAAAUCGUUUUAUGAGUUUGAAAUGCAAUUGGAUUCUGCAACAAGUGUCAGCGGCCAAAGCCAGUAUAGCCGCUGGAUAAAUAGUAUUGGAGCCGUAGAAUCAGCCGACCGAUGAGCACUUUCAAUUUGGAUAAACAGCACUGCUUCAAGACCAACUAAUUAUUUAUCCAAGUCUCAGUCAACAAGGAUUUUCGAGUCCUUGUUGGUAGAGGUCAUCUCAUCAGCCUUCUUGGCGAAAUGAGGUGUUACCAGGUUACUACAUUCAGCACAUUGAAAGCCGAAUUUGAUAUUGAACUUCGUAGAACUAGUAGCCUUGUCUUCAGGCUCUAAAACCCCGAAGGCCUAGACGUGUUCCUUUCUCGGCCGCAGUCACAAAAUCAAGAAGUCAGCAGCGCGCCCAAUGCCACAUCAACAUAUUUUACUCCCCGACUGAACUCGGUCGACGAGUUGGCACACCCUGCACACAACUAAAGGAUGUAGUUAGUUUAUUAAUUACUCGGCCUGCGAGCCAUGUAGGCUUGAUAAUUUUUAAGAAAAAUAGAAACACACAUCCACAUAGUUAUAAUUUUUGUUUCCAGUUAGGGUUUGAUGCUUUCUUUUUGCACAAUCAACACUAAUAAUUUCAGUUAGAUCCAGAUCCCCUCCUGACCUUUAAAAACUGAGCUUGCUGAGCAAACAAUCUUGGCCGUUUAAAUUUGAUCCAACGACUACAAACAGAGAGGUCCACUAAAAGUUAUAAUAAUUGUAGUCGUUAGAUUAAAUUUCAACAGCCACGAUUGCCUGCUUAGUAGACUCAGUUUUUUAAGGUCAGGAUGAGAUCCGGAUCCAUUUUAGUUAACUGAUUUUCAUAUUAACCUUGGGUGGACAUGACUGAUUUGAUAAAGAAAAAAUGAAAUGUAUUCAACACCCUUUAUAUACACAAUGCGGCAUGGACUCGGAUCAUCUCUUGACCUUUCUGUCCGGAUCCGAAUGAUCAAUUGAUCCUAGCCUUUAAAUGCACAUCAUACGGUUAUAAUUAAUUUUAUCGUUUUAAUGGGCUUCUCUUGACUCUCCUUUUUUUUUAUCUCCUCCCUCAUUUCUUUUUCUCUCCUCUCUCAUUCUAUCUUUUUCUUUCCCUUUCACUUAGUCUUGUUUCUAGGGGUGGGCACGGGCCGGACCGAGCCUAAAAUUGAAGGGCCCGGACUAGACCCGCUUGAAAAUACAAUAGGCCGGGCCAGGCGAAUUUUAUUAUAUUAAAACCGAGAACCGGACCUAACCCAGCCCAUAUAAAACGGGCCGGUUCCUACGGGUACAAACUCUUUUUUUCCCCUAAUUUUCAGUAUCCAGAUUUUUCCCAGUAUCAGCCAUCGCCAAAUCCAACACCUAGAACCUAUUCGUGACCCUUUUGGAGGGCAAAACCCUAACCCUAACAUUCACAACCCCAGAGAUCCUCACCACUUCCAUCAAGCACCUCCUAUACAAAAUCUUCAAAUACAAUUUCGAAUUCAUCAAAAAAAUAAAAUAAACUUGAAUCCCUAUGAGAACUAGAGACAUCGUCUUCCUCACGGAUCGAACUAGAGAUGUCGUCUUCAAGCAUUUCUCUUUGACCCUGAAGCACAAAUUGAACCAGAUAUGUCGUCUUCCUUACGGAUCCAAGACCUCCACCCUCGCCAUUACAAAUUACAUCGAAUCAAAACAAAAUCAGAAACCUGCAAAAUUCCUAAAUCAGAAACCUAAGUUCCACUGAUCAUGCUUCGUAAACCCAAAACAAAAAAUUGAAAAUUUAGAGAAUAUAAAUACAAAAUUUAAUUCAAUCAACCCACGAUGGUUUCGGAAAUUCACAUAAAAAGGGAGAGGGGGAGAGGAAGAGAGAAAGAAACUUACGAUGUUGCCAACGAUUGUUAUACGAGCCGAGCUACAACGGAGGCCAUGGAAGCUCACGCGGUGAUAUGGUUGGAACGAGGGUGGGGUGUCAGAUAGAUCAAAGGAAGAGACUCGGAAUGGUGUUGGAGAGAUCAAGGGUGAGGGGAGACGGUGAGGACGAUGGUGAUGGUGGCUGGCUCGGAAUGGUGUUAGAGAGAUCAAGGGAGGAAACUCGGAGUGGUGUUGGAGAGAUCGAGGGUGAGAGGAGACGGCGAGGAUGAUAGUGAUGGUUAUGGUGGAUGGCUCAGAGUGGUGUCGAAGAGAUCGAGGGUGGGGUGAGUUUGACAUUUAAGUGAAUAGGUGGGUAGAGAGAUAGACUGAUAGAGGGUUAUUCAUUUAGGUGGGCAAUGAACGGUCCGGGCCGAGGGCUCGUUUUCUCCAAUUUUUAAAACCGGCCCACCCCGUUAUUUACAAAGACCCGCCCCGUCCCGUUUUGUAUUUAUAAUUUUUUGACCCGUCCUGUACCCGUGGGUCCAGGACCCGUUUGCCUACCCCUACUUGUUUCCGGAUUGUUGCAUCUCGUCUCUCUCAUCUCACAUAUGAAAAUUUGAAGCAACAUAAAUAUUAUACCAACUGGACUACCUUUGGUUCUGGGAUGUCGAAAGAGCCAUUUUGUUGUUAGUCUCAAACAGAAAUCAAGUAACUCAACAAAUUAGACACCCCAAGAUCAGAUCUUUAUCACCGACCUUCAACCCAAACCCCUGAAUUCUUUUCUUCACCCAACCAAGAAAAAACAAAACCCCAGGAGCAUAAGUAGAGAAAAAGACAUAAGCAGAGAAAGGAGAGAGCACAACACCUAGAAAGAAAAAAGACAUAAAAUCAAGACACAAAAGGAGACAAGAAAACCAUUAAAAAGAAAAAUUAAUCAAGAAAAAAAAACCAGAAGGACAGAACAUAGCAUGCAGAUGGAGAGAAGUAAAAUAAAAAGAGAGAAAGGAAAGCACCGCAAGCCUGCAUGAGGAGGGAGAAUAAAGAAGAACACAGAAUGAGAGAGAAAGGAGAGAGCACUAGCACGCAAAAAGAGGAUAGAAAAAUAGAGAAUGACAGAGAAGAAACAAUUAAAAGCAAUUUAAUUAGUAACCAUAGGAUUGCAUCGAACGGCCAAAAUCAAUUGGUCCGUCGGAUCCUGGUAGAAAGUUCCGGAGAUGAUAUGAGUCCAAUGGGGCACUGGGCAUCAAAGAACAAAUCCUUGGAGUACAAGUAAAUUAAGUACAUAUGUGUAAGAAAUAAAAUAUUUGGUACUUAAGAAAGAACAGGACUUGGCUGCUGAUUCUUUUAGCAGCCAAGUUCUAUACCCUAAGAAAUCCUAUUUAGAAUAUCCAACAUUCAUGAAGGAAUAAAUAAGUUAGUAAAUAAUAUUUUUAAACUACACCUACUUCAGUAAUAAUCUCUCUAAAGUUAUAAAAUUUGUUUGCUCCCAGCUUUAUGGGCUUUACUACAUAACAUAUUAAUGCGUGAAGUACCCAUCUUUCCAAUCACUUUUUGUCAUUGAUCACCACUUCGUUGGUUUAAUUUAUUAUUGCUAAAAUAACCCAAUUUCUAAGAUACGGUAUUAGAAAAGACAAUCAAAAACCUAAUUUGGAAGCAAAAUACAAUAAUAUAAGGUAUUUUGUUUGUGAAUGCAAAAUCCAAACUUGUUUCUAAUUUGAAAACCACCCUUGAACAGAGACACAUGUAUUUUUAAAAUGUAUAUAACAUGAAAAGUAGACGGCGAAAGCGAGGGUUUCUCAGAGAAGCAAACAGAUCAUAAGGUCAAGAUUCGGCAAACAAUCCUAAUGGUUUCCCAUGAAUAGCUAGGGCGGGCCCCCGUUUCAUGUGGAGGCUAACGACAUUCGAAGGUUCGCAGUAGGAUUCCCUUGACUCGUUUUUGCUUGCUGGGCACGAAGCUUCAACUAUAUAGAAGCGUACAAGUUUCAGUCAAGCUCCUCCUUCUUUCCAAACCCUCUGUAAAAAGGUGCAAAGAAUAUUUUGCAGAAGAUUAAUUACUUCAAUUGCUACUAAGAGACUUUAUACAAAGAGAGAUCUUGCCGAAGAAGUAACCUAGCCUACAUUCUAGGUUUUACAAAUAUUCACAAAUCAAUUACAAACAAUUUACAAAAUAGUUUCCUAAAACUAAGCCAAGAUAUCAAGAAUGAUAUCAUUGACUUCUCAACACUCCCCCUCAAGUUGGAGAGUGGACAUUGAGAACUCCCAACUUGUGAAUGAUAUUUGAGAAAGUUUCCUUCCCUAAUGGCUUCGUGAGUACAUCUGCAAGUUGAUUGGAAGAAGGAACAAAUCUCGUAACAACUUAACCAUCUUGUAUCUUGUCCCGGAUGAAGUGACAGUCCAUUUCUAUAUGCCUAGUUCGCUCAUGAAAAACUGGGUUAGCAGCAAUGUGAAGAGCUGCUUUAUUGUCGCAAUGGAGCAGAGCCGGUCUUUGAUGUAGUAUACCUAGGUCUUUCAAUAAAUAUCGUAGCCAUGAUAAUUCACAACAAGUUCCAGCCAUGGCUCGAUACUCGGCCUCCGCUGAUGAUAAAGACACAGUCUUUUGUCUCUUUGACUUCCAAGAAAUCAACGAAGAGCCCAAAAAAAUACAAUACCCUGUAGUUGAUCUUCGUGUUGUUGGACAACCUGCCCAGUCCGAGUCACAAUAUGCAUUUAAGACCAAAUCAUUCUCAGAAGAGAAGAACAAACCUUGUCCAGGUGUAUUCUUGAUAUAUUCAAAAUCUGAAGGGCUGCUUCCAUGUGUGGUGUGCAGGGCUCAUGCAUAAACCUACUCAACACAUGCACGGAAUAGGUUAUAUUUGGCCUAGUGAUUGUUAGGUAUAUCAGACGCCCCACCAAUCUUCUAUAUUUUGUCAGGUCUUUGAGGAUUGCACCAUUGUCUGAUAACUUAAGAUUCUGUUCCAUGGGAAAUUCGACGGGGCAAGCUCCCAAAAGACAUUCAUCUUUCAAUAUUUCUAAAGCAUACUUCCGUUGGGAAAUAAAGAUCCCUUUCUUAGAACGUGAUACUUCAAUCCCAAGAAAGUACUUCAAAUUGCCAAGAUCCUUGAUUUUAAAAUGACCAUUAAGGAACCGUUUAAGGGCAUUGAUAACACUCGAAUCAUUACAUGUAAUCAAAAUAUCAUCAACAUAAAUUAGGAAGGCUGUAAAAGACUUGCCUUGUGUCUGGGUAAACAAAGAGUAGUCAGCCUUGGAUUGUACAUAACCAGUGGAUUGAAUCGAGUCAGAAAACUUUGCAAACCAUUGAUGAGAAGCUUGUUUCAACUCAUAUAAAGACUUGCUAAGGCGACAAACCAAGUUCUCCCCAUGUCGCCGAAGACCUGGAGGAAGAGUCAUAUAAAUUUCUUCAUGAAGGUUACCAUGAAGAAAAGCGUUGUUAACAUCUAGUUGAUGAAGAAACCACUGCCGGGAAGCAGUAAGAGCCAAAAAACACCGAACCAUGACCAUUUUGGCAGUGGGAGAAAACGUGUCAUGGAAAUCAACACCUUCAAGCUGGGUAUAGCCCUUGGCAACCAAACGUGCCUUAUAAUGCUCAAUGGAGCCAUCAGAACGAUGCUUAAUCUUGUAAACCCAACGGCAACCAAUGGUAGUUUUGCCACGAGGAAGAGCAGUAAGAGACCAAGUGCGGUUAGCUUCCAAUGCCUCUAAUUCAGAAGCCAUGGCAGCUUGCCAAUGAGGAAAACGAGCAGCUUCCUCAUAACUCUGGGGUUCAACCUGUUGAGUAAUAUGGGCAAGGAAAGAUUGUUGUGCAGUUGAGAAACGAUGGUAAGUAAGGUAAUUAGCGAGUGGAUACCGCGUACCUGGAGUGGGACCAGACGACGAAGACGAUGGAGGAAGAGGUUAGGUAAGCUUGAGAGUAAGACAAUCAUAAUCACGUAACUUGGGUGGCGGAGAAGAAUGACGGCUAGAGCGACGGAGCACCGGGGUAAGAGCUGGCGCUGACAGGGUGAGGUCAGGAACGGUAGAUGCAAGAAGUGUUGCAGGCGCAGGAGAUGCGGCAUCAGCGGAAGGGGAUGACUCAAGUGGAAUCAUAGGGUCAGAUGGGUGGAUAACGGAGGGUGACACGGGACCAAGUAAGUGAGGUGAAAUAAGUGGUGUAGGUGAAGAUACACGUUGAUGGGAAGAUGGAAAAGGUGAGGUUUGAUAAGGAAAUAUAUUUUCAUGGAAGACAACAUCACGACUGGUAAAGAUUUGGUGAGUGGUGAGGUUAUACAGUUUGUAGGCUUUCUGACCAAUGGGAUAUCCUAUAAAAAUGCACUUGUGGGCAUGAGGAGAAAAUUUGUGAGUAACAUUGACGAUAGUGGCAAAAGCAAGGCAACCAAAGACUUUAAGGUGUGAAAAAGUAGGAGGUUUAGAAUAUAAACGUUCAAAAGGCGUUUUCUUGGAAAGAAUGGGUGUGGGAAGACGGUUAAUGAGAUGAACGGCUGUGAGUACACAUUCACCCCAAAAAUGGAGAGGAAGAUUAGCUUGAAAACGCAAGGCACGGGCGGUUUCAAGUAUAUGUCGAUGCUUGCGUUCUACGACCCCAUUUUGUUGAGGCGAAUAAACGCAAGAAUGUUGGUAAAUCACUCCAUGAUCUUUAAAGAAAUCACGAAGGGAAAAAAAUUCCCCACCAUUGUCAACACGGAUUUGACGAAUAGAAGUAUUGAAUUGAGUUUUGACAAAAGAAAAAAAAUUCUUAAGAAUAGAUUGUGUUUCAUUUUUGUGUUGCAUAAGGAAAAUCCAUGUGAAGCGAGAAUAAUCGUCUACAAUGGUUAAAAAAUACUUGGCUCGAGAAGUAGAUGCAACUUUAAAGGGUCCCUAGAUAUCACAAUGAAUCAAAACAAAGGGUUUAUUAGAAGAAAUAGAAUUAACAUUAAAAGGUAAUCGAUGUUGCUUGGCUAAAGGACAAAUAUCACAAGCAUUAUUAGAUGCAAAAAGGAAAUGUAACAAUUGUUUGGACAUGAAAUCUAAACGAGGGGCUAACAAGUGACCCAAACGCCGAUGCCAUAGCUCCGUAGGUGAAAGCACAAGGUUGCAGAAUCGCCGAGGAUGCUGAGGCCGCGCAAGAGCCAAGGCUACCAAGUAGUACAGCCCGCCUCUUCGCUUACCCAAACCAAUCACUGUCCUUGUCGUUAGGUCCUGCAUAACACACCAAGAAGGAAAAAAUGUUACUGAACAAUGUGAUCCACUCGUAAUACGACUUACUGACAUCAAAUCUACUUUAAAGGUAGGCACACAUAGCACAUCUUGCAAUCUAAAAGUAGAACUCAAAGGAAUGUGACCAAUGGAAAGUAUGUGGGCUUUCUCUCCACUGGGUAACAAAACAUGAGACAUUUGCUCAUUUUUAACACCAUUAGUAAGCAAUUCUGGUGAGGAAGUGAUAUGAUCCUUUGCACCACUAUCGAUUAUCCAUCGAUGGAGAUGCAAAGAGGGAUUCAACAAACCUGUCUUAGCGGUAUUGGCCUGUGGUUGUUCAUCACUGCCCUGACCAUUCAUGAUGUGAAGAAUCUAUUGGAACUGGGCAUCAGAAAGCCCAGACAUGACUGACUGCAUCUCCUCUUUGGUGGCUGCAUUUUUCGUGACAUGAUUCGUCGAGGAAGAACCCCGCUCCUUCUUAAGACGAUGGUUCCCUUUCUGUGGUUUAACCUUAUGCAAACGAUGGCCUGGUGGAUACCCAUGGAGUUGAUAGUAGGUAUCAAUGGUAUGGUAAUCUUGAUCGCAAUGAGUACAAUGCAAAGGUUUGCGAUUAGAAGACUUUGAACCACUUUGACGCACAACCAUGGAUGCUGUGCCAGUAGUGACUCGAGAAGAGGCAAGGCUUCUUUGCUUCUCCUCUUGGGAAAUUGAUGCAUAGGCUUGACGAACAGUUGGAAGAGGGUUCAUCAACAGAAGCUACCCUCGAACAGCACUAUAGGAGUCAUUAAGUCCCAUGAGAAACUGCAUCAACUUGUUCCUCUCAUUUUGUGCUCCACAAGUGCAAGAAAUGGAAUCACUGUAGGACGACAACUCAUCCCAUAAGCUUUUCAUCUUCGUGUAAUAUGCAGCAAUAGAGAGUUGAUCUUGUGUAAGCGAAGAAAUGUCCCGUUAUAGUUGAAAAAUUCGAGGAGCAUUACUUUGACAAUAGCGCUCGCGCAAUUCCUCCCAAAUUGCAUGAGCGUCAGUCAUAUAAAGGAUACUGUCAGCAAUAUCCGAGUCAAUGGAAUUAAUAAUCCAUGCUACAAUCAUGUCGUUGCAUCUCUGCCAUGAAGCGUGAUCGUCCGGCUUGGUCUUGACAGAAGGUUGCAUGACAGUGCCAUUAAGAAAGCCAAGUUUGUUUUUGGCACUGAAAGAGAUCUUCAUAGCACGAGACCAAGUUGAAUAAUUAUCUCCAUUCAAGGGCUUCGAAACCAGCAUCAUGGCUGGAUGAUCAGAAUGAUGAAUAAAAAAGGGUUGGAAACAUUAGCCUUUGUAUCGGAAUUGUUUCCAGAAACAACGUCGGUGGCCAUGGCAAACAACGGAAAAGAAUAUGCGAAAAUAACAGAGAAAAAAGGCAGCGGAAGGAACUAGGUUUUCAGCCUAGCUCUCGAUACCAUGUAAAAAGGUGCAAAGAAUAUUUUGCAAGAUUAAUUACUUCAAUUGCUACUAAGAGACUUUAUACAAAGAGAGAUCUUGCCGAAGAAGUAACCUAGCCUACAUUCUAGGUUUUACAAAUAUUCACAAAUCAAUUACAAACAAUUUACAAAAUAGUUUCCUAAAACUAAGCCAAGAUAUCAGGAAUGAUAUCAUUGACUUCUCAACACCCUCUCCCUUAAUUAAUUUGCUCUUUAUUUCUUGCUUUUCUUGCUUGCUUGGAUUUUGGGUUUUGCGGCUUUGUUUCUUUUUAGAGAGAGAGAGGAUGAAGUGUAGUAGUGAGUUUUCUUCCAAACCGGACAGGAAGACAGUGGAGAGAAACAGAAGAAUUCAAAUGAAAAGUCUCUGCUUCAAGCUUGCUUCACUUGUCCCUCCCCAACACUUAAAAACCACCAACUCCAAGGUAAAUAUAGAUCAUUGGGAAAUUUUAUUAUAUAGUACUACUAUAAGUUCAAUAUAUAUAUUAUUCAACUAUAUGUAUAUAGUACUAAUAUACGUUCAAAUAUAUAUAAGCACAGUACUAACAUAUAUGUUAAAAAAAUAUUAUAUGUAAUUAAUUUACCUAUAUGUAAAUUUAUGAUUAGCAAAUAAUAUAUAUUUUGUAGGUAAAUUAAUAAUGAAUCAAAUAACAUUCUUUUAUUUUGUAGGUAACUUAUUUUUCAUAUAUUAUUACAUAUAUUUGACACAUUUUAUUAUUAUAAGAUAUAUGUACAAAUAAUAGGUAAAUUAGAUUCAAAUCAAAUAACAUUGCUUUAUUUUGUAAGUAAAUUAAUUUUGAAUCAAAUAGCAUUCUUUUGUUAUGUAGAUAUUUUAUUUUGUAUGUAUCAAUAUCAUAUAUAUUUGGCACAUUUUAUUAUUAUAUGUACAAAUAAUAGGUAAAUUAGUAUUAAAAAAAUAAUAUUGUUUUAUUAUAGGUAAAUUAGUUUGCAUGUAUUUUGCAUAUAUUGUCACAUCCCGGCCCGAGCCCCUACCACAUCCCGGGCUUGACUCCACCAUAGCACGAUAUUGUCCGCUUUGGGCCCAGACCACGCCCUCACGGUUUUGUUUUCGGGAACUCACACGAGAAUUUCCCAGUGGGUCACCUAUCCUGGGAAUGCUCUCGCCCGAACUCGCUUAACUUCGGAGUUCCGAUGGAACCCGAAGCCAGUAAGCUCCCAAAAGGCCUCGUGCUAGGUAGAGAUGGGAAUAUACAUAAAAGGCUUACAGGAUCCCCUCCCAUAGGCAAUGUGGGAUGUUACAUAUAUGGGUUUGUUAUUAUGUAGGUAUAUUAUUUUUCAUGUAUUUUACAUAUGUUGGGUAUAUUAUUUUUCUUUUUUUAAACAAUCUAACAUUUUAAAAAUUUAAUAUUAGGUGCACUAUUUGAAUUAAAUGUUUUUUUUUGUAGGUAAAUUAUUUUGCCUAAAUUUUACAUAUAUUAGGCAUUUAUAUAUGUGUGUGUGUGUGUGUGAAAUAAUUUACCUAUAUUAAUAUGUAAAAUAUAAUUUUAUUGACUUAAUUAAGCAUGUAUAAUAACAUACUAGACAUGUUUUAUGUUAUUAUAUAUUAGGCAAUGAAUUUAUAACAGUAAUUUUUUUUUUCUUUCUAAAAUCAUUCAUUCUCCCUUACCAUCCAUAUGCAUGGCAUUAAUUAUGUACAUCAACAUUCAAAUAGGGUUUAUCAAAAAAAACAAAAAACAAAAAAAAAUCAAAUAGGGGUAUUUUAGGCAUCCGAAUUUUUUUAAAUGUGUGAAGUCAAAUAUAGUUAAUGAAUUUGCUGAUGUGGAAUCUAGUCAAUGAGUUUUAUUCAAAUAAAAAACUUAUGUCGGGUUUAAUGCGGAGAAAAUUAAGUUUUAGGGGUUAAAGUCAUAUUUUCAGUUUUUUGUUUUUUUGUUUUUUUUUUGUUUUAUCUGUACACCUAGCUUAAAAUUUAGAUAUAAAUUGUGUAUUUUACUCUAUGUUAUUUUGGUUACAAAUUAGGGUUUGGUUAUUGUAAAAGGAGGUAGAGAUCAGAAACAGUCAAUUAAUAUAUAUAAAAGUAAAACCAUAAACGGGACGGAAAUGAAAAUGAAGAUUGUGUAUUGUGACAAGAUUAGUUACAAGGAAAUGAAUUGUGUGUCAGAGAGAGAGGGAGUAGCGGCACAUGUAUGUAUUAGGUUUUUUUUCUUUCCAAAACGUAUGUAUUAGUUAAGUAAGUCAAAUUGACAUUCCUAGUCCAACUUAGAUUCAGUUGUAUAAAUAUACUUUAGCUUUCUAUAUAAUUGAUUGAUCUGGUGAAAUAUACGAAUAUUGGAGCUUUCGAUUUCCGUCGUUCUCUCAAGAGUUUUACCCUAUUUUUGGUUUUCUUCAUAUUGUUCUACAGGGACCAUCAAUGGAGGGACUGCUUCUUAGUUUUUGGGUUGGAAUAAAAUUUCCCUACAUUAUUUAGGACAUGUUAGUUUGUUAGUCUGAAUUCAAUAAUCUAGUAAUGUAACAUAUCAAAUAUUUAGGAUGAGAGAACGCUACUCCUUAACUAAAUAUAUUUCAAUAAAAAUCAAAUUUCAUUAUCGGCUUUAUUAAUUGCAAUAUGCCUUUCUCCCAUUGAUCAGGAUACCGUGUCACAGCAAAAUCAGCUUGAUACUGCGGCAUCCUAUAUAAAGCAACUGAGAGAGAGAAUAGAGAAUUUGAAGGAGAGGAAGGAGAAAGCAAUGUGGUCACAAUUAGGCAGUUCUAAUUCUGACGUUGGUGCUAUUGCUGCCGAAAAUGCCGUAAUGACGGGAUCAAGAUUACCAGUUCUUGAAUUAAGAGACUCGGGUUCCUGCAUAGAAGUUAUGCUGAUUAGUGGGUUGAAUAAGAACUUCAUGUUUUAUGAAGUCAUCCGUGUUCUUGAGGAACAAGGCUGAAGUUGUCAGCGCUAGCUUUUUCACUGUAGGCGAUAAAGUUUUCCACUCGAUGCAUGCUCAGGUACUAAAACAAUCAUCCGAGAAGCUAAUAUCGUCUAAUCCUUUAUUUUGAUCUUAAAAAAAAUGUACUAAAACAAUUAAGGUCAUUAUGAAAUGGACUUAUCAAUUUUAUUUUGGCAUAAUCGGAUAAAUGGUCCCCGUGGUUACAAGGUAUUCAGAAGAUAGCCUCUGUGGUAAAAAAAUUCGGAUUUAAACCCCUGUGGUCUAAGUCUGUUAGGAUUUACGCCCGAAAUUAGAACUUCUGUCAUUCCUCCGUUAGUAGCUUGUAGGUGGGUCUCACAGGUAAGACUAAGGUGGUCAUUUCAUCAUUUCCAUUUCAUCUCUUCCAUUGAUCUCCUUUCAGAACGAUCAUGAUGGCCACAACCGCACCGCCAAACUUGUUGUCGAUGUCUCCUCUUCCUCGCCACGAAAACAAAUCAAAAUCUUUCAGACCCUCAAAUGGUUACACAUCUUCCUCAAACCCUCUUCAAAAACCCCUAUGUUAUCUCCAAAUUCGGGCCUUUCUCGUGCCCAAUUUUGUGUCUCCGACUCUCUGGCCACACCCGCCAUCACCGGAGUUGCGGACAAGAACGCCAAGAUUAACAAGUAAUGCGAAAUGGGUAAUCUGAAAUCCGCCAUGGAAAUGGUGUCGGGGGCUCAAAAAUCCAAGCUUGACUUGGAGGCUUACUGCUCAGUUGUGGAGCUAUGUGCUGGAAUGAUGUCGCUGCAAGACGGAAAAAGGGUUCACUCAAUUGUCUGUGACAAUGGUGUGGAAGCUAAUGGGAAACUGGGUGCAAAAUUUGUGUUUAUGUAUGUAAGGGAUGAAAUGGAAAUGAUGAAAUGAUCAUCUUAGUGUUACCCGUGAGACCCACUUGCAAGCUAUUAAUGAAGGUAUGACAGAAGUUCUAAUUUCGGACAUAAAUCCUAACAGACUUGGACCACAGGGGUUUAAAUCCGAAUUUUUUUACCACAGAGGUUAUCUUCCGAAUACCUUAUGACCAUGGAGACCAUUUAUCUGAUUAGACCUUUUAUUUUUUAUGCUUCUUUGUAGGUCAAAAUUUCUAGAGAUGGAGUAGACAAUUCAACGGUAUGGCAGAGACUACAGGAUUUGUUGUACUGAGUAGCUAGCUUUACCUCUUGAAAACUGAAGAUUUAUAAAUAAUGUUUUAGCAACUGCAUCAUGAAAGAGCUCCGGAAGGAGAGGCUUAAUUAGGAUAUAGAAACUGAUGUUCCCUGUUUCCUGGGCGAGCCAUUGAGUUAAUAAUUAACGAAUCUAUUAAUAUAUACAGAUGUGAUCUGGUGUUAACUUUUUGUUUAUUGUCCCUUUUCUAAAUUGGUCUCAAAGUAUUGAUUCUUAACCAUCUUUUUAGAAAAUAAUUAGAUAAUUUCAUGUUUAUACACAAGAUUACACAUAGAAUAGAGGGUGUUGAAUCCUUAAUGAUGCUACAACAGCAUAAUAUUCUCUCUCAUGGAAUAAGGAUUAAUUAAUGAUCAUAAACAAGUUUCAAACUCGCAUCUAUAUAUCGUCAUUGCCUUACAUUAAUAGAGGAAGUGAAGGUUAGGGUUUUGAGAGGAGGAACGUGGUUGGAGACAAUGGCGUAGCCACCCACAAGGCUAAGGUGGGUUGUAGCCCAGCGAGGUUUUCUGUAAGAGUAGUACUAUCUAUGCACUCAUUUUUACUUCUCAUAUACCCUUCUCGAUUUUCGGUUGUUCAAAUUGAAUGAGUUGGAGAUGAUCAUUGACAGAUAAUUAAUAAGGCUAUGUUGGAAGUACAAAUGGGUUUGCGAAUAUAACUAUUUUUUUGUAAAAUCAUGUUUAUAGCUUACCCAAUUUCAAUAGAGAUUAUUAUUUAAUGUAUAUUUUAUAGAGGUUAGGUAAUAAAUAAUACGUUUUAUGCUAAAAAUUAUAAAUUAAUUCUAUCUCCAGCCCCUCUUUAUCAUAUUCUUUAAAGAAAAGACCAUUUACCCUAUGUAAUUUAGCCUUUGUGCUUUUUACUCAAGAAAAGAAAAAUAAUUUCUUUAAAUCCAUAAUUAAAUCCUUAUCUCCGCAAUUCCUUAAUUUCCGUUGCGAUUUUCCAAUAAAUGUCACAUUUGGUACUUUCUUAAUCUCUAUAUUUACUUAUUCUUGAUUUAAUUAGUAGGUUAAUUAUUUAUAUGGUCCAUGAAUUUAUCGGUUAGGGUUAUGAUUUUGAGAAUAGUUUAUAUUAUAUUGUUGUUCUUUUGUAUUGAUUAUUAUAUAAGUUUAUAUAAGCAAAAAAUAAACAUAUGAUUUUAUAGUACUAUUUUUAAUUAGCCCAUCCAAAGAAAAAAUCCUAGCUCCACCCUUGGUUGGAGAGAAGAAAGGCGAGCUAGGGUUUUGGGUUUGUGCAGCAGAGAGGCAAACCUAUACCAUUUAGAAAUAGGGAACUUUAACGAAAAGCACCCGGUACUGUUCACUUUAACGAAAAACCACAUUUUUAUACUAAAAAGUCAAUCCUGGUACUAUUCACUUUACCCUUUAUUUUGUCCUUAUCAUUAAAACUCAAAGUUUUCAAGCCCUUUUCAUUAGUUUUCCUUUAGAAAUAUGUGUAACCGUGGUGCAAACGUCCAUUAUCUAUAAACAAAGGGAGCACCCAAAAUGGUGAAGCAUUCAAAUACCAUAUAUUGUCUGUCCCUCAUGAAUUCAAAAUUUGCAAUUGAAUUAAAAAGAGUUAGCCAAAGGCGAAUUUGAACCAUAUUAUUGCUAGCUCAUUGUAAGGCUUAACCUACUCCCCCACCCUCAUAGUGUAGAUAAUAUCGCUUGUUAAAAAAAAUAAAAAUUCAACACACGUUGAUUUUGAUGAUUUAAACUUUAAAAAUUUAGGAAAAAAAUAACAAAAAUAGAAAACCCCCAUUAGUGGGUGGUUUAUGAUUUGUGACAUCCUUUCCCAAGAUUUAUCGUAUUUUAUUAUCAGUAGUAGUGAAAUUAUCAAAAUGCCCCUGAGAUGCCACGUAGGCCUUCCACGUGGAACUCAAUUUUCCUUUCACUUUUCCAGUCUUAUUUUACUAUUUUCAAAUAGUACUUAUUUUUACGAACACGUGGUUGCAGACGGAACUCAAUUCGGAGUUAUAACGAACAAGUUAUGUUCGAAACUGUGUAAAAAUACGUACUUAAGGCAAAUCCUAAACUUGGAAAUUUCCCACAUGCAACGCACAUCCUUGUUGGAACAUUAUUGAGUGUUGAGUGGGUCUUCGUGCAAUGGGUGGACCCUUGCAAUUCUUAUUUCCUAGAUAAAAACUCACCUAAUUCUAAACAUCCAAAUAAAAUCCAAAUUUGAAAAAGAUUGCCAAGUAGAAAAGUAAUUGACCUAUUAUUACAAAGGUCGUAGCUUUCGAAACAAAGGUCGUAGCUUGCCCAAAUGUAUAUCCUUUUUUGGCACCCUCAACACCUUCUCUACAUCGGCCAGCUCUCGCCCAGGCAGUUUGAUGGUGCCUUGGGUCACUGCAUGAAAAAAAAUGUUAGAAGCAAGUAGAAAUCACAACAAAUAGCAAACAAUGCGAACAAUGGAUGCAUUACAACCUACAGUCUAGAAAUGAGUAGGAACACAUCGCUCAGGUGUGACACCCCUAGCAUGCUCUUAAUCCUUAUAAAGAAGGCACCAACGGUUUUUCCAAGUACAGUACGCCUUUUUCUUACCAAAGACAAUACGCUCCCUCUCACUUCGACACGCACACUCGGCAUAACCAGUGCAUAACUUCACUGGACACAUCUUAUAGCAAUAGCACCACUGAUGGAAGGAAGGCUCACAUAACCCACACUUCAUCCAAAUAAUAUAAAACCCGAUCAAGGUCUCCCAAAAACCAGGGUUGAGUUGCCCAGGUGCAUAUCCAAUGAGAGAUAGCCUAUGUUGCAACUAUGGGUGCAAGGGUAGCUUCACCCCUAAUAAAUUCACUAGUAUUUGGGUGUAGAACAUGACGUGACCCUUGGGCAGCUCAGUGAGCAAUUCUUCAUAACGCACCAAGCACAUUCCUACACUACAGGGUAUGCUACAUGACUGCCUUAGGGCAUCAAGUUGUUCUUCGCUAUCUAACAAGUUUUUAUCUAAAUGGUCCGUUGGGAACUCAGAGCGAAAGAUGAGUAUUACGUCAAGAGCAAUCCCCUCACCCACCGACAUGAAUGAGGAAGAACCAAUAUUGGCUAAGGUUACAUCCUUCAACCUACACUCCUCACUUAUCCCUUCAUCGGAAGCCUCGGGAGAAAAACGUGUAAUGCAUGUUUGACGAUUAUGAAGAUCAUCCAAUGUUUCUUCUGUACAAGACUCUAACAAAGGCCCUAAAGAAUCUGACAUUGCAGGCUCAAACCUAGAGCUAGAGCUAGGGAAAGCCUCAUCACUAGAACCUCCAAGCUCUGACAUCUAUAACAAAUAGAAACAAACUCUAUCACAACGUGAAAGAUCGAAACCUAAGAAGUUCCUAGGGCAUGAAACAAAGCUCAACCAGUUCAUCAUGUUCUUAGCUAAAUGCAUGAAUACUCAAACAAUUCAACAAGAAUGAAAGCAUUUAAUCUAAUGGAGAAGACUACCAACCUGAAAAUGGUGCCAAGCACUGCCAGAAUCACUCCCAACUAGAGAGCACUUUGUCUUCAAAAAUCACUACAAAAUGAGCAAAUGAAGGCAAUGUAAAGAGUGGAAACUUAUCCUUCUUAUAUAGUUCAACAUGGCCAAAGAAAUUCAAAAUUUAAAUUCAAACCAUGAGAAAACCCCACAUGGAAAGUCUUCAAACUUCCACACAAGCCAGGGAGUUUCAAAUUCCAAAUUUCCAGUUUCCCAAAAAAAAAAACAAAUAAACAAAAAAAAAGGAGUUUUAACGAAAUACCCGCGGUACUGUUCACUUUAAUGAAAAACCACAUUUUUAUACUAAAAAGUCAAACCUAGUACUAUUCACUUUACCCUUUAUUUUGUCCUUAUCGUUAAAACUCAAAGUUUUCAAGCCCUUUUCAUUAGUUUUCCUAAAAAAAAAAGGGAAACACAACAACUUCAUCAAUGGAGGGCAACUACAAUUCUUAAAAGCUUCACACACUCUUGAUCAAGAUAGUGUGAAGCAAAACCCAUUUAUGGUGCCAACAAAUAUUCAUCAAUAGAGGGCAACCACAAUUCUCAAAAGCUUCACACACUCUUGAUCAAGAUAGUGUGAAGCAAAACCAAUUUAUGGUGCCCAACAAAGCUUCAACAAAUGUAGGGCAACUAUAAAUGUCAAAAGUUUCACACACUCUUGAUCGAGAUAGUGUGAAGCAAAACCAAUUUAUGGUGAUCAACAAAAAGCUUCACUUACAAAGCUUGAACAUAAAAGCUUCACCUACAAAGCUUCAACCACAAAGCUUCACCUACAAAGCUUGAACAUAAAAGUUUCCCCUACAAAGCUUCAACUACAAAGCUUCACCUACAAAGCCCCAACAUAAAAGCUUCACAUACAAAGCUUCAACCACAAAGCUUCAACUAUCCAAGCUAGGUGCCCAAACAAAAACCUACAACCAAAAACCUACAAUCAAUAAACCCACACCCAUUACACUACAACAUACAAUAAACUAAAAAAUCACAAAACCCAAGAUUCUCUUGAAUAUGUACAAUAACACAUGUUUAAACAUAAACGAUUUUUGUUUACAUCCACAAGGUCCCUAUCAUAAACAGACAUUCAUGUCCUAUUAACAUUGUUGAUGCACAAAAUCAAUGGGGAUUUUGCUACAACAGAAAGUGUUAAGUUUGUAACCUUUGCUAGAUUGCUCCGGUCACAAGUGUGGAUAAAUAUGCAAAUGGAUAGAGACAGAGAAGCAAACGCAAGAUGUACGUGGUUCACCCAGAUUGGUUACGUCCACAGAGUAGAGGAGUUCUCAUUAAUUGUGAAGGGUUUACACAAGUACAUAGGUUCAAGCUCUCCUUUUGUGAGUACUAGUGAAUGAUUUAGUACAAAUGACAUUAGGAAAUAUUGUGGGAGAAUGAUCUCCUUUUAUAGAAGAGAGUUUCUAGCUUUGUUCUUACAUUGACACAUGUCGUGUUAUGAUUAGCUUUUGAUGUUAACACAUGUCACGCUAUGAUUGGCUUCUGAUGUCAACACGUGUCGCGCUGUGAUUGGCCUCCUGGUUGGAGGGAAACUCUUCUGGGUCUUUAACGGUAUAACGUUGACCGGUGCUUAGUAGUUUCGGGAUUGAUCAAGUAUGGUAUAAACAAACAUGAUAGCUCCUUUUUUAAUAUUAUUAUUCCUAUGUAUGUGAUAUUGCAUACCACUACCAGAAAACGUGAUAUCACACAUACUUCUAUUAUAUAUAUAUAUAUAUAUAUAUGAUUUCAAACAGAUUAUAAUAGAUUAAAAACAAGUCAAAAUUCCAAGUUCAAUGGUGGACAAAAAUACAAGAAAUUCACCAAUAGUGAAGGUGCUACAAAAACUUAAAUCUUCUCUAGACUUUUAAACCUCAACAGCGACAAGGGUAAGCUUCCAAGCACCAAACCCCUUCACAGUCACGACAAAACCUAAUUUUCAGGAACAAACCCAGACAUUCUGUUAUCCGCAAAGCCCUGCUACCCAAACUCUCGAAGCUUGUAGAUCACAAAUGGCACCCAAGUCAGCCACAUACGAAGGCCUUUUGCAACUCACAACCUUCCUCUGAACUUCUGCGACCUACAAAAGCUUCAACAACAGUCUAAUCAACAACCCCUUGUCUGGAAAAACUCACGAAAAAGAUAAGAGCAUCUUUAUCUUCUUUUUCAACUCAUUGUUUAUUACUUUAAUAUUAUGUUGACUAAAAGCAUAUCACAUACACACCAUUUUAAUCCAUUAAACACAUGGGUAGGCUGAUCACAUUCACCUAAAACCCUAUUUAAUCCAUACACCCACUACACCAUUUAUAUUACUAUUGUUAUUAUUACAUGACAAUUGCUAAUCACGUGGCAUAGACUGAUCACAUCACAUACCUGAUUCUCACAAUUAUUAUUUUAUUUGACAAAACCAGUUCUAUGACUUGUCUUCUUGUUAAAUAAAAUGCCGAUACACAAAUAAAUUAUUAUUUUAUAAUUUUUACUAAUGUUCUAUUGAUAUAACAGUUUUAUCAUGGGACAUGGCAACCGUACCACAUACAUUCUAUGGAACCAAAAUUAUUGAUCGAUGAGCCAUGUGCUUAUUUUGACAACUGGGCUACUAGCAAGACACCUCAUUCGGCAAUUCUUCUGGCCUGAAGAGUUGGGGGACUUCCACUAUAUGCUACUACACCAUGGUACUCGAUAGUUUUGUGACUACUCAAUGACUUAGAUCUUUGACUUAGAUCUUUCAAGUCCCCAACCGAGAAGCUUUCCUUUCUCAGGAAAUUAAGGGAGCACUGUGGCAACCUAAAGGCUUCACCCAGAAAGCUUCAACAUACAAGCUUUAACAAAAAAAAAAUUCAAAAGCUUAGUGAAGUAUGCCUUAGUGUAUUUAACACAAUACAUUGAAUGAAAAAAAAGCUUAUUCAUUGAUAUCUUCGAUAAAUUACAGCUAUGUGCAUACACAUGAAUCAAAACAAACAAACAGGAAUGAGUCUUCACAAAAGUUGUUCAUGAGAAGCCUCAGGACUCGGCAAAGCCCCAAAAAGAGAAGGCACCAGAGAGUGAUUAUUUGGAGCCUCAGCACUAGGCAAAACCCUAGAAAGAUGAGGCACCAGAGGUUGAUCAUUUGGAGCUUCAAUACGUGGUAAUGCUCUAAAAGACUGAGGCAAUAAAUGCCUUUGGAACAAACCCACAAACCUUUGGUGAUCACUUAAAAUCUAACUCUCGGAUUCCUGCAGCCGGUCAAGCUUCAUAUUCAUGCUCGUGGAGUAGUUAUGUGCAAGUGUGUGCAACUAUCUAUUUUCAUGCUUGAGCCCUCUAAUUUCUUGUUUGAGACUUGCCACCUCAAUCGUCAAUGAUUCAACUUGGCGGGUUCGAGCGAGUAAGCGCUGACCCAUAUUGGAUACAGAACCCGUGCAUUGAACACUAAGAGACAGAGAAUCCUGAACAGCCAACACAUUGGACCGUUUGGAAAAUAUCAUGUUAUCUUUGGGAGUGAGAAGAUUCUUGGCCACCACCAUAGCAGUAAUGUCAUUCUUCAUCACAGAGUCCCCAACGGUAAGAGGACCAGUAGGGGAUAAGAAGGAUACGUACCAUAUGUUGUCUUGAGGAGACAUGGAUGCCUCUUCCACAACAUUCAAGUCAAAACGACGGUCAAAUGGGCAAGCCAUUUCAGAAAUGAUGAAGGAAAAAUAAGGUCCAAUAAAUCUCAGAAGUACAAAAGUAGGGGGAAAUUUCUAUGAGCAGUAACUUUCUGAAUGUACUUCCUGAACACAAUUGGUGCCCUAAUAAAAGAAAGGGCAAUAGUACUGCUUGUUCAAAAAUUAAAGAGGCACCGCUCUCUGAAUUUUGAGAGUCAGAUUUCCCUGGAUAAAACUUGUCUGCAAUCUACAUACGUUGCAGCCUUCCGGAUACCACGGGUAACUUUGCCAAAUAUCUCUGACAAAGUUAAGACACGUGAAUUUUGAAGGUCCAGCUACCAUACUAUUACCCACCAGGGUAAAGGAACAACACCACUACUUGCUAAUUAGAAAAUCCCUAGAUGUGUCGACCUCCGUCCUCUGUGGUCAAGCAUACUUACGAGUAUACCUAAUUUUUCCUCAUCUCCAAGAUUGCGUCUUCAACAGAUUUGCUUGUUCAAAAAUCGAAGAGGCAACGCUCUCUGAAUUUCGAGAGCCAGAUCUUCAACAGGGUUGUUUGUUCAAAAAUCGAAGAAGCAUCAUUCUCCGAAUUUUGAGAGCCAAAUUUCCCUGAAUAAAAGUUGUCUGCAACCUUUACACGCAACAUCAGCUUUUUGGAUACCAUGGGUAAUUUUGUCAAAGAUCCCUAACAAAGUUAAAACGCGUAAAUCUCGCAGCUCCCACUACAUCGUUAUGACCAAGAAGGGUAAAGGAACAACAUUACUACUUGCUGUUGGGAAAAUCCUUACAUAUGUCGACCUUCAUUAUCAAUUGCCAGGCAGACCUGCAAAAAUGCCCAACCCUUCCUUACAUUCGAGAGGGAACUCCCAACAAAACCUCUCGAAAUACUCAGCUAUUUUUCCCACCGAUAAUACCUCUGCAAACAAGUCACACUAAAGCAAGAGCAUCUCAUAUCAUCAGGGUCAAAAGCAAGAGUAUCCAAUAUCAUGUUUUUUCCUUAUCUUUUCCUUUGCCCUUGCUCUUACAUGCAAGACAAGGAGAAAGAAAACAAUCAGUCGGAACCUAAAAUCAAACUUCCAAUUUGGAACAAAUUACCCGGAACCUUUGUCUGGUUGCUUACCUAGCAUUACUCUCGAGUACUCAUCCUCAACUGUUGUCAAGGUCACAAAUUCCUUAGGCAAAUACCUCGGAACCAUUCAAAUGCAAAUGUUACUCACCAUUUAUGCUAUGCAAAAGAUUGAAGUAGAGGGUUUAAUGAUGAGCUGGAACAUGUCACUACAGCACAACGCCUUUCUUGCAGAACUGUAUAAUCCAGACGGAUGAGUUUAAGUCAAAUCCAAACUCGGCACCGCCGCCUUAUUUGAAUAGCUCGAGAAGCUUCAACAACUUUUUGCUGGCACUGUCGUCGAAGAGCAAAGUCUCACCAUACCACAUCCACUACUUUGUCAACAACAAAAGUAUCACAUGUCAUCAGGGUCGAACGUACUCUAGAUUUGACGGACUUGUUUUGACCCUCAAAUUCUUGAGUCAGCUCACUUCUUUGAAGGAAACUAGAAAACCCUCCAACCUAGUUCAAGAAUAAGCCCGUGGAAAGUCAACAAGUACAACAAAACACGUGCCGAUUCAUCCGUUGCUCCUUCAAAAGCAAAAGUAUCUCAUAUCAUCUAUUCUCCCUGUCAUUUUCUUUGUCUUUGUUGCUGCUUGCAAAACAAGGAAAAGGAGAACAAUCAGCCAUAACCCGAAAUAAACUUCCGAUCUAAGACUAAUUACUAAGAACUCUAAUUGCUUACCUUGUCUGUCACCUCUUUCGACAAAUCUCCUAGCUCAGCAACUUGGGAGACUUCUACUAUAUGGUUUGUAUAACACUUGACCAAGCCCAAAACUACAAGUAAGCUUCAAGUGAAAAUGAUGCAUUACCUUGUGCAUCAACAUUAGUUAAAGAUACUACUCCUGGAUGAAGGACAAGUACCUCCAAAGAAGAUGCCACAUCUGCCUAGGGGAAAACUAAAGAGCAUACCACUUCUACUUAUGGGACAAAGGCAAGUGAAAAUGAUACCACAUUUCGGUACUUAGAAGUUUCGUGAUUACUCAGUGCCUUGGAUCUUACAAGUCCCCAACCAAAGAGCUUUCCUUACUCAGGAACUUAGGGGAGCAUUGUUUGUACCAUACUUGACCAAUCCUAAAACUAUUGAGCAUCAGUCAGCAUUAUACCGUCAAGGACCCACAAGAAUUUCCUUACAACCAUGAGGCCAAUCACAACAUGACACAUGUCAACAUUAGAGGCCAAUCACAGCACGACACAUAUCAAUGUCAGAAUAAAGCUAGAAACUUUCUUCUAUAAAAGUAGAUCAUUCUCCUACAAUAAUCCUUAAUGUUAUUUGUACAAUACUUCUCUUUAGAACUCACUUCUGAGGAGAUUGAACCUAUGUUUUAGUGUAAACCCUUCACUAUUAAUGAGAACUCCUCCACUCCGUGGACAUAGCCAAUCUGGGUGAACCACGUACAUUUUGUGUUUGCUUCCCUAUCUCUCCCUUCACAUACUUAUCCUUACUAGUAACCGAAGCAACCAAGCGAAGGUCACAAACUUGAUAUUUUCUGUUGUACCAAAGUUCUCGCUGAUUUUGUGCAUCAACAGCUUUUAUAUAUUAUGACGUGACAUGCCAUGUUUAGCUUUACAAAUAGACUUUUCGUACACUUUAUGUUUUUAAUAUUAUUUGUGAGCAUAAACUUGUGACAUGACAUCCUUGCGUUUUAUCUGCUCAUUAUUACAUGUUUGCACAAUGUCUCUUAGUUAUUUGUAUUGUCCUGGGCUAAGGACCAGUUUCACAUGUAGUUCAUAUGCACCAUUUACAUUUGCUUUGGAUCUAGAGUUAGGUGUCAGUUUGUCCUUUGUAUUGAUGUGUUAGACUCGUAUGUGAUGCGACUAGCGCAACUCACGUGAUGUAGUACUAGAAUGUAAAACCUACACCCAGCCUGUUCCAUUGUCUUAAUACCUCUGCAAUGGACUUGUAUGCCUACAUAAAUUAAUGAGCAUUGAUUUCUUAUGAUAUCGAUUUGAGAUUUAUUGUUGAGGAAACUUAUUAUUGUACCCUACAUCUUUUACAAAACUUUAUUUUCAGACCCACUCACCCUUAUUUUUGCCCUUCCAGGAUGUUAGUGGUAGAGGAUUUCGUGACAACGAGGAUUGUUGGCAAAAGCUGUUACAUAGGAGACUUCUCUUUUCAGUGUAAAUGUCAUUACUCUUCUUUUAUUGCAAUUUAUCUAUGCUUUGACAUCACUUGUGUGAUAUGGAUUCAAUCCCCACUCACAUGCGCACUCUAAAUUAGUCACUUUUAGGUUUUAAUUUAUUCACAUUUUUCACAUCAUUACACUUUAUGGCUUCGUCACCUUCGGGUGUCCAAGUGGACAUUCCCGAUCAGGGUGUGUCAUGAUUGAUUUCCAAUCUAUUUUCCAAUAUAUUUUUUAAUAAAAUAUAUAAAUAAAUAACCUAAAUUUGCUAGUUUAUUUUGUAAAAAAGAAAAAACAAAAACUUAAUUUAAUGUACAAAAGAAGUGAGUGACAAGAUGUUAGUAUAUAAUUAAGCAAGACUAGAUUUAGUAGGAUUCUAGCAGCGAUACUUACGACCAAAUUUUAGUAGGGAGAGAGAAACAAACACAGAACCUCGAGUGCCAAAGUAAUUUUUUUUAACUACUUGAACUACAAACCCCUUACAUACCCCCAUAUAAUACUUGAAAACGAUAUUAUAUUGGGGUUUAUGUCUCCCACUGUUUUUUUUUUUUUAAUCUAAGACAACAAUUAUGGCGUGCUUAAUGUGACCUCAACAUGAGGUGAUAAUUAACGAAUUUCUCAUGCUCUUGAUUUAAUUUUCCAUACAACCAAUCACUUUAGAACCCUGCUUAGUUACAAGCCCACUACAAAGCUCGACAUCUCCCACUAUUAUUAAUUUUUUUCUAGUUAUAAAGUUUAUGUAUAACUAAUCUGUUUUAAUGUGCUAAAUAAUCAUAUGAAAAAGUGUUUAUUUCCCUGUCUACCAUUAGGUUUAGUUUUUCUGCAACUAUUUUUAUUAUGGGGUAGACUCCUGAUUUAGUGCAUGUAUUAUCACUUGAGUGAAAAUUAGGCUCCUAAAUUAUUAUUAUUUUUGUAAAAUAAGUCACUAAAUUCAAUAAAAUUGCUAAUUUCAUCCCUACUAUCUUAUUCAAAAUUAUUUUAUCCAAUUUUUCAUCAACUUAACCCACAUGAUACAUUCUAGAGGGUAAUACCCUCAUUUUCUUGCUUAUACGCCACUAACGCCUAAUUUACUCUCAAAAGUUAACUUCAUACACAAUAUCUUUGAGAAAACAAAGUCCUUGGACUCAUGUAAAACUACCAAUCGACUCUUCAAAAUGUAACACAUGCUAGUCAUGUGACUUAAAUUAACGAAAAAUUAAAUAGAAUAGCUUAGUGUAAGGAUUAAAUUUUUCGUAUAAAUAAUUUAGGGACCUAAUUUUCACUCAGUCAAUCAUUUAAAAAGUAAAUCGGCAGUUCACCCUUUAUUUUAUAUAUAUAUAUAUAUAUAUAUAUAGUUUUGUACGUGUAAGUGUAAACACCUCAGCUGCAUUCCUGAUUUGUAGAGAAAAAUUACAGAUGUCCAAUAUAACCCGAACACUUUAUUUUCCAAAUUUUUUUGAGAAAAAAAUGAUAAAUGAAGUGUUUAUCCUUUAUUAUAUAAAAAUGUGAAAAUAAUAAUGAAAUUCUGACACACGUUUCAGCUGUCAGCAAAUUCUUCACUUAUCUCUCGAAUAUCUACUGAGAGUCAAAUUUAACAACAAAUAAUUUUGCUUCAGUAAGAUAUAUAUAUUUAUAGUUAGUCUUCUAUAUAGUUUAAAAUUUUUCUUUCUUACUAUUGUUUCUCCAUUACGAUUUGUCUACGAGUUAAAAUUAGGCACGGAUCUUCUUUGUAAUCCUGUACCCAAGUAGACAAACUUUUGUAGAAUCAAAACAUAUGUAAACCUACUUUCCACUGUCCCAAUGGCUGACUGUCUAAGUUGGACAUGCAAAACCAGUAGUACGUACGGCAGCAUGAGUGUUGAAUAGUUGGGCAAAUUUUGGAUAUGAGAGUCAAAUCAUAUAACACGCUUAGCUUCAGGAUUUUUUUUUUUUUUUUAAAUUUAACGAAAAGUAUCUGAUACUAUUUACUUUAACAAAAAAUCAUAUUUUUAAUUUAAAAAAUCAAUUCUGGUACUAUUCAUUUAUAACACAUUUUUGUCAUUUUCAUUAAAACUCGAAGUUUUUAUGUCAUUUUUAUUAAUUUUCCUUCUUUUCUUUUUUCAGCUAACCAAUGCAUGCGAAAUUUGAAUUAUUAGUUCUUGUUAUUUUCGUUAAAACUCAAAGUGCUUCCCAAACAAAGAAAACAACUUCAUUCUUGCCCGAGUGAUUUGAAUUGGGUUAUACGACAACGUAUAUUUGAAAAGAAAACAUUAAGUUUAAUAUACAUAUAUGUGUAAAAUAUACUUGUACGGACCAAAUGGCUACAGAGUUUAAUUGUUUAUCAAAAAAAAAAAAAUAGCGCGGUGACGCUAAAGAGUGGAUACAUACUUUGAGUCGUGGACAAUGUGAGAUUUUUUAGUAUGAUCGAAAUACGGGAUGGUACGUAGGAUAUGUGUAUUAAAAAGUUAAUAACUUAAAAAAAUAAAAUUUAUCACUACUUAUAUAAAAACAAGAGGUGUACCAUUUAUAUUCCGAUCACAAUGAAAAAUUUCUUGUGGACGAGGAUUUAAACCAAAGCUAGGGUCAACCUUCACAAAUACUCCUUCCAUGACGUUUGGAAACUAAAUGUGACACCAUUAACCACACCAUUUUGGCUUUUAUUUUUAUUUUUAUGUUAUGUUUACUUAUAUUGAUAUUGAUAUAUCUAUCGAUAAUUCUAUAAAUUUACAUAUCGAUGGAUAUAUCGAUAUCAAUAUUCGGUUGCCUUCGACAGGAAUUAUAGAAAUUUGCAAUGGGGGUGGGGGUGGGUAUAUCAACUCAUUUAGAUUUAGUCGAAAUUAGAGAGAAAUCUCUCCAAAAAAAAUCAAAAGUUCGAAAUAUGCAAUGAGUUUGAUCAAAUUUUUUCCAUAUCAACCUUAAUCUUUGAAUAUUUCGACGGAACUAUCAAUAAUUUUGUGGAUAUUUUAACACUGAUUUGAUAGCAAAUCUGUGGUCGUUGGAGAUGCAUCCACAUUGGAUCACUGCUGAAAAUACCAAAGGCAAGAACAAAAAUAUAUCUACAAAUUAUAUGGUCCCUUUUGGAGAUAUCAUCCUUCAAUGUUAUGUCGUAAUCACUCUUUCAAGCGAAAGCUUGAUAUUAUUGAGGAUCUAAGGUUGGUAAAUCUCUGCUUUUUAUAUCAGAAAUCUGCCAGACCACACCGUCCAUGUUAUAUAUGCCUCACAAAAUUAGCGUUGCUACAAGCUUCUAGAUAUGCUACAAUCACAAUUUUUUUUUUUUUUGUCAAAUAGUAGAUUUAUUAGAUUAGAGUAUUUUCAAAGAAGAAGUCAAACUCAAUAUACUAAAUUUCAAUUUGAUGGCUGACUUGAUAAUUUGACAUAUUGUCAAAAUUUUACUUCCACCCGAUAUGCCAAAUUUUAUUGUUUUAUUUAUGUUUUUUUUUAACAAAAAUAAUAAAGUUGGGUUGUUGUUGGUUAAUAAUAAAAUAAUACUUAAAUAUGCUAGCAUUUAAGGUAAGGUAAGUGGAAUGUCUUUGGAAAUAGCAAAAACUAUAUUUGAAGGUACUGUCAAUUUUGACAUCACUCUAUCCAUGUCAACUUAGCCUUCUUUUCCAUGUCAUCUUUGAUAUUUCAAUUGGAGUAAAUGGUACGUCAUUUGUUACUGUUAUAUGUCUAUAUGGCAUUUUUGACAUCUCCUUUGGAGAUGACCUUAGAUGUUAGAUUAAAGAGUCGACAUGGUUCAAACUCACGUCGUGGUGUAAGCCAAACGCUCAUCUCUACCACUAUAAUAAAAUGCCACUGCGAUGCAAGGACAACAUAAUUAUACAUAACUAAAUAUUUAGUUAUUUGAGCCUUCCGUUCUGCAGUUCAGUGGCACUCACCUUCUCUUAGAUAGGAUAUUAUAAGUUGAAUUCCAUGAAUUAUGAGUCUAAAAUUUAAUUAUGACCAAUACAUUGUGUGGUUUAACUUAAAGUUUCGUUCUCCAAUGCCAUUCAAUUAUAAACAUUAAAAAAAAAUUAAUUCUUUGCAACCUAAUGGGCUGGGCUGAGUCAAUCUACUGACAUCCAAUUCAUUGCUCGUGCUGCUCUGUUACUAUGUGAACCCUAAAGCACUGCAAGGUCUACAAUGAGGCCCAGUCCCACUUAGUAGAAUGGCAAGCCACAGCCCAUUGUGGAGGCUAUCAAUUUUGACAAGACAAAAUUCACUUACUCUGGAAUUUUUUCCGUAAUUAUAAAAAUUUAAUUUUUUAUUGUGAUUAUUUUAGGUUUCUUUUAAUAUAUGCAUUUUACCAAAAAUGUUGUAUCAGAUUAAUUUAAGAAGUCAUAUUUCUACACUAUUUUUGUUUUAACAACAAAAUAAUAAGAAAUAACAAAGCUCCUUAUAAACACAUAAACAAAUCACUUGUUAAGCGGCACUGAAUUUUCACUUUGUUGAAAGAUGUUCUUAAUUCAAACCUCAUAAACCGCUAUUGUUAAUUCAAGAACAAAAUCGAGACCUCCCAUGUAUUGUAUUUUUGUGUCAUCUAAUCCACUCGUAAAAGGAAAAGCCGCAUACGAUCCAUCCUACGCAAGUACCCUUCCCAUUUAGGACACGGUUCUAAUCAUGUUUGGUCUUUAGCUUUUGGAUUAGUACCAAUUGGUGAUGGUGGUGGCCCAACUUCAAUGAGUUCAUGAACACGUAACCACUCUGAAUCCAACUUCUCUACGUUUUUUGGAUUUUGAUAUUUGUGAUCUUCCAAAGCGAAAGCGUCAAACGAACGAGAGAUUUUUCAAUUUAUCGUGAUAUCAUGUGUCAUAAUAUAAGUAAAUAGAUACUUGAAAAGGAAAAAAAUUCAACCACUUACAUUGUGAUACUUGAUAUACCAGACCGUGUUCCGACACAUCAAAAAAAUUUCUCCAAACAAACAAGUAAACGACGCCUAAUUGGAAAAAUCAAUUUGAAUAUAAAAGACGAACAAGCAGGUUGGUUCGAAAUCGCCAAUAGAAACUUUCACCUUCAGUUUUAUUAUGUUUCUUUUUUGGUGAUGACCUUAUAAACUUUAUGUUAAUUGAUCACAUCACGGAUUCAUACGUUCACAUAAUUUAAAUUAUGAAAUAUUAAUAUUUUAGUUAUUUUUAGCCGCCUUCUGAAUUCUAAUCCAAAUUUUCUAGCAUUCUCAAGAAAAAAUAACAUGUAUCAUUUUAAAUUGCGAUGUAACAUAUGUCAUUUUAAGUCGUUACAUCAAACAAGCUUCUAAUAUCAUUACUAAUUCAUAACAAAACAAAAUUGGUGUUGAUAAUGUGUAUGUUCUCUUAAACUCAAGUUUGAAAUUCUUACUCAGUAGAUUAGAGCAAUUUUUUUUUUUUAAAAACAAGCAAUAUAAAAAGAGGAAAAAACGCAAGCCCAAACUUGAAUCACAAACUCUUUGCAAAGAUAGCGGGUCGUGGCCACGAUUUUUUUUUUUUUUGAACAAAUGAUAUUAUAUACACUAAAGGAAUGGAGUAGUAAGCUCCUCCCAAUGAGAUAGCGAUAAUGUAAUUCAAAUUUAUCUUUGAUAAGUAUCAAACCUAUAACUGUAGUACAAAUGGCAAGACUUUUGUUAACUUAUCAACAAAAAUAAAAAUAAAUAGGUGUAAAUAAAAAGAUAGGAGUUGGGAGAGAGGAAGGGGAGGUUGGGACCUGGGGAAGGAGACCAGAGUGGGUCAGAAGACUCAGAAGCACACGUUGAUUGUAGGCAACACCAUGUGCUCACAUGUCACAUGCCACUCUUCUUAUUCAUUCAUUUCAUUUCUUACCCCCUCCCCUCCCCUUUGCUCUCCUUCCUCCUCCUCCACAGCCCCCCUCUCUCUCUCAUAGUCACAGUCAAUACUCAUCAUUUCCUAGUCAAAACACAAAACAAAACGGAACCCAACUCGUUCAAUUUCUGAGCUUCUGAGGGUGAAAAAACCAGAAGCUGAAGCAAGAAAAAAAUGAAGGAAAGCUCAGAUGGGUUUGUGAGGGCAGAUCAGAUUGAUCUGAAGAGCUUGGAUGAGCAGCUGGAAAGGCAUCUCAACAGGGUCUUGACUUUGGAGAAGAACAAGAUCAUGAGAGACCCUGAAACCAAUUCCAACAGCAUC
rnacentral:lncRNA from 1 species